rnacentral:lncRNA from 1 species
AAAAAAAAAAAAAACUAGCGGCUAUAUGUUUUGAUUUAUUUUUAUAGCAAUUUGGAAAUAUGGGAUUAUUAUUUUUUUUAAAUAAAAAAAUCUAAUGGUAAACAACAAAAAGAGAAGGUCAUUUUCUAACUUUUGCCUUAUUAUUUGAAUGUGUAUUUGAGUUUAGUUGAGAAAAAUAUGUAUUUGAGGGUGAAAUUGAUAAAAAUUGUGAAAGUCGAUUUUAUAACUGAACAAGCAAAGAAUUAACACUGCUUCUUAUUAUUGUACAAAAGCCCAUUGGUGGAAACAGAGAUGUUAUUUCUGGUUGAAAUUUGGAACUUGAAAAUUUGAGUGGAUUAGUUUUUAAAAUCUGAUCCAAUUUUACAGCUUAUUAGAUAUUUGAUUAUAAUUUUUGGAAAUGUACUUCCAAAAUCUAUAGCCAAAUGCUAGCUUCGUAUUUGCAAGGCUAUAAUCUCAUCCUUCUUGUUCAUUGGUAGUAAUAUUUGUUCAGUUCCAACUGAUGCAGAUUUGUUUACGAAUUUUUAUAUCUCUCUUAUUUUUCCAACAUGAUAGCGUGUUCAUUAUACCAGAAGUAUGAUUGUGUUCUUUUUGGGUUAAAAGGAAAUGUAUAAACAAGUAAACAAACCUAACAACUGCUGCAUAUAUAGUUGGUAUUUGUGAUUGUAGCAUUAAACAGUGAUAUCAAAACUACUAGUAGUAGCUGUUCAAAAGGGAUGGCUGGGUGUGGUUUAUCAAACAAAAAGGGCAUAAACCAGAUGACUCCAUGCCUUUUGGACUUGAUAUUCCAUCAAGACAAUAGAUGCAUGAUCUAUACUACCUGCAAACCCAAUGCUACCGCGAAAAACCCGGUUUGCAGAGUCAUGAGCCAUCCACAUUAUACUAUUGUUAUCUGGAGGAUGCCAUAAAUAAAUAGCCUGUUUAGGUACAGAUCCAAGCGUAUGAGAAGUUAAAUAACAAGUUCAGCAACCUCGAUCAUGAAUAUCUGUAAGGUUUACACAGUUAUGGAGAUGAUCAAAUACAUUUCUAUUAAGAUUGCACCAUACAAUAAGAUCGUAAGUGUGUGUCGUACCCUUUUUUUCUUUACUAAGGUAAUUAAUUGAAGAGGUUAAAAAAUACGAAAAAUAAUAAGUUCAUUCAAGUGUGUAGCCGAUAAUUUCAUCAUAACUUAGAUUUGUUUCUUUGCCUAAUUUCUAAUUUUUAUUUUUCAAAAAGAAAUGAAAGACGGGUAAAUAAUUUAUGUUAAUGGAGCUAGUAUAUACGAGUAAUAUAUGGGUAAGUUUUGAUGGUGGUAAAAGAAGUAAUAUCUGGUGAUAGAUGGGUAAAUUUAUAUGUUGAGUUGGCAUAUCAUGUGAUUAAAAUGAACGGAUUGACAGAGAAAGGGCAAAAUUUGAUCUACAUUAUAACUAUAUCAACUAAUUGUAUAGUAAUAAGAGACUUCGAGUAUUGCUUGGUUACCCAGUGAUUAACAAGCAUCUUCAUUGCACACUUAGCAUGGUAGACCAGCACCAAGGGAGCAUACCAUUGGGAGGAAAGAGAGCCCAAAUAGUGGAAGAGGUAGGAGGAAAGAGACCCCAGACGGUGGAAAGAGCUAGGGGAGGCCAGGUAAGUUGACAGAAAUAUAAGGUUUUUUCUUAUUAAUGAAGGCCAUGGAGUAAAGGGUAGUGGAUAAAUUCUUGGAAGAUGGAUUUAACAAACCACACAAUAAUCUUACCUCUGGUAAAAUGAAACAUGCUAAUCAUGUCAGCUGAUAAGAGAAGAUCAAAUUAAGAAAAUUCAUAUGUAUUGUUGAAAACAUACCAAAACAAGGAACUUUAUGUUUUGCAUGUCUGCGGAAAACAUCCCUCAGAAACAGAACAAAAUUUAGAAUACUAACGUAUCAGAGAGAAGAGAACUAGUAGAACAAAACAACACAUCUCAUAACACAUCUAAUGAAUCAAGCCUCAACCCUCUCAGGUGCUGCCUCUUCGGUGGCAUAGACAAUAACCUUAUUCGCUGGUUUUGCCAAGAUAUCAAAGUACUCUUGGAAUGGAGAUUUGGUGAAACGAGUCUCUUUCCAGAAGUCUGGGGUCAGGAACCCGUAAGUCUUCAUUAAACAAUCAAAGGUAGCCUGCAUACAUAAUAUGAGUGGCAUCAGACUCAAAACACAUCCACAACACAAACAGCAAAUAUAUGCCUUUUUAUGCUAUGAGUUAUAUUCCCUUCAUUUAAACAAGGUCUAAGAUGGUGUUUGGAUAGACACUUGCAAUAAGCCACAAUCCAAACGCCAUCUACAUAGUGUCAUUUUAUACCCUUUUGAAGAACAAAAGUGCGUAUCACACAUAGCAGCACAGGUAUUGCAGGAAAUGGUAAGAAUCAAUAAUGGUACUGCUCCUAUCCCACAAUUCAACUUGCUCAACACUGAAUUCAGUCACAGGCAGACGCACACACUAUCCCAAUUUAACCAAUACUCUUAAUACAUCCAUACUUUCGGAACUAAACUAAACAAUCUUGUUCUCGAGAAUGACAAGAUUUGGAACUAUAAGACUAACAAUUGUUACCAUCUCUGUAAUAAUCUACAAAGUUUCAGUGCAAUUUUUCCUAAAAUUUGAAAACUUUGUAGCCAUAUAUUGAUACAGAUAAUAACUUUCUUAUAGAAAGAUCAUUCUUUACUUCUUUAUUAACAUAAAGCUCAAGGCAAUUUACAAAAAGUUUUACUGGAAAAGACUCCCCGGUUGUCAUCUCCACAUUAGCUAUUUUAAACAAAAUGUACUGUCAAAUUGAACUUUUUUGUUAAAUUAUAAUGUUAUACGCAUGCUAUAGUAUUAGAAGAUACAUAUAAUAGAAUCAUCACACAAUUAAAAAUAAUGAUAUAUGCAAGAUCUGUUAAAAGAUCGAACCUUAACGAAGUUGCCAAGGGUUUUGGUGGAUCCACGAGAAGAUGUGAAGACAUCUUCAAUACCAGCAAACUGAAGGACCUUCUUGGGGACACGAGCAGCAACAAUACCAGCACCACGAGGAGCAGGCACCAUCCUCACAGUAACAGACCCACAUUUCCCUGUAACCUUGCAAGGCACAGUGUGUGGCUUCCCAAUCUUGUUACCCCAGUAACCUCUCCUCACUGGAAUCACUGAUAGCUUAGCCAAUAUAAUUCCUCCACGAAUAGCAGUAGCGACUUCCUUCGAGCACUUAACACCCAAACCGACGUGACCAUUCCCGUCACCUACAACAACAAACGCCUUGAACCUGGUUCUCUGUCCGGCACGGGUCUGCUUCUGAACCGGCAUGAUCUUCAUCACCUCAUCCUUGAGAGAUGGACCGAUGAGAGUAUCGAUGAUUUGAAACUCCUUGAUUGGGAGUGAGUGAAGGUAGAUUUGCUCAAGUGAGCGGAUUUUGCCAUCCUUAACGAGCCUUCCUAGCUUUGUGACCGGAACCCAUUUCUCCUCCUCUGUUUCACGACGUGGACGACGGCCUCCACGGCCCCGUCCACCGCGGUCUCCACCUCUCCCACCACGUCCUCCAAAUCCACGACCGAAUCCACCUCUAUCCCCUCCUCCUCUCUCCGCCAUGAUUGUAGGUAUUGGGUGUACAGCUAGGGUUUACAGAGUGUGUGAGAAGAUGAAAAAUGACGGAUUGUUAGGUUUAUAAGGGAGCUAGGGUUUCGUAAAAUGGGCUUGAAGGAAAGAAAGUCCAUAUGGAACUACAAGUUUGGCCCAUAAUGAUACAACUUCCGUAUAUAGCCCAUAAUAGUUUGCAAUUUUUUGCCUAAAGAUAUUAGCAUAAAGUGCCAAAUAAUUAAAAACCGUACAUUUCGAGGAAUCGUUUGAUUUGAAUACAAGUUAUGUUGGAUAAAUUACGUUGAGAUUAGUUAUACUUAUAUUGGUAUUAAACUUUUAUUAAUUGUUUGGUUCGUUGAGAUUAGUUAUACUUAUAUUGAUAUUGUUUUUUUGUUAAUUGUUCAAUUUGUCGUAUUAAAAAUAAAAUUAUCAUUGCAUACUUCUUAAAAUAAGUUAUUUGUUGGCCAGGAUAUGGGUUUAGUUAUUCAGUUUUAGAAACAAAAUCUCUAUCUUAAUUAGUAGUAUAAUUAAUUUUAUGUAUGAAUUCUGAUGAAUUUUCUUUGUUUUAUGAGCGACACCAACAUAUCUAUAAUAACAACCAUGAUAACACCUGUUUAGCCUAAGUGCAACAGUAAUGGCCACAAAAUACAGCAACAAUCAUUAAGUAUGGUUUUUACUAAUUCAAGUUGUAUACUAAGGGGUCGUUUGGUAGAGUGUAUUAAAAAAAUAAUGUAUAUAUUAGUUUUGUGUAUUAAUAGUACCUUGUUUGGUACUCUUUUUCAACUUAUGUAUAACUAAUGUCACUCUAUUGUGUAUUAAGGUGUGUAUUGCUAAUACCAGUGCUUUAAACGGCGGAGGCGUGAGGCGAGACGUUUUAUGCAAUACGGGACGAGACGAUAAGUCUUAUGGAUCUACGAAGUGUAGUCUCAUGUAUAUUUUUAUAAUUUUAUUACUAAAAAAAGUAAAAGUAAAACUUUCAAUUAUUUUACAAAUAUAUUUAUUAAAUAACGUAUAAUAUAUAUAAAAAAAUAUUAAGAUUUUUAUUUGAGAAAGGUAUUAAUCACCGAUAAUGAUGAAAAAAGUAUUACAAUUACUAUUUGAGAAAUAUCAUUACAUCAAUAAUAAAAAUAAUGAUUUAAAGCAAAAAAAGUUCAAAAAAAAAAAAAAACGCCAGAGCAUACGUUUUUACGCUUGAAACUUACGCCCUAUGGAUCUACGCCUUGAAUUUGCGUUCCGAUGCGUUUUUGGUGAUCCCCGCCCUGAGACUCGCCCCAAAAAAAGCCCAAGAAAAUGUUUUUGAAAACACUAUCUAAUACCAUGGAUUUCUAGGUAUUAGCAAUGCAAUGAUUUUAACUUUUAAUGCAUGCAUUCAGGGGCGGACCCACGUGGGUUCCAGGAGGUUCACCCGAACCCCCUCGACAAAAAAUUACACUGUAUAUAUAAGGUAAUCUUCUGUAUUUUUGUGGAUAUAUAUUUUUUGAACCCCCUCAAUAACAAAGAGAAAUUUAUAGCCCAGCGGUAGGUCCCCUUGAAAUUAAGCUUUACAUCAAGGGUUCAAAUCCCUGUGUUAGAAUUUUAUUUUUCAGUUCCGUUUUCAUAUUUUUUUUAGUUUUUUAUUUUAUAAAACAUGCUAAAAGUGUGGUUUUAAACCUAAAAAAAUUCAAGGGUCUGCCACUAAAACUAUAUACUACUGCUUCUUUGAAAUUUUGUUUUGUUGGCUUAGGGCAUCUCCAACCCAAUCCUCUAUUUUACUCUCCAAAUAUAAAGUUCUCUAUUUUUCCAGACAAUUAACUCCAACCAAAUUCUCUAUUUUACUCUCUAAAAAUGAAUCUUUUUCUCUCUCCUCAAUAUUAUAUUAUUAUUUCUAUUUCAUUCUUAUUUUCUUAUUUCACAAUAUAAAUCUUUUAUUUCUUUUUUCCCAAAUAAUUACUUUAUAUAAUUUUUAAUGUGAUAUGAAAUUAUAUUUUAUUCUAAAUUUUUAAAUAACAUAAAUUGCAAGAAAAUAUAAUAUAAUACAUAAAUUAGGGGACAAAUUCAAAUAAAAGUGACAUACAAUUACAUAAAACACUCAAUUUUCAAAAUUAUUACGUUGCUCCCAUAAAUGCUCUAUUAAUGCAUUACGGAGUUCAAAAUGAGCAUUUUUGUCCUUAAUUUUUAUGACUAGCUAAAAAUUGUUCAAACCAGAGAUUUUCAUCUACCACCAUUUCUAUAGUUGGAGUUGGAGCCUCUACGACAUCUUAAAUUGGUGCAUUGAGAUCACGUUCAUCCUCAAUUAUCAUGUUGUGCAGUAUAAUACAUGUAGUCAUUAUAUCAUGCAACAUUUCCUUUCUCCAAAAACGUGAGAGUCCUGCAAUAAUUGCAAAACGUGAUUACAAAACUCUGAAUGUACAUUAAUAUCGUUAUUGGUGCCAGGCAAACCAAAAUAAGCAUGCCAUAUCCAAAGGUCAUAAUCAGUAACAACUUCAAGAAUAAUUGUUGGUGAUCCACUACGACUUGCGUAUUGCCCUGCCCAUGCCGUUGGACAAUUUUUCCAUUUCCAGUGCAUGCAAUUUAGACUACCUAGUCACAACUGCAAUCACAACCACAAUCGCAACAAUUCUCGGAAUCAUAUCCUAAUUUUUUUCCAAAUAGUGCUAAAUAUGGAAACGACCUACCAAAUUACUAAAUUAUUGUUGUGAUCAAUUAAUUAUUAUGUUAUGUAUUGUAUUUUAUCUUGUAUUUAAAUUAUUAUGUUAUGGAUUAUAUUGUAUUGUUAUCUUGUAUUUAAAUUAUUAUGUUAUGUAUUGUAUUGUUAUCUUGUAUUUAAAUUAUCAUAUCAUGUAUUGUAUAUUUAAAUUAAAUUUUUUCAUCUUGUCAUUUUAAUUUUGCGUAUUCUUUAUAAUGAAAUUUAAUCACGAAAGUUAGAAAAAAAAAUUAAAAAAUACUAUUAAUUUGAAAUUAAAAUAGUAUAUAUUAAAUAAUAUUUUUAAAAAAUAUUAUAUUAUAUAUAAAAAGAAUUAUGAAUAUUAGAUAUUUAAUUAAUGGAAUUAUAUGUAAAAUAAUAUGUUAAUUAGAAAGUAAUAGAAAUAAUAAUAAAAUAAUGAAAAAGUGAAAUAGAGAGUUUGAAUAGUAGUUCUCCAAAGGUGGGUUGGAGAUGGUCUUAUAUACAAGUUUAUACUUUUAUUUUUCGAACCUUCUGAACGAAAAUUCUGGAUCCGCCACUGCAUGCAUUAACUCAAUUAAAGGCCCAAUUGGCCCUCAAUUCAUUUUUUAUAUCUUUUCCACCAUAAUAAUGAAGGAUACUUUGUAAAUAAUUUUUAUAAUGCAAUGGAUUCUAUUUUUAAUGCAUCAAACAAACAAUGCAUAAAAAUAAUUUAUGUAUAAUUAAUGUAAGCACAACUAAUACAUGAAUUAUUAAUACACUCUAUUUAGCAUUAUUUUUAUAUAUUCUACCAAACGAUCCCCAAGAGUAUAAUUGUUUUCACUUCAUUAAAAUAGGAAGAACUGCAUUCCAAUUAUAUAAAUUAAAUCGAUUUCUAUGCUAUUUUUAUUUUUAUGAGUUUUGGCCAAUUUAUCAUGACAAUUGAAAGGCAAAGUUUUCAUAGAACCUAGUUUUGUCAAUUAUUCUUCUUAUUUUGUAAUUGAAUAUCCUUUAAAACAUAUAUGGGCAAAUAUUAGAUAAUUUUUGUCAUGGUCCUAACAUGACAUUUUUUCUGUAAUAUAAUUUAUGGACAAAUAUUUGGUUUAUAAUCUUGGAGUUGAAACUUACACUCUGUUUGGAUUAUUGUUACCAUUAUUUCAUAAUGUACUGUAUUGUAUUGUACUCUAUUGUAUUGUACUGUAUGUUAGAUACAAUAUUUGACUAGAUUGUAUUGUUUGCUGUUGUUUAAUAACAUUUUUAUUGUUUGGUUUGACUGUAUCAUACUGUAUUGUAAUUUAUAAAUUUACUAAAAUAUCUUUAAUUAUUCUAAGCUAAGGUUUGACUAGAAUUAAAUAAUAUUGGGUAAAGGGUAAACUAGUAAUAUGAAAUAUUAUGUAAAGGAUAUAAAUUAGAAAAAAAGAAAUUAAAUAACAAUGGGAACACACCAAAUCGAUUGUUCCAUAAAAUGAGGGUUUUCAUUGUUAGAAAACAAUAAAUUUAACAAUACAAUAUAAUACAUUUUAAGUAACAAUAAAAAUAAACAUUGUAGAUAUGAUAAUGAUACAAUAUAAUACAAUACAAUACAAACAGAGUGUUAGUUUCUAAGCAACUCUUGUCAUUUUGGUUCAUUUGAAAUGAAAUAAUAUAAGCUUGAGUUUGUGAAUUUGCUUGUUAGUUUGAUGAGAUCCAAUUACAGUUUGAAUCUCUAAACUGUCCAUCAAGAAUUCAAUCUUCCAUGCAACUUGCAUGGGUAUGAACGCAGCUUCCGUCCUGAACCAUAUCAUCAAUGGCGAACCCACCACCCCCCGUAGCUCCAAAGAGGCAACAUCUUCACAAGCGAAAGCCUUAACCACUACAAUCAUCAACCAUCUUCGUUUGGGUCGACUUGGAAAAGCUGUCUCUGUUUUGUUCUCAGCUCCAGUUCCUUUCCCUUUUGCUCUCUAUGCUCAUCUCUUCAGAAUCUGUGCAUCAAAGAAGGCCAUUGUUGAAGUCCGUAAAGUUGAGUCGCAUUUGGUCAGUUUUGCUCCAACCCCACCUGUAUUCUUGCUCAAUCGAGCAAUUGAAGCUUAUGGUAAAUGUGGGUGUUUGGUUGAUGCAAGAGAGCUGUUUGAUGAAAUGCCUCAAAAAGAUGGUGGGUCUUGGAAUGCUAUGGUUACUGCUUAUUCACAAAAUGGGUAUGCUGGGAAGGCAUUGGGUGUGUUUUCUGAUAUGCAUAAGUCUGGGAUUUUUGCUGCUGAGGUUACUUUUGCGAGUGUUCUUGCUUCGUGUGCUUCUACCUUGGCGCUUUGGCUUUCUAGACAGGUGCAUGCCCUUGUUUUUAAAUAUGGUUUUGGUGGUAAUGUGAUUUUAGAGAGUUCGCUUGUGGAUGUGUAUGGGAAGUGUAGGAGAAUGGGGGAUGCACGGAGAAUGUUUGAUGAAAUUGAGAGACCAAAUGCUGUUACUUGGAAUGUGAUUGUUAGAAGGUAUCUUGAGAUGGGUAAUGGAAAAGAGUCUGUCUUUCUGUUUUUCAAAAUGAUUAGUCUUAAUGUGAGGCCGCUGACAUUUACAGUCUCAAAUGCUCUAGUUGCUUGUUCUAGUUUUAGAGGAUUUCGUGAAGGAAUUCAAAUUCAUGGAUUAAUUAUCAAGAUUAGUUAUGAAGAGGACGAGGUUGUUUCGUGCUCUCUAAUUGAUGUGUAUGCCAAAUGUGGGGAUUUAGUGUGUGCUCGGACAAUUUUUGACCUGCUAUCCCCUAAAAAUUUGAUUCAUUGGACUUCUAUGGUGUCAGGAUAUGCGCUGAGUGGGAAAACUAGGUUAGCAAGGGAGCUUUUUGAUAGGAUGCCUGAACGCAGUAUAGUUUCAUGGAAUGCAAUGCUAGCAGGAUAUGCACAUAAUUCACAAUGGGAUGAAGCAAUGGAGUUAAUCAUUUUAAUGUGCAAUGAUAUGAGGGACACUGAUCGUGUGACUGUAAGUUUGAUCCUGAAUGUUUCUGCAGGACUUUCAGAUCUUGAAUUGGGGAAGCAGGUUCAUGGAUACAUGUAUAGGCACGGUUUCUACUCCGACUUGAGCGUUGCUAAUGCGCUUCUUGAUAUGUAUGGGAAAUGUGGGAACUUGAGAAAGGCUAGAGCUUGGUUUUACGAAAUGAGCUAUUUCCGAGAUAUGGUUUCUUGGAAUGCUUUGUUGAGUAGCUAUGCUCGUCAUAGGAUGAGUGAAGAAGCUUUAGUAAUUUUCUGGGAAAUGCAACAAGAGGUGACACCUAGUAAAUUCACUUUUGCUACUCUCUUGGCGGUUUGUGCAAAUAUUUUUGCUCGUGAACAAGGUAAACAAAUCCAUGGGUUUUUGAUUAGAAAUGGUUAUGAUUUGGACAUCGUUAUCAGAGGAGCUUUGGUUGAUAUGUAUUCCAAAUGUCAUUGUCUUGACUAUGCACUGAAUGUUUUCAUUGGGACUUCUGUGAAAGAUGUUGUUCUCUGGAAUUCUCUGAUGCUUGGAUGUUAUUAUAACAAACAAAGUGAAGCAAUAUUAAAAUUGUUUGAGUUGAUGAAGGAGGAUGGAGUGAAGCCAGAUAGUACAACGUUCCAAGCUGUACUGCUUGCAUGUAUUUCUCAGGGUUGUGUGAAAUUGGGUGGACAGUAUUUCAAUUCACUGAGUCAAGAUUAUUUUAUUAUACCACAAUUGGAGCAUUACGAAUCCAUGAUAAAGCUAUAUGGUCUGCAUGGAUUCUUUGAUGAGCUUGAAGAUUUUGUUGAGAAGAUGCCAUUUCAACCCACAGCCCCUAUGUUAGCAAGAGUUUUUGACUCUUCCAAAGAAUACAAUAACACAAGGUUAGGAAAAUGGGCUGUCAGACAUCUUAAUUUUCUGAAGGACUGAAAUUUUUGAUUCCGUUCUGCUUCAAAGUUUCGGACAAGCUAAUUUGUUACAAGGUUGGCUAAAGCAACUGUCACUAGAAUAUGUGGACACAAGCCUGCUUGUGCACUUUGCAACUUUUUAGUGUGCCAAAUUGCUGAAUAUUGCUCUGACACAAAAUAUUUUACCGGAGCCAAAUACUGCAGAGAAGCAGAUCUCCCGAAAGUGCUUGAACUUAUGAAUACAUACAUAAUUCGAGCACCCAAUAUUUUUGAACUGUAAUGCAAAGAAGUUGAUGUUUAAGUGGCCGCUACAUAACUCCUUGUGUUAUAAAAGAGGAUCAUUUGUGGUGGCUUUGACAUUUUCAACAAUGAAGUGGCUGCGCGCAGUCAUAACUUGAGUGGUCUCUAACAGAUAAAUAGGGAGCAGAUCUUCCUUCUCCUGGUAUGCAUUCUACAGCACUCCUUUUGUCUAGCCCAUUUGCAUACUGCAUGCCCAAAAAAUUAAUGAAGAAAAUUGGAAGUUUUAAAGACUUUCUUCUGGGCUCUGGCAUGUGUAUAUGAAUUGUGUUGCAUGGGAUGCUUUCCUAGUAACACACUUGAAGUAUGGAACUCCUCUUAUAUUAUUGUUCAUUAUAAUAAUAGAAGGGAUGGGUAGAAGUGUUAGUAAUUUGAUUUAGGUGUAUAAGUGUCCUCCCCUUGCAUUCUAUUUUUCUUCUCUUGUGUAUUCACAUUCUUUCCAGUACAUUCUGGAUCUUCUUAAAGCCUCUUUCUUUAAAGCUUCAGGGUAAUUUGGGUGGGAAAACGUGUUUGCUUCUUUUUGAUGCAUAUGAUAUUGUACCUACGGCAUUUAAUACAUGCUUAUCUAUGAAAUCACUUUUUUUCAAUGAACUAAUUUAAUUUGCUCGGUUUCCACCUUUAUCUGAAUGGUUUUCCUGAAAUGAUUAGAAUAGCUGGUUCUUGAAGCCAACACACACUUUCACAUGCAUUAUCCUGCUUAUGGCUUGAAAUGCACAUCUUGUAAUGUGCCAUUUCACAAUUCAAGGGUCAGAUGAUAUUUCAAAGGGAUCUCGAGUUCUAGGACUGUCGAAUCACAAAUAGGUAGGCUGGGUCAAACUCUGUCGGGUUAAAUUGAUUAAGUCAGUUAAUGGAUCAUGACUCAGUCCAUCCAAAUUUUGCUUGGAUCAAGAUGACCUAGGUCAAGUGGCACCAAGUAAUAGGUCAUAGCACUAAAACACUAUUUAACAACUUCAAAUCUCCUAUAUUAGUAGUACUACUACAAGUGCAAACAUAGAUUCUGCAUAAAUCGACAAAAAGAGGGAUAACAAUAGUAUGUUCUAAACAUGGCAUGUCCCUUUCUCAUAAAAGAUUAUUUUACCUUACAAAUUUCAUUUUAGUGUGAAAGAAUUCUACAAUAAUGAUGUUUGAGAAAGGAUCUUAAUUAUUACUCGACACCAUCUUGCUGCCACAUAACUGAAAUACUUGAUUUACUUCAAAAAUUGCAUUCGUACUCCUUUUCUUAAUCUCAGAGCUAAAACAGAUAACCUGUUUUGAGCCCCCAAGGCCUAGCUCAAGUGGCAAAAGGUGGAGGAUUUGUGGCUUAGGUCACAGGUUCAAGCCCCACACCAUGCAAAGCAAAGCCCGGUAUUUAAGUGGAGAAGGGUAGAGGGGCGGGCCCAUUAUCCACCAAGUUUAGAAGGCUGUGAUUGGUCCAAAGGGCGGGUCACAGAUGAAUUUCUCGGUUAUCAAAAAAAAAAAAAAAAAAAAAACAGAUAACCUGUUUUGAAGUCUAGGGGAGCUUAGAUAUCUUAUACCAUGUCCACAACACCCAUGAGAAAGUUAUUGUUUUCAACAGCUACGCUUUGCUAAACACUUGCUAUUAGUUUUAUUUUAUCUCCUUUUUAGAGAGGCUCGUAUAUUAACUUGGAUAUACAUGGAUAUCUUUCUAAGAACAAUUUUACUGAUUUUAACUUUUCGCCUAAGUGUGAAACAAGUUGUCUAACGUGUUCCAACAAAGCAGUAAGGACAGUAAGUAAAAAUAUAAUAUUUUUUACCGUGGAAAAACACCCGGCUCAAAAGGUGUAAAAAACCACGACCUGUACCCCUACAGGAUUUAACUCCAACUUCACUAAAUCACUGAGCCUCCACAAAAGAUAGAUUACAAACUUUGCAACCUACCUUAACUUCAAGUUAUGGAUUUAGAUUACAACUCUUGUAAUCCUAGGAACUAACUCUAAUUCCUAACCUUCACACAAACCUCCCAUGGUAUGUGUUCCCAACUCUUCGAGUUAUCACAACCUGAAGACAACACUUCUAAUUCAGUUUAUAACUCACUGAACUAAGAUUACAUCAACACUUAAUCACAAAGAAAAACUCCUAACACAUAAACUUUGUAGAAGGAUUAGGUUCUUCGAUGUGUUCCUUUAGUUCGUUGGUAGCACUUGCGAAGUCAAUUUCUCAAUUGCUCUUUUUGCUUUGUAAGUGCACAUCUAUUCUAGACGACUUCACCUCUAUUUAAGCACAAUUCUUCAUAGAAUUAUUGUUUACUUCAAACUCCUCAUUGACUUGAACUCUCUUGACUUAGAGUUCUACUUCAAGUAAGACUCAUCAUUCAAUUCAAACUCCUUGCUUCUUUAGACUCCUUCUUCAAAUUACAUUCAUUGAUUCUUUUGUAUUGUAGUCAAACUCCUACACUUCAAUUCAGCAGUAAUUUGAAGAGUUCUACUUUAAGUAAGACUCCUUCUUCAAUUAAAACUCUUUGCCUCUUUAGACUCCUUUUUCAAAUCAAACUCAUUGAUUUUUUCUCUUCAAUUCAUCAGAUGUUUAUUUCCUUGGGUUUUCUCACGAAAUUAACAUUAUCCAUUUCUUUAUUUCUGCACUCUUGUCUUUGUUCAUUCUAAAAGCUUUCUUGAAUUUAACUGCUCGUGACAAUGCACCUUUGGACCAUAUUGACUGACGUGUUUCGUCUUUCUUUGUGAAUCAUCAAAACUGCAUAAAUCCCAACACAUGGAUAUCUUUCUAAGAACAAUUUUACAACUAGAAUUUAGAAAAUCUGAUUGGAAUAUUUACAUCAAAGUUUAAGGAGUACUGUAUCAUUUGCUUGUACCUACUCAGUAAAUCUGUGGUCACACCACAGAUGAAAACCAAGCUGUUUUACUAGCUUAAUUUUUUUUUUCCACCUGCAAUAGGGUAUCUGGCUGGACAGAAGCUGAUCGCGACCAGUGAAGAAAGAAAAGCUAUUUAAUCAAACAACAGGUUGAGGUCAAUCCCCUGCAGAAGGUGGAUCUAAUAUUCUGACAAAGUUGCUUCAGAGAAACUGGAUAUGUCAGGCUUUUCGCUUGGGCGUGGUAAAACUAGUCUAGCGUGAUCAUGGGCGAAGAAAUUGGUUCUUAGUAUGUGAAAGAGCCAUUGUAUGUGGAUUGCACUCCAGUUGCUGCCAUCGAGCCAGGUAACAUGACUACUCAGACAGAUGGGUGAAAAGGUGAUAUUGAUUUUGGAUAAGCUGACUUGAGGCUUUUCACAGUGUAUCUGACCAGAGGAUAACAUACGAUCUCAUUUCGGAUUAAGUCUAGUUCUAGGUCAUUUCGGAAGGUAAAAAACAGCAAAUGCAAGGGAUCCUGGAACUACAAAUCUGCUAUGGGGUAAAUGGAAAAUCUUAGAAUUUUGUUUUGUUAAGUUAAAAGUGAUUUUUCACUACAAGUAAAUAAUGUUGGAUUGGAAAAAUCAUUUUAUUCCUCUUCUUAUACUUCUGCUCAUUUUUGGUGUUGGAUUGGAAAAAUCAUUUUAUUCCUCUUUUUAAGAUUAGAGGUAAUAAUGUUGGAUUGGUAAAGGCCUAAAGGGUGGCUUUGUUUGGUGAUUGUGACCAGCAGUACAAAAUGAUAAUGAUAUCUACAAUAUUGGAAGAAUACGUCAAGUGAUCCUUAAAUUCAGGUUGUUACACUUAAACUUAUACAAAGUUGAAUAAGUAGACACAUACGUUUUACGUAGCAUAAUACAUGCAUGACACUAACUAGGAUGCCGUGUAGAACGUGAAUUGCCACAUAGUACUUGUGUGUUCAUUUUUUUUUCCAAAUUUCAUAAUGAAACAUAGCCAACUCUCACUAAUUUUCAAAAAUAGUCAACGGUUAUUUAGAAAAAAAAAGAAAAAAAUAAUUUUUAUGGCCAAACACAUAGUGUAAAAUUUUCCGAGGAAGAGAGAGAAACUUGAAUGCCGGAGGGUUUGGUGAAGGUUGAAAGAGGAGAAAAUUACAUUUUCAAUGAGUCUGGAAUUAAAGUUAUAUUGAAAAAACUAAGUUUCGUGGAUUAGUUUAGGGGAAUUUUUUGUAUUUAUUCUUUUAUAUUAAUCGCAAUUUGACAAGCUUGAGAAACACAAGAUACUUGCUCAACUUUUGUAUUGUAUUUGUGUUUAUGAUGUAUUUAUUGUUAUUUGACUCAUAAUGUUAAUUUUGUUACAUAAAAUUUGUUAAAAGUAAGGUAAAUAUAGAAAUUGGAUGCUCCUUUAUAUAAAUUGGAUGCCCAACGGUGAAGGGCCUAAAAUAUUUUUAAACUAUUGAAAUUGAUACAAAAUAUACUAUGUUAACCUAUUAGCCACAAAAUGCCCUUGGGGUUAACCUUUAUGGCCCUUUAUUACCCUUAUUUACAAAUGGAUCAUUAAUUGAAUUAAUUAAUUUUGUCAUUUAAUACGUGUCACAUUUUGAUUCACUAGAAAAAUAAUUCAUCAAAAUUAAUUUAAUUUAGCUCAUACUCAGAUAUAGGGGUGUGCAUUCGGUUUUUCGGUUCGGUUUUGUGUUAUUCGGUUUGGGUUUUUCGGUUUUCGGUUUGAAAAAGUAUAACCCAAUCCGAACCAAAAAAAAAUUGGUUCGGUUCGGUUUUUCUCUUUUCGGUUUGGUUUUUUUCGGUUUGGCUAUUCGCUAAUUUUUUUGUCAUGAAAGUGCAAGUAAUAUGUGAUAUUUAUAGUUAUAAUGUAAAACCUAAUGCCUAAAAUUUAGUGAAAUAGGAUGACAGUAAUUUGAUAUGGGCCUAAAUAUUACAACAAUACUGAAUUAUUAGUACCCUACGCCUACAUAGUAAACCUAAAUAUUAUAUGUGUAAUUAUUAAUCUAUUUAUAUAUAUAUAUAUAUAUAAUUCGGUUUUUUCGGUUUUUCUGUUUUCAUUUUUCUAAAUCCGAAACCAAACCAAAAAACCAAACAAAGUAACUUAUAAAUCCAAAACCAAACCAAAAAUCCAAAAAACCAAUCCAAAUUACAAUUCGGUUUGAUUUGGUUUGGUUUUUCGGUUUAAUCCAAAUAGUGCACACCCCUACUCAGAUAUGGAUCUGGCUCCCCUCCAUUACCUCUUCCCUCCAUUUCGUCAAUUGCAUGUCUAGAUGAGAGACAUGUGUCUUAUUUAAAGUUUAAGGGUCAAGAUUAUAUUAUAUUGACAAAUAUCACAACCAUAGUUAAGUCAACUAAUUUUAAAAAACUACUCUUAAAUUUGGUAAGAAUUACUAUAUAUUCCAUUCAAAAUUUGAUAUAUAUUAAUAUCAUUAAUUUCGUAUUAUAUUUUACAUUUAAAUAUUAAAUGUAUGAUAUUUAAGGUGAGAAUCAACUAAACAAUUUUAUGUACUAGUAAACUUUGUUGAGAAAAUGGCUAAAUGACCCCAAAUCUAUAACCGGAUUUCCAACUACACACUUAUACUUCACGGGGUCCUAUUACCCACCUCAGUUAUUUUAAAGUGGAAUUAUUUCCUCCCUGAAAUGUCAUUACCAAGCAUCUGUCUUGUGGUGAAAUACACACACUUGACACGUGUAUUUCACCAUUUAAUGAUUUUUUUUUAAAAAAAGUUAUCCUCCUUCCUCUUUCUUUCUUCCCCAAUUAUUUCUUCAACCCUAACUAUACUAAACACCAUGGUUUAUUUAAAAAUAGAUCUUAGACUGAUUUUAAGAGUCGUCACUUAAUGUUUAAAGUAAAAUUAAGAAAACUAUUUUUUUUCAAAAGAUUAAAACAGGAAUCUAUUGAAAACUAAUAAAGGGGUUCGGGGUUCUUAUUAGCAUUUCGGGAAAGGUUUGAAAGCACCUGAAAUGCCCGCUAAUAUGCGGUUAUCCGGCGAUUAAUUAUCUGGCUAAAAUAAUUCUAACUUAGCUUGACUUGCAAAAUUGAACUAUUUUGUUAGUUAGGCCCAUUAAAGAAAAUGUUGAAAUAUUAUCUAAGCGAAAUAUUUUGUAAACUUAUUUAUUUAUUUAUUUUUAAGUCAAGUAAGAGACGAAUAAUUUAGUUAAGUGAUUAAUUCAAAAUUGGUGUCUUUUGGGGAUUUGAAUUUUUUAGAACCUUAAGAUUAAAUAACAGAUAUCGGCAAGUAAACAAACACAAUAAAGCAAAGAGGGAAAAAAAAUUGGGCCCAAAUCUGAUUUCUAUCCGCCUGGUCCAAUAUUUGGACCCAUUUUUAUUUUGGGCCUUUGGCCCAUUUAAGUCACCUGCACCUGUCCUAGUCUAACACAAAAUAGAAUGUUUUUUCUUUGGGUCUUAAGCCCAAUUUUUUCAUCUGUCCUAACAUGUCCUAAACUUUUAACAUAAAUAAUAAUAAUAAUUAAAUAGGCUUAGGCCCAAUAAAUGAAAAAAUACAAAAAAUUUUCUUUAAAGAAGAGUGAGCCUCUUUAAGCCCAAUCUUUCCAAUUUCUCGAUAUGUUGCUUCUUUCAACUUCGAGACCUGUUCGUCGGUUUAAUGGCUGGCCGACUCGGAAAGGCGAAAUUUAGGCCUUUAUGGCUCUCCCAAAAUGCAAAGGGAAGGAGGGGUUCGUAGUAAACUCGAAUAGAUUUCACAUGUAGCAAGAACAAAUAAGAUACAUAAGUAAUACUCAUAAUAAUUCGUAAGGAGAAAUGAAGCAAUAAGACGCUUUCGGUACAAUAACUUCAAGAAGAAAAUAAAAAAUAAAAAAAUGUAACAACAUGCCAAACACACGAUUUAGCUAGGAUAUCCACACAUGCUCCUUCUACUUAGUAUUCCAAUCUUACGGUAAAUUGAAAUUAUGACCAAUGUACUCAAUCCAACAAUAACUUCAAAUUUUUACACUAGAAAGCUAAUAUUACUACACUUCUCAUAAUGAACAAAUUGAUAAUGACCAACUUCUCUUUUUAUGAUAGAAGAAGAGAACCCAACAAAACACAACAUAACAUAGAGGACAUAUAAGUAUUGCCGACCAUUAGGACAAAAUCAAAUGCAAGAGAAAAGAUUUCGAUUAAAUUAACCAUGAAGACCCAUUUAGUGAUGAAUAUAUAUCCUUUGGCAUAUUUAAUAAUAAUAAAUAAAAAAUGAACAACAAAGUGAUCAAGUACUUUAGCAAGAGAAUUAGAAAUAAGCAUGGUCAUACUACAAAAAAUCAUUAAGUAGUGUUACUGAUUUUGACAUCAAGGCUUCCGAAGCUAUGGCCAAAUAUAUAUAUAUAUAUAUAUAUAUAUUUAUCUUUUUCAAUCCAAACAAGAACUAAACCAACUAUUUUUAACCAAACCAAACAUUAGACGUCAGGUAACAUUCGUGGACAAUGACCGGAAACAUAUAAUUGCUAACUUACGAAACACAUGGAGAGUUAUACCAAGAAUACAUGAUUAGCUCAAACCAAAAUGAAAGUCACAUUCACAUGUAACAUUAAAGACCCACAGAUUGCCAAUAUGCUUUCUAUCACGAAAAAUGGAUAUAGAGAAAUAGAAAUGUGACCAUAUUAAAGAACUGAAAUUUCCAGAUUUUUCGACCAUUAAACAGUACCAAAACAAUCCAAGUUAAACUCAGGCGUAAAGAAGAUGGCGAAAUUCCAAUCUCGUUUUUAAACCAAGACAACGAGUGACUAAUAAUACGAGGGACGAGCAGAAGAGAUUAAUAGAUUUGCAAGCAUGCUUUCAAAAGAAUACAAAUUCUUAAACUCAACUUGCAUUCAAGGAAACUAAACGCAUUCGACAUCUUCUAAACACGCAGCAAAAACAGGGACCCUAUUUCGACAAAUAUGGGCGGAGUAGUAUCAAAGUGAUCAACAAGCAAACUGGCAAAAAUCGGAACGAGUACAACUUAGCCCGAAGUCUUGAUGAGCACCAUAAAUAGAGGAGACUAGAUUAAACAUGCGAUAAAUCAUUUUAUUUUUGAAAACGAGAUACAAACAUAUCAGUUUCAGAAAAUAUUAUCAUGAAGAGGAAGAUUCAAGCUUGACCAAAUCGGACAAAAUUAGUUCACCAACAACAACGACUAUUUUAUGACUCAAUAUUCAUUAGAAUCGGAAUAAAAAAGGCUAGGAAUCGUUUACCUCUUCUUGAGCAGCGAAACAGAAACGGGACGAACAUGCACUACGAUCCUUACUCCACAAACUCGAAUACGCACAAUGAACAAAAAUUUCGGGCAGAAGCUCGGACUCAAAAUACUGAAACUAGUUCUUUUUUCUUGAAGUGUAUUUCGUAUGUAUUUUAGAUAUUUUUACUUGAGUUAUUCUAGGUAUUUUCACUAAAAAAUCCCCCCUUACAAAUGAGAAGAAGAGACAUAUAUAUAUGGGGAAAUUCUACGAUUUACGAUUUUUUGGGGGUAAUGGGGGGAAAUUCGGAUAGCGAGUAGGGGCAGAAAUAGAAUUCUCCUCCAAAUUCAAAAUUCAAAAUCCUUUUCAAGGAAUAGGGAGCAACUGGGUUCGGUAUGAAAUUUUCUCCAAAAUCCCAGAAAAUUCGGACUAGGCAGCAGGGCUGCUGCGUAUAGUUGCUGUUGACAUUUUUGGACUGCUGCUACUUUGACGUUUCUGGUUUUUACUGAAGAAGAAGGAGACGCAGGUAGGGUCGUUCGGCUACUGUUGUUGUUGUCGAUUCUGCUGCUGCUAUCGUUGAAAUUGAAAGGGCAAAAAGGGAUGGGGCCGGGUCAGGGGAAUUGGGUCGAUUUGGUGUUGUUUCUGUUGUAUUGUUAUUGAUUUAUUUGGGCUGGGGCAAAGGAGGUGUUAAAGAGAUGGGUCUGGGAAUUGUUGGGCUGGCAGCUUUGGUAUUGUUAUUGUUGUACGUAUGCAUUGUAUGUUAGGAAUUGUUUGACUGAAAUGAGAAAGGUACGGGCUGCUGGAAAUUAAAGAAAUGGGGCCCUAAACUAAAGUCUUUGGUGGGUUUAAAGUAAGAUAUAACUAAGUGAAUUAACAACUUAGCCAAAUCGAAUUUAAUUUGCAAAUUCGGCUAAAACUUAAAUAGGACGAAUUAGUAUAAUUAAUUAAUGAGCUUCUUAAUUUUAACAAAAUAAAAUAAUUAACUCAAUAAACUAAUGACUCAAAAUAUAAACUACUAAUUUAGACAAAAUUAAUUAAAAUACUCACUAAAAUUAAAAAAAAAAUUGUGAUGAUUUUCGAAAUGUUUAUAAAAUAUACUAAUUAUAUACAAAAUUAUAUAAAACAUAUAUGUUAAUUUAAAAUUACAAAAAAGUGAAAAAACUAUUUAAAAUAACUUGCAAACUAUAAUUAUUAUCAUAUAUACAUACAUAUAUAUAUAUAUAUAUAUAUAUAUUGAAACUUUAUAAAACUAAUUAUUUUAAAUCGUUUGAAAUUGAAGAAGCUUGAAAUGAUUAAUUUAUAUUGUGGAGGUACAAAAUUGGGUGUCAACACACCAUUUUUUACUUCAAUAAAUUUUUAUAUCUCUAACAUUUUAUAAAAAUGAAAAUUCAACUCACUUUUUCAUCUACUCCGAAUCUCUAGAGUCCAAGAUAGUGGUCCUAAUUAAUCAAAUCUUUCAUCCAACUAAUUCAACAAUUUUUCCACAUUUUUUUUACAUUUCGUUCGAUUUUCUUCCUUAGACAAUUUCAGAUACACAUUAAAUGGGUCAUGAACAUUCGAGAUCAGAUUCAUCCCUUGAAGAUUCCGCCGACUACUCAAACUAAUCCCGGAUGAGAAGAUCAAUUUGUAACACCAAUUUGAGAAACCUCUCUCUCUUCCCCAUUCUUUAUUCUUUCUUCUUUCUCCUUCUAAAGUUUUCAUGAUUAAUUUAUAAUUUGAGUUUUUGAUUUUGAUUCUUCAUGGAUUUUAGGAGAACAUGUAGGAUUCUUCUUUUAAAAUGUAGAAGAAAUUGUUUUGUUUUAGUUUCUUUUAUUAAGUUUGAAAUUAUUUUUUAAAUAUACAAUUACUUUGAUUUUGUUACUCUUGAAUCCAUCACUUUAAAAAAAAUUAAUUAAUGGGCAUGUUUUUUUUUAAAAAGAAAGUUAAUUUGUUAGAUAUAUUCUAAAUAAGUUUAUUGAAAAAUUAUUUAUUCAUUAAAUGCAUUUUUUGUUGAUAAUUUUUAUUCCAAACAUCCAUUGAAAAACUUCAACAAUGAUAAUGGUGAAAAAUGUAUAAUUGUAUAGAUAAAUAAGAAGAAAGAAAGUGAAAGAAAAAAAAAAUUAGAAAAAAAACGAAAAUUAAUAAAUAGGCAACUCACUCUCUCAAAGAGAGUGAAAUACACUCUCCAUGCCAACUCAGCACUCAAGGGGUUAUUUAUUCUAUUUUAAAGUAGUUCAGGGGGGUAAUAGGACUCCUGCGGAGAAUAGGUGUGUAGUUGGAAAUUCGGUAAUAGAUUGGGGGGUCAUUUGGCCAUUUUCUCAAACUUUGUUCUUGAAAUAUUAUACUAUGUUAAGAAACAAAAAAAAAAAGGUGAAGAAUUAUCAAUAUUGAAAAAAAUCAUAAAAUAAAAGAACAUGAAAUAAUAAAAAAAAAAGACGAAAGAUUUUUAGAAAUAAACGUGAAAUACCACAAUUAUUCUAAGGAGAAAAUGUGGCUAUUGUGUUUGAAGGGGAAAAAUAUAUGUUUUUAAAAAAUAUUCUUCUAUCUUUUUUUUUUUUUAAAUAAAAGAAAACAUUGUUUAUUUAAUGCAAAUAUUUUUGAAGAUUAUUAUUUUAUCACAUUAAAUAUAAAUAUAAAUGUUUCAUGAUCUACAAAUACCAAAAUUAUUCCAAGGAGAAAAUGUGGCUAUUGUGUUUGAAGGGGAAAAAUAUAUGUUUUUUUAAAAGGGAAAAUGCAUAAGUACUCCUCAACCUAUGCCCAAAAUCCCUGAGACACACCUAAUAUUUAUUAAGGUCCUAUUACCCCCCCCCCCCCAAUUUUUUUUUUAAUUAANNNNNNNNNNNNNNNNNNNNNNNNNNNNNNNNNNNNNNNNNNNNNNNNNNNNNNNNNNNNNNNNNNNNNNNNNNNNNNNNNNNNNNNNNNNNNNNNNNNNNNNNNNNNNNNNNNNNNNNNNNNNNNNNNNNNNNNNNNNNNNNNNNNNNNNNNNNNNNNNNNNNNNNNNNNNNNNNNNNNNNUAAUAGGACCUUAGUAAAGGUUAGGUGUGUCUCAGGGAUUUUGGGCAUAGGUUGGGGGGUACUUAUGCAUUUCCCCUUUUUAAAAUAUUCUUUUAUCUUUCUUUUUUUGAAAUAAAAGAAAACAUAGUGUUGAAUGCAAAUGUUUUUGAAGAUUAUUAUUUAUCACAUUUAAAUAUAAAUGUUUCAUGUUCUAUAAUUUUAAUAUUUAAAUAUAAAAAUAUAAGAUGAAAUUAAUGAUAUUAAUAAAUAUCAAAUUUGUAUGGAAUAUAGUGAGUUCUUACCAAAUUUGGAGAGUAGUUUUCUAAAAUUAGUUGACUUAACUAUGGUUAUGAUAUUAGUUAAUAUAAUAUAAUCUUAACCUUUAAACUUUAAAUAAGACAGAUGUUUCUCAUCUAAACAUGCACUUGACAAAAUGGAGGAAAUGGGUAAUGGAGGGGAACCGGAUCCCCAAGAUCUACCCAUUAAAUCACCCACCUAUGACCCAACCAACACUUCACUAUUUGGAACGGUGUCAUUUUAUCUGCAGAUGCGGAGAGCAGGAUUCCGACAAAUAUGGUGAAGGAGAUCAAGGCCAGGGAAAGGGAGUAAAUGGCAGGAGAACCAUAUUUGAUCAGUUCAUCGAAAACCAAAUGAUUGAAGAGUGUAAGCGGCUAUUGAUUAUCAGUUCAUCGAAAAUCGAACGAUUAAAGGGUGUUUAGAAAGGUAACGACGUCAGGCUUGGAUCAUCAUGAUUUUAGGCAGAGGAAGAAAUUGAAAAUCUUGUUGAUCAACAAAAUAUAUUUCUCUACUAUAACUAUUGUUAGUGCCGGAGUUACACCGGAAAUAUUUUAAGCUAAUGGGUUCUCACGUUUAGAAUAAUUGGGUUUUUAGUUGGGUCUGGAUUGGAUGGAUCUAGGGAUGACAAUGGGGCGGGGCAGAUGUGGGGUGGGUUUAAGGAUAUGUGGAGCGGGGCAGAUGCGGGGUGAGUUGAAGUGGGUUUUUAAAAAAUUAAUGUGGGCGGGCGGGUUGCAGGUACAUGUGAUUUUAUGUGAGUUCAAACUUAAUUUUAACUUUUACAUGUUAUAAAAGUAAUAGAACAUUAUUUAUGAAGAUAAUUUCAUUAAAGCUACUAAAAUAUUCAAGAUAAUAAAUGAAAUGGUUCAAUAAAAAAUAAUACAAUUUUUUACAUGUUUCCCCAAUUGACCUCUAAAAAAUAAAACUUUAAAUCACUAUCCUAUUAAAUUAAUAUAACUUAAUGAAAAAUGAAUUUAUUUUUUGAAUUUUAUUUUUAGUAUCAAACAUAACUAGAAAAAGAAAAUAUUAAAAAAAUUAUGUUGAGCGGGUUCAUGCGGGCCGGGUCUGUGCGAGGUAGGGUGGGGCGCGUUAACAAUGAAAAAAGUUGUUAUGCGGGGCGGGGCGGAUUAAAAUUUUUACGGAUUAAGUUCAACCCGCAUCACCCUUGCCCUACACCGCCCCAUUGCCAUCCCUAGAUGGAUCCGGGUUGAGUUAAAUUAAUUUUAGUUAAUCAUAUCACAUAUUAAAUAAGAAAAUUAAUUAAUUCAAUUAAUGGGCUCUUUGUGAAUAAAAGUUAAUUUAAAGUAUAUUUUUGUGGACAAUAGGUUAACAAAUGGUAUUUUUAUACCAAUUUCAAUAGUUAUAUUUUAGACCUUUUUUUGUUUUACCAAAUCAAAUAUUUUCUUCAAAUUUUUUGAUCAAACACAUAGAAAAACUUUAGCACGACUUCAUCCAAAAAUAAUUUACCAAAAUAAUUUAAAAAAUGUAUGGUCUUAGUCUUUACCAAAUCACACAUUAGAUUUUGUCUAAUGUCUGAAAUAUUUGAUUGAACUUUACCUACAAAUUAAAUGUGGCGCUCAUAUUUGUGCAACUCAGUAGCAGAAUGGUUCCUUUUACCUUAUGAAUAUUCAAAGCUACACUGAACGGGAUUCUUGUUGUUGUAGUUGUAUGUACCCUUUUGUACAAAGAGUUUACAAAUACCACACACAUUCACUUUCAUUCUAUUCUCGUCUCAUACCCCACUGCCUCUCAUUCAGUUCUUUGCAAAUACUUCAUGGGAAAUUAAUAAAACUUGGUUUCAACAAGAAUACUUUUCUGGGUAAUUGUUAUCUUGAUUUGUAUAGCAAGUUUGGUACAAAAAUUGAUGCUUUUAAAGUCUUUGAUGAAAUACCAUACAAGAAUGCUGUGUCCUGGAAUAUAUGGUUGAAGGUGCUAGUUCAGUCAGGUGAUGUGCAUUGUGCACGCCAAUUGUUUGAUGAAAUGCCUGAGAGAGAUGUUGUGAGUUGGAAUUCGAUGAUUUCGGGGUAUGCUUUGUAUGGGUUGUUUGAGAAUGCUUUGGGUGUUUUCUUGGAAAUGCAAAAGUAUGGUAUUAGGCCUAGUGGAUAUACUUACUCGAUAUUGGUUUCACAUGUAGAGUUUGCUUUCCAUGGCAAGGAGAUACAUGGAAAUAUGCUAAGGAAUGGUGUGGAUUUGUCUAAUGUGGUGGUUGGGAAUUCACUGAUUGAUAUGUAUGGAAAGCUUGGGAUAGUAGACUAUGCUACUGGUGUAUUUUUAGCCAUGGAGACAGUGGAUGUUAUUUCAUGGAACUCAUUGAUUUCGAGCUGUUGUAAAUCAGGGUAUGAAGAUACAGCUCUGUCUUAUUUCUCUUUGAUGAGAGCUUGCAAAUAUUCACCGGAUGAGUUCACAAUGUCUUCAGUGCUUAUUGGCUGUUCAAACUUGCGCAGUUUGGAGAAGGGCAAGCAAAUCUUAUGUCUUUGCGUAAAGAUGGGAUUUUUGUGCAACGCUAUUGUUUCAAGUGCAGCAAUUGACUUGUUUUCUAACUGCAACAGAAUUGAGUAUUCAGCUCGUAUAUUUAAGGAUUCAAAUAUUUGGGAUACAGCUCUGUGCAAUUCAAUGAUUUCGAGCUAUGCACUGAACAGUUUAGAAGAAAAUGCCUUGCAGCUAUUUGUCCUAACUUUGAGGAAAAAUAUUAGACCUACUGAGUUUACACUCAGCUGCAUUCUUAGCUGUACUACAACUUUCCCUGUGGAUCUGGGGAUUCAAGCUCAUUCUUUGGUCAUCAAGUUAGGCUUUGUAUCAGAUCCUGUUGUUUCCACUUCACUUGUAGAUAUGUACUGUAAAUAUGGAUUGAUUGAUUCCGCCACAAAUAUUUUCAAUGACCUACUAACAAGAGAUUUGAUAUCGUGGAACACCAUGAUCUUUGGGCUGGCUAUCAAUGGUGAAUCUACCAAAUCACUCAGCCUUUAUUAUGAACUACUUGAACUUGGUGGUCAACCAGAUCGAAUAACAUUGACUGCACUUCUGUUAGCUUGCAGCUAUGGUGGAUUUGUCGAUGAAGGUAUAUCCAUAUUUUCUUCAAUGGAAGAGGAAUAUGGAAUUACACCUGGCAUUGAGCACUACACUUGUGUUGUGGGCAUGAUGACCAGGGCUGGUAAACUUAAAGAAGCCGGAGAUAUAUUACAAAAUAUGCCUCACGAGCCCAACAGUGAAAUGUGGGAAUCAAUACUUCUUGCUUGUGAUAUUUAUGGGGACUUGAAAGCAACUGAAAAGGUUGCAGGGAAGAUAAUGGAGUUAGCACCAGAAUCAUCUCUGCCGUAUUUGGUGCUAGCGCAAGUAUACGAGUCCAGGGGAAGAUGGGAGAGCCUUGUUCGGGUCAGGAAGGAGAUGAAAGAGAGAAUAGAAAACAAAGUAGCUAGUUACAGUUGGAUUAGUGUACGCAGCAGUGUAAUCAUGUACCAAGCAAACCAAAUUCUUAGUUGUGGCAGUAAGGACAUAGGCAUUUAUUCAACGUUGAGGCUAUUGACAGAGGAUACAUGGGAUAAAGGUUUAUGCUAAUCAGUUGCAACUGGGAGUAAUAGCUGCUAAACAGAUGAGUAUAGUGCACAGAUAGAAAAUCAAAAUUUAAAAUUGAUUCUUAUACAAUGGGCAAAGCCAACUUUGUUUUUGCUAUUGAUGUGGAUUUGCUAUAAGUGACUUUCAAGGUCUGAAUCUGAUUCAUUGCAUCAAAAGGGGUAAAAGCUUUUCCAAAGUUCAAAAUUUCCACAUGCAUAUGAUGGAGAACCAGUAAGGGUAAAAGGAUACUCGCCUUGUUUCAGGAUGCAGAAUUGGAGCAAUUCCAUAUAACUCAGAAUGUUGCAUCUAACAAAAACCUAUAUUUUGUAUUUUGGCCUUUAGAGAGGCAUUAACUUCAUCAAUAUGAGAUAAUUCUUUCAGCUUUAGUAGUUUUAUACACCUUAAUCAAGCCACAAACAUCUCUAGGGAACAAUGAUUGUCCAGUAAUAGAUAUCACUCAUAUAACCUCUCCAUGUCUUGGAUGCCUCAUCAUAGAGUUUGAGGCUGAGAGAUGCUGAGUUUGAUGGGAAGAUUAAAAGGUAAUGUAGAAUCUUAUCUCUCUGUAAUCUGUGAAGCUAACAUGUCUACAAAUACUUGAAUGUUUGCUUUAUAUGUUAGUUUGCCUUCUUUCUCAUUGUUGCUUUUGUGAUAAUCAUUCUUGAUAGAUCAGAACUUUUGUGGGAUUUCACUGGGUAUGUUGUUGUUGUUGAUAGAUCACAACUUUUCAUUAAAACCACACGAAGUUGAUUUUAAGAACAUGUACAAUGAGAAUGAGUGGAUCAAUCACACUUAGCUAACAAGUUAUCCCAAUCAUCUAUGCAAGUAGGAUCUUCGAUUUACACCAAAAGACUAAAUGAAACAAAAAUUAAGUUACUUUUAUUUCUUUCAGUAUGAUGGAUCAAUUCUCUUUCCUUCUACACUAUCCAAAAAACAUAUAGAGCUGUGUAGUUCUCCAUAUAGCCCUUCAUUCUUUUUCAAUUCCGCACAGCUUCCAACUCGUAAUUGCCUCCUCAACUAUACUUGGUAAAGCCCUUCCAACAUUGAACGAUGAACAUGUGAGGUUCCAUAGUUGUUUAGUGAAUUUGCAAUGCAACAAAAUAUAGUCAGUGCUCUUCCCACUUUCUUUGCACAAACAACACCAACUCACUACAAUUCUCCUUCUAUUCAUAAGAUUAUCAGAUUGUCAAUAUUGCUCCUUUACAGCACCACAUAUGUGAAAAAAAUAAUACUUUCCAUGUUGCUUUACCACCCCAAACAUUCUUCACACCACAUUUUUACCCUCAUAAGAUUUUGUAUAUUUCACCUUCUACAUCAUCGAAUCCUCCUUUCAUCUUUUCCUUCUCAAUGCUGAUCGGAAUAUCUCUUCGGAGAACACUAUCCAAUCUGACUCCCUGAUUAUCCUGUCUCAAGUGUUCUCCACUAUAGCACCCAUAUCAUUUCUCAAUUAGUAAGCCCAUGCGAAAGUCUCCUUUAUAAUAGUGUUUUUUUGCCACACUUCUUUCAUUGAAUCGUGCAGCACUCUUACAGCAUUACCCACUGCGUACCCAGUAUGUGUAACAUUCCAUUCAUAGUCCCCGUCGAUACACUCACCCCAUACAUGGUUAUCUUUUCACCCGAGAACCAUGAAUUAUCUGUGAAUUUGUUUUUUCGUAAUAUUUUCCUCUUGGGCGGAUCUCCACAGCCACUUCCCGUUAAUGUCACUAAAACAGGGAUUCUUCGUAUCCUUCAUUCCUUCUGUCAUUUGAAGUUUCAUCUUCUAAUAAUCUAACAAUUUUUGCUUCUAUUCCCCUUCCUUUCCUUUCCUUCCCACGUGUGAUCUCUCGUCAUCUUUUCAGUCGCUGUUAGCAACAUGCAAAACAAAAACAUGUAGUAUGUGGGAUACUCCGUCUAUCUUAAUUUAUAUGUCAUGCUUUCUUUUUUAGUAUAUCCUGAAAAGAAUGUCAUACUUCCAUAUUUAGAAGGGUUAAUAUCUUAAAAGGUCAUUUAACUUUCACAAUUUAUCUAACAACUUUAUUUUAUAUCAAUAAAAUCACUCAACUUAGACACAAGUAUCAAUAAAAUCACUUAACUAGAUUUGUCAUUAAAACAAAUCUGGCCUAGCAAAAUGACAACUGCUACUACUACUGCCUUCUCCUUGUUGUUCUAUUUCUUAUUGAUUCAUCAUCAUAUAGCAUUUUCAUUGGCUUAUAACAAGAAUGGUGUUAAUGGUUCAAUACAUGAUGAUUAUAACAUGAUAAUAUAGAUAAUAGGAGCAGUUAUUCAUCCAACAACAAGAGUGGGCAAAGAGCAAAAUAUAGCUACGGAAAUGGCAGCAUGAUGACUUCUAUAUUAAAUUAGAACUCAAUCAAUGAAAUUUAUUAUGACAAACCGACUCCUCCAAAAUUAAUCACGGGAGAUUUAGUCAGCAAAGAUUAUCACAAUUAACAUAUGAAAGCAUAAUCAAUUUAGAUGGUCAUUUAAAUAAAAAAAAUAAGAGAGCUUCAACGAACCAUAAAAUUAGAACAUGCGAAGAUUAAGUUAGUGAUUGAACCUUAAUGAGUUUUAACAGAAACGUUUUAGUUCCAAUCACUUGAAACGAGAGCAGAGCUAAGAUCAGAGACCUCAAAUAGAUGACGUCAGAGCUCUGUUUUGGCCAUUAUAACUUGAGCAAGAGCACAACAUUUUCAUUGACUUCUUAAUGAGUUUUCUUUAAUUUUAUUUAUUUUUGAGCUUCAUAUUACAUGGCAUAAAAAAAUUAUUUUGUCUACUUCUUUCAUGUCAUUGCUGCAUACUUCUCUUUAGAAAUUUCUUGAAGAGACAUAUUUUUAUUGAUAAAUUUAGUUGAAUGAUUUUAUUGAUAUAAAUGCCUAAGUUGAGUGAUUUUAUUGAUACAAAAUAAAGUUUAAUAACUUUAUUAGAUAAAUUGUGAAAGUUGUGUGACCUUUUAAAAUAUUAACUCUUAUUUAGAAACAAUUUAACUUGAAACUUCCUACCUUACCCUUGAUGAGAUUAUUUAUAGCCGCACAAAUAUCAAUGGUUUGUUUUAGAACACAAGUUCCAAAAGUCUUCCUUUUUGUCUUAAACUCCGUACCGAGUCAAACACCUCCACAUAAAUUGGGAUGGAGGGAGUAUGAGAUUACGUGAUUUACCCACCCUUAGAUAACUACCUUCUUUUCCAUUGUGCUUAAGUUUUUUCUCAAAUUUCUCUGCUACCAAUUCCUCUAGUCCCUUGUCCUUAAAUUUCCCCCUAGUGGCAAACCCAAAAUCUUAGUGAUGGUGCUGUCACCUUACUUCUAUAUAUACUUUCCAAUUUAGAAAUAUUCAGCACCUCGCCACUAGUACCAACUCGAACUUCCAUAAAUUGAUGUGAAGUCCUGUAACUGUUUCAAACCAAAUAAAUAUCCUGAAGAAAUAUCGACUGUCCACCUGUGGCUUAUCAAAAGAUAAUUACAUAAAACAGAGCUUCUAAAAAAUGAAUGUAUCAUCAACAAACAAAUAAAAGAUGUGAUAUAGCCAUUCUUCCUCUUAUUAUCUUUUUUUAAAAUUCUUUGUCUAAACUCUAAAGUAUUCAUCCUCUUACUAUCAUCAGCAUAGAGUAGAUGUCAGGUAUCAUUGGUGACCAGUAGAUGUGGUAUUGCCAUUCUUCUUCCUAUUUCCUUCACUGCUUCAAUCCCUCAAUAUAGCCUCUGCCACCGUUCUGUUUAUGAGCCUUCUAAAGGCCUCCAUCUCAAACAAGGAUGACUAUUGGGACAAACAUGUCUCCUUAUGUUAUAUUCCCGUUCAGCUACUCAAAUAUCUGCAAGCACUACCAUCCAAAAUAACAUAAAAGUUUUCCAUUGAAUAUGGUAAAUGAAGACAGCAUCAAUUUAGUUGAACUUCAGCUGAUUCAUGUUGUAUAAAACUGAGGACAAGGGCAUAAAUCAAGGACUGGAACUGUAUAAAACCUUGGUCUUUGGUUGAUGUCACUGCAUAUAGUGUAAGAAAGAAACUCAGAGAUAACAGAAUGCAUCAAUUGACAGGGAACUAAAUAUGAGACCUUUAACGACCUCCAAAAAGAAAUAAGCAUCUAUGUGUUCAAUGAAAAGAAGGAUUUUUAUGACUGGAAGGUGACUAGAAGAUAAAACAGGGAAACUAGCAAUGACUGAAUUAGUUUUAAAUGAAAAAGUGUUAAAUGUAGAGAUUCUCCUAUUGACCAGAAAAGAUUCUUGACAAAUGGUUUUUCAAACUUUGGGUGUUUUUUUCCUUGUAAAAGUUAUUUAUUUCUGGUAGUUCUUGCUGCAUUCCUGUGUGUUGUAGGCAUACCUUCUUCAACUUUGUGAUACUGAGACAAUGAGAAUGCUGUCCUUUCGGUCCAGUUAUUGACUGUUUGUUCUGGCUUUUGUGUCGACAGUUUGUGUCUUGUAGGCAUAGUACACUAGCGAAGUGCUUAAUUUUUUCAGCACAUCAUACUACACUAGCAAAUGCCUUACACAGCUUUUCCUGCUUUAGUUAUGUUCUUUCUGAAUGUGAAAUUUUCUCUGUGAUUGAUUGACAUCGUUUUGCAUGAUGAAAUCGAUAAUGCUAGAAAAAAUAUUUUUAACCUAGUGAAAAACAGUCUUGUAAUGUGCCUUUUAUCAAGUUUUAAUUUUCAUCAGUAAUUAUUAUUCUGAAAUAAUUGAAGCUGAGCACGAUGAACCUAUUUAUGGCGUGUUUUCUUAUGUGAUCAACUCUUCUCUUCUUAGUACUUAGAAGCCUAUAAAAGUCUUCAUUCUUGAUGAACUUCGAAUUUAUACUUCAUUUUCUCAGGUACAGAAAAUUCCCCGUUCUCCAUCUAACAGCCAAAAGGAUCUGGAUGAAUCCUGAGAGCUGGUUAUCAGAAAAGAGGUGAGCCUUUGUCAAAACUUCAUUGUGCAAUAUUUUUCAGUUUAUGUUGUCUUAUCUUUUUAAUGAACGAGAAUUAUUUAGAUAAGUCGAAGAAAAGAUAAUAUAGGAGUAUAUAAUUUGAGUUUUGAGAUCAAUAAUGGGAAAUAUUUGUUUGUUCAAGAUUAAAUUAUACUUGUGUUGCACAAAUUUGAGAAGAACAAAGGUUCAUGUGUAAUUUUUGAAACUAAAUGGUAGUGUAAUUCCCUCUCAAAAGGCCACAAAAGAAAUGAACUCUAGGCAAGAAAUGUUAGGUUGUUUAAAAUUUAAUAGAUCCACAAAAGGCCAAACACAUACACAAUCUCGCCCCUAAAUUUCAUUUAACGGUUCAACUCAAUCUUGUUUCAUUUUAAUCCUCCAAUUACAUUUUUCAUAUACCACUUAAACACGAAAUAUUGAUUGACCUGACCGGUGAGACUACCCCACUUUUUAAAGCGAGGGGCACAUUAAUUUCAUAGUUUCAUUUUUGUAUUAUUAUUUUUUAAUUUACCCCUCCUGUUGGAGCUCCUACCUUUGUUCCCUUGGUGACUUGAACUAACAAUCUUAAAAAUUGAAACUUGAAAGUGAAUGGGUUUACUAUUCGAACCACUCCCUCUUGUCUUUAUUUUUCUAUUUAGUUUGAUUGUUUUAAAAAAAAACUUUCAAGUACGUGAAUAUGGACAAUGUACAAAAUGUAUAAAUGCUAAAAGUGGAAUAUUUUACGUGUCACUCUUAUCUCUCUCUACCUAUAUGACUUGAAACCUAUCCAAAAGGUCAAAUUAAAAAUAGCUAAAUAUCUUCCCUACCAAACUUCGAAAAAGAGCCGUCGACAUUUCCCUUCUAAAUUAUCAUGUUUUAGCACCUAAUUUCAUUUAUUGGCAAGUAUACAUAAAAAUAAAAAAAAUAAAAACUUUUUUUCCUAAAAUUUAAUAGAGUAGUAAAUAAUUAACUAGAAUAGCUUUGACAAUUGACAUCGUUCAUUCUCCUUGUUUUGGAGAAACUUUACUCUCAACACAUUAAGUUAGCAAGAUUAAUAGGUUUAUACUAGGGUACCAACCCUCGUUUUGGAUAUUUAGAUGCUUAAUCAUAUUCAUACCUCUUAAUCUAAAUGUUGUUAAGACUCUGCUACAUAUCUGAUUCGUUCAGAUUCAUUAAGUUUUUUUUUUAAAAAAAAGAAGACAAAUAGACUUAAUGGAUUGAAUCAGAAUGAUUAAAAUUCAGGCAUAAAAACCAAACACACGUAGUGACUUGAAUCUGAAUAAUUAAAAUUGAGACCUUCAUUGAGUGCAAACAAAUAAGGCUGAAAUAUAUACCUAAAAAGUUUGUCUUUCCUCAGUCUCUUCAAAAAUUUGCAAAAAAAAUAGUAAUAUAGGACAAUCACAACAACUAUUAGCUUCAAUUCCAAAAUUUAGCUAAGAACACAUAAAUUGCCUUGACUAAAUUGGCAAUUAAAAAAAAUAGAACUUGCUUGGCAUGCCUAAAUAGCUUAAACUUUUAUACUAUAUUAUACAUCGUGGGAUAAACUACUUUAAUUAUAUUACUCCUAAUUGUCAAGAAUUGACUAGUUUAUAGAUUAGAUUGGCAUGCCUAAUAUAGCCCACGUGUUUUUUCCCCCUUAAAAACCAUAGAGGUAGGCGAAAAGGAAAAAUAGGGAAGGGAUUAUAAAGUGGAGAGUUAAACGUAAUUUUCACUAAUAAAAUAGAAAUUUAGAUAAUUAAUCAAUUGAGCUAUUAAGAUUAUCUAUUUUGCGCACGUUAAGUCUCGACGUAAGCAAUUUAAAGUUUGGUCUUUUCGCACAUCAUAAGUUCUUUAGGAAUUAAGUUACAUAGUAUGACAUGACUUGUGGGUUCUGAAAUUGAAUUGUUUCCUUACUCUAUAUACGUUUUAUGAGAGUGAAGUUGUGCAAUACGCCAUAACUUAUUAUGCUUUUUACAAUAUAACUUGUGGAAUAUUAUAACGUGAAAUAAAAAGUUUUAGAAAAAUAAUGAAGUUCUAACUUUAUUAUUCUAAAUAUAUUUUAUUUAGAUAUUAUGAUUACGUGUUUCAACAAUAUAUUUCUUCUAAUAAUAUUCCGAAAUACUAUUUUCACCUACUAGUAGUAAAGUUCUAGCUAAGUUUUUUACUAAUUUGAUCCGGAAAAAAAACUCAAAAGUCAUGCAUUUUAUAAAUUAAAUAUAAUAAUUUAAUUUUAAAAAAUAUCACAUGAACAAAAUUAAAUGUAAUGUGGCAGAUGAAUCAUGUAACCUACUCUCUUUAAUGAGAUCAUGCAAAAAUAUACUCCCUCCAUUUCAAAUUAAUUGAAUUGUUAAGAUAUUUUUUAUUUUUCAAAUUAAUUUAAUUGUUCAAUCUUCAAGACUAUUUUUAGAAUAUUCUACCAAUUUUACCCUUCAUUAGUUAGUAUUGGAAUUAAUUUUUAUAAUUAAUAUUUAGUUACUUUAAUCAUAAAUUUGACAAUAAUUAAUAAGGAUAAAAAUGGAAAGUUAUACAUAAUUUAUGUCUUAAUCUUCUUUUUUAAAGGGUGUGAAACACCUCAGCAAUUCAAUUAAUUUGAAAUGGAGGGAGUAUGAAGUAGCCAAGUAAUUAGAAGAUAAUUAAGACUAUUGAUAAUUUAAAUAUACUAACUAAUAAUUCCUACCACAUUAAAGGAGGUCUUUAGGUAUGUUGCCUAUUUAAUAUUGUGGCGUGCACUAUUAGAAUUAAUAAUUUACGUUAUUUGGUUUAAUUUUAGAUUUAAAAAAUAAUAAUUGAAUUAUUUUUUUAUGUAUGUAUGGUCAUAUGGAGUUAUCAUUUUUGUCCCUUUUUUGUUAUUGUUUUUUACUAGGACUUAGUUUAUAUUUUAUGUUUGAACAUAUAAUUGGUGUAUUUUUAAGUAUUGUGUUUUAAGUUUCACUUGUGAUUUAUUUUAGAAAUGUAACGACCUAUUCCAGUCGUUAUAGAAAUGCCAACGGGAGAAAAUUUGGGGACGGAAAACUUUUUCGUAGUAUUUGAAUUUUCCCAACCUAAUCCAGAUUUGGACAAAAUUGGAGUCUUUAAGGUGUAGGGAAAUCUAGUAACAACCGGGUGAGUUAAUUGUGAUUUUGAUUACAUAAGUAGUUAGAUAACUCGUUAAGGAAUCCAUACGACUUUACGAAAUUGAAUUCGGGCGAGUAGAACUCCCGAAAUCGAUCUUAGCGUAAAGGGUAUUUUCUGAGUGUCGUUGGUUAGAGGUGUGUUGUGAAAUAAGGAUUUUGGAAUUCUUUAAAUAGCUCUUUGUUUCGUGCAACCCGCCUUGGCGGGGAUUUUGGUCUCUUUGGCGAUGCUGCUAUAGCGGGGUGGUGGCCGCUGUGGCGGGCCAGACGCGACUUAAAGUCGUAAAUAAACCCCUAAACGACCUUAUUUGGCACUUUCGGGCCAGACGCGACUUAAGUGAUCGUCGUUCGAAUUCAAGUGUGAGCGAAUUCUUCCGGGCUGCCAUGAGUUCUCCUUUUGUCUAUGUCCAUAUUUCGAACUUAGACUAUGUUCUAAUUAGUUGAUUAGUUCAUUAGAUUGGAGUUGCAUCCUUUCUUGUUUAGACUUGUUGAACUUUAGAUGUUUUGGUACAUUGACUUUUAGGUUCUAGGCAUUACUUCUGCAUUGUUAGUUUAUUAUUGUUAGACUUUUGUUAGAGUUUAUGAGAAUUCUAUUUAUUUACUUAGUAUUUAACUUGCUUCCGUAACUUAAAUGUCUUAGUUUUGGUUUAGUUGUUUGGUUUGAGUUGUAGUAGUGGUUCUCCCACUGGAGAGUUAGUGUGGGUGUCAAUCACGAAGGUCUGGAUCGUGACAAGAAAGUAAAUUUAAGAGAUUCAAUAUUUGUACUAUUUCUCCUUGUACUUAUAGUUUUUCAAAUUACAAAAAUAACUUUUAUUAUGUUGUUAAUUAUUGACAUAAUCAAAUAACCAAACCAAAAAAAUCAAAUCGAAAAAAGAAAAACUAAACCAAACAAAAUAAACUUAUUUUUAUUCAAAUUGGGUUAUACUUUUUCAAAACCAAAAAUUAAAAAGUCCAAACCAAACGGUACAAAAAUGAACACCCAUAAUUCAAAUUCACAUUGUAAUAAUUAGGAUCACAAAUAUGCCUAGACAAAUAUUUAAAGAAAAACAUUAUUUCGUUUGAUUUGAUAUGAAAUUUUAAUUAAAUAUGAAAAUCUCGUAAUAUCUAAAGGUACUCUCGGAAAGAGUAAAUCUUUAUUGACUUCUUGUCAAAUAAGUGAGAGUCAACAUGAAUAAAAUGUUGAUACAGUCAUUACAUAUUAAUCAAAUAUGUCAUUAUAUUUUAAACCGACUAAAAAUAUAUAUUAUAAAUUAUGACAAAAAAAAAGUAUAUGAUAUUGUAAAUGUAUGUAAAAAAUAAUUCUAUAUAUUACUUACUUAUCAAACUAAAAUAAACUACACAUUAAUUUCAUAGUUUCUUCAAUUACGUGAAUAUGGACAAAUGUAUAAAGUCAUGGAUGCUAAAAAUGCACUAUUUUACGUGUCACUCUUAUCUCUCUCUACCUAUACCUAUAUGACUUGAAACCUAUCCAAAAACUUUUUUUUAAAAAAUGGUUUCAUAUCUUCCACCUAUUCAUUAUAUAUAUAUAUCGAUUAUUGAAGAUGACUCCUUUCUUUUUUUCAUUCCGUCCGACAAUUAUAUUGAGAUUCAAUUAAAUUAUCUACUGCAAGGUUCAUUUCUAAUGAAGUGCUUUUCAUAUGAUUUUCUUUUUCAUUCUAAGCGUUUGAAAUUAAAAAGUUUGAUGAACAAUAAAUUAAUUUUAACUAUCUCACUACGAUUCAUAUCGAUAAAAAUGUGACUCUUUUUUAAAACAUGAGAAAAACAAGAGUAUAUAAUCGACGGUGAAAACAAAGCUAGGUGCUAAGACAAAAUUAUUUAUGUCACCUAAACAUUGGGAAGGAACUAAGAAGAUAUAUCUAGCUAGAUGAAGACUUUGAUAAAAUUCCAAUACCAAAAGAAGUAUUAUUUUAAAAAAUAAAUAGAUUGGGGUCAAUUUAUUUAUGUAUUAUUUGAAAUUGAGCAAUUUUGUUUUCUCGUUAAAAUUUUGAUUUUAAUAUUACUAUUAUCCUUAGAAAAUAAUCUCAUAUUGCAUUAAGUUUCCGGAGUUUUCACUCUAAGUAUAAUUAAAAGUUAAAAAAUAAAUUUAAAAUUAUGUUAAUAUUAUUUGAAGAAUUUUAAUACAUUGAGUUUAUUUAUUUCACAAGUACUUUCAGUACAUGUGCAAUUAAUAAUCUGAACUUUUUCUUUCUUUCUUUCUUUAAGUUAAGACUCUUUUUCAUUCUCUUUAUUUAUUUAUUUUGGUUAUAUAUUUUAUUUAUUUAUUUAAUGUAGGUGAAUAUAGUAGAAAAAAAGAAUUCAAAGUUGUCAAUUAGAUGUUUUAGAGAAUAAAAAAAUGUAUAUAAAUAGUGACAUAAGUUUCUAUCAAUGGAUAUUAUAAUGCAAAAAUUUAUAUGUACAGCGGCCAAAAAUAUUAUUCAUAGGAAUUUGGGGCGCAUUUAUUUUACAACCAAAAAAUUGGUAGGGGGGGCAGAGUAUUAAAUUAAAUUCAUAUGUUCAAAAAAAUGUGGGGGAAGGGGGGUGGACCUGAAAUUAAAGAGAAUAAGAAAAGGAAAAUUGUAUACCUAUGAUGAAAAUAUUUGAUUGGGAGCGUUAUCUUCAAAAAUGAAGUAACGUGUGAAUUUGGUUAGUUUUGACAUUAAAUAGUAAAUGAAAAAUAAAAAAUAAGAUAACAAUUUUAUCAACGAAUAACACUUAAUUUUCAAUAAAAAAAUCAUACUUACCUAGAAAAGAUAUAUAAAUGUAUAAAAGGUUGAAGAAGUUAAGGCUAUUAUUGGUUCCUGAAAAAAAAAAAGGUUGCUAUUCGUAGAAUAAGCAGAGAUAUUAGAGAUUAAGAACAACAAUAUAAAAAUAAGAGAAACAAUAGAAGAUAAGUUUUAUUUUCUUUUUUCAAGUAUAUAAAACGACAUUCUUAAAACUUUUUUUUUUUGGAAUACAUUAGGGAAUAUCAAAAGAUCUCAUAAUUAUGAUUUAUGAUAUUAAUCUUCACAAAGGAGGUGAUGGUGUAACCGUGUAAGUAUUACAACUCAUAAGGAGGAAUUAUACUCCUUCCUUCUGUUCCUUUUUAGUUGUCGUGUUGUAUAUUUGAAAGUCAAUUUAAAUAAUUUUUAAAGUUAAAUUAAAUUACAUUAAUUUGAUAUUUUAAAUUAAAGAUUUAGAUAUUCAAAAAUUAUCCAAAAAAUAUUAUAAAUUACAAGUUUUUGCAUACAAUAUAAUAAAAAAAAUACAUCGUAAAAUACUAAUCAAUUUUUUUAUUGUUUGACUCUAAAAAAAAGAAAAAUAAUGGAGGUAAUUAAAAAUUAUGAAUAUCCAUAAUUAAGAAAUAAUAAUAUUUACAAUGAUUUAAACAGUUGAAAAAAUUUAUUUUUGAUAAAAAAUUAUUAUUAGAGUAAGAAAAGUCUAGAUGGUCCUCAUUGGCUCCUCAAAAUUAAAAAAUAAAUAAAUUAUGACAUUAUUAUUAUUAUUAUGCAAAUUUUGACCUCUUUCGAUCACUUAAUUAAUUCUACUCAUAUCCCUAAUAAAAUAUGAUAAAAUCCAAAUUUAUGACUAUGGUCUUAUUUACUUAUAAAUAAUAUACACACUCACAAAAAAAAAUGCAUAUCAACUUCUCCCUUUGAGCCUCAUUUAUUAUCACAAUCCAUUUAACCAUUUUUUUGUUGAAGAAAAUUAUUAUCAAUGGCAAAUUUGAUUUCAAAAUCAACAAAAUUUAACCAUUUUCUUCUAAACACAAGGGUUCGUUUCUUCUCACCAUUUACAACUUCUUCCGGCAACGGAGGUGGUGGUUUUAUUAAGCCGACGGGGAGUUUUUCCGGCGAGUCUGCCACCAUUUUUCGGCCGGAACGUUACCAGUCCGGUAAAGCUGGAGAGCAGCUAGAUACAAUUGACUAUGAAGAAGUUGAAAAUCAGGUAAUGUUUUUUACUAUUUCCCUCCGAUAACUUUUUAGCGACAUAAUCAGAAAUUUAUAUCAACGAAAAAGAACUACUAUUAAAAUGUCAUAUUUGGAAUUUAAACAUGUGAUCGAUCGAAACAACUUUUGAAUUCCUAAUUUACUAAAAAAAUCAUUUUUUUUAAUAAUCGUAAUGUUUAGUUAAAUUUCUGCACACUUUAAUUUGUUUUACUAUAUAAAUAUCAAAUAAUUAUAUAUAUCUAAUAAAAUUGGAAGAUGAUAAGGAGUUAUAUAGUAGUAUUAGUUUUGACGGUAGAAUUUGAAUUCGAAAUCUUAGGAACUUUAAUAGAUUCUAAGUUAAAAAGUUUAUUUAAUUUUAAAAUAAUAAUAAUAAUGAAAAAAAUCAUAAUAAUAAUUCAAGAAAGUUUGGUAUUAGACGAUUUGAACAAAUGUGACUCACCAUCACCAUGACGUGUUUCAUUUUGAGAUGUUUGAAAAGAAGUUUGGCAUUUAUCCAAGAAAACAAAAUAAUUACAUUUGCCAAGUGUAAGCGUUAGAUCGUUUGAUAGGUGAAAUAAGAAAGUAUAAUUUUAGUAUCAAAUACAUUAGAAUUAUUUUACCUUAUCAUUUAAUGAUAGACAGUGAAAUAAGUUAUCUCAUAUAAAUAACGAAAUAAUAUACUCUUUAUAAGCUAUGUUUUUCUUUUACAAAAUUUAGACUGAUGUUUUUUAAAUGUAAAUUUAUGAAUCAAGUUUUUUAUUUAAAAAAAUUAAAAUCAUGAUUUGAAAUUUUAGAUUUAUGGCCCCAAAUUGCAUAUUCAGACACUAAUUUAAAACCAUAACUUUAUAUCCCUUUAUAUGAUAUGUCCAAACGCAAACUUAAGAAUACUAAUUUGUUAAUAGACUUUAAUUCCCAAAAGAGUAGUUACUCUUUUAGUUAGGUUAGACUUUUAUGAAAUCGAUUUUAAUUGUCUUUAUGUAUACAAUAAAUUCAGUUGUCAGAUUGUUAGGUAAGAUGUUAUUAAAUCAUUUUUAUUCGUCUUUAAUUCCGUAAAUACUUUAUCUUUUUUUUUUCUAAUUUGGGUAAGGAAAAUGGAAAAGGGAAAGAGGUUGCCAAAUAGGGAAUAUAAUAUUUACUGUCAAACAGCCAAUUAAUUGAGCUACUAAGUUUUUUUUUAGUUCGGUUGAUAAUAUUGCAUGCUUUUCUUUUUGAUUUAUUUAUUUAAUUCUAACUUGAUACUGUGUUUAAGAAAAUAAAGAAGAAAUUUUAACUGUAUAAUCUUAAGCUAAAGAUAUGAGAAUGUAUUAGAAUAUUUUAAAUAUUUUUUUGUGGUCUUAAUAUAUCCUAUGAAAAGUCGAAAUUAAAAAUUACCAAAAAAAUGAGAUAUUUGUAAAAAUAGAACAAGAAAAAAUAACUUGACGGAUGAUAUUAACCAGUCAAGUUAUUUUUCUUCUAGAAAUUUAACAUAAAAUAGCUAAAUUUUCUUCUAAAUCAAAUAUAUAAUCACCCUUUCUCGACGUCUCCGUCAUGUGUAGGCAGCCAUGUGAUACAUGUUGUUGUUGUUACACUUGUCAGUGGUGAACACUACAAAACAAUGUCUCCUCUUAUGUUUUAACCUAUUUUGACAUAAGUACAAUUAUUUUUUAAAGAAUAGUAACUUUUAAUUUUAUUUCAAAAAUAGUAUUGGACAGUUUAUCUCUUGAUUUUCUAAACUGAACAAGUAUUGUUAAACAAUUAUUUUUAAUAUAAUGGACAAGUAAGGAUAUACGACUAGUACCUGGUUAUUAAAAUUUAAAAUUUUGAAAAAGUGUUUUGUUUCCUUUUUUUUUUUUUCUUCUCAAAAACUUGUACAAUGAUCCAAAAGAAGGUUAUGAGAAUUUUUCAUUUUUUUUUUCGAAAAAUUUACUUUAUUCUAUAUAUAGUUUCCUCUUCUAGUGUCUCAAUUCCAUGAACAUUUCCUUCUAGUUCUUGAUGAGUAGAGCAUCAAGAAAAUAUAAAAAUAAAAACUUAAAAUUUUACUACUUCAUAUAAUAUGAUGGGAUUCCUCUUCUCCAAUUGUAAACAAACUCAUAGAAUUGUUCGUAAAAAACACUUACACUUGUUGGUUUUUCAUCAACAAGACUUUUAUCAUUGAAAGAACAAUCUUCUCUGUUUGCUGAAAAUGACGAUGAUUUUCAGGUUAUUAUCAUUUCAUCAAGUUUUAUUUGUAACGACACGUACAAUGAUGAUUCAUGUAAUUGUUGGAAUUGGCAGGUGAUGGAUUUUCCUGGUGGAAAAGUUCCAAUUACUUCUCAAAUGAAGUUUAUUUCGGAGUUGUCUGAAAAGAGAUUACCUUGUUAUAGAGUUCUUGAUGAUGAUGGUUAUCCACUUCCAGGGACAAUCUUUGAGGAGGUAAUUUCAAAUCUCAUUUCUAUUGAAUUGAAAAAGAAAAAAAAAUGAAUUGAAAUUUGAUGCAUUUAUUUGGUUAGGUGAGCAAAGAAUUGGCAAUAAAGAUGUAUAGUUCAAUGGUGACACUUCAAACUAUGGAUACCAUUUUUUAUGAAGCACAAAGACAGGGGAGGUUGUCUUUUUAUCUCACAACUGCUGGAGAAGAAGCUAUCAACAUAGCAUCUGCUGCUGCUCUCUCCUUAGACGACUUCGUGUUACCUCAGGUACUUUUUUGCUAUUAUUAUUGUUAUUCAGAGACGAAUUCAAGAUCGUAGGUUCAAAAUAAGUGUAAUCUUUUUAUACGUUGUAUGAGCUGAAAGCAAUGAAUUUGGCACUUUCUUGUAUCAUGUUUAGUAGCAUUUUUUUGGUUAUAUUUGUUCUAAUAGAUUUUAACAAUAGUUUCAUGAUCCUACAACCGGGAAAUGAUGUAAUUCAAUAUGUUGUUGUACAUUGCAGUACAGGGAAGUAGGGGUUAUAUUAUGGCGCGGUUACCCCUUGGAACAGGUUGCCAAUCAAUUGUUCGGAAACAAGUUUGAUUAUGGAAAAGGAAGGCAAAUGCCAUGCCACCAUGGUUCUAAUGAGCUCAAUUACUUAACUGUUUCUUCGCCAAUCGCGUAAGAAUCUCAAAGUUUUUAGCAUUUUCCCUUAAGAUUCAGGAUAUUCCAUCUAAACAAUUUUCUGCUCCGAAUUCCAUUUUCAUCAGAACACAGAUUCCUCAGGCCGUGGGCGUUGCUUAUUCCCUCAAGAUGGAAAAAAAGGAGGCUUGCGCGGUCACUUACUUUGGAGAUGGCAGCACCAGUGAGGUAAUUAAACUAAGCAAAAUAACGCGAUUUUUAGGCAUAUUCUACGUCAAUUGGCUGAUUUUUUCAUGAUGUAAUUUGCAGGGAGAUUUCCAUGCUGCAUUAAACUUUGCAGCGGUACUGGAUGCUCCUGUUGUCUUUAUAUGCCGCAACAAUGGAUGGGCCAUUAGCACUCCUAUAAACCAACAAUUUCGAAGUAUUUUCCUAAAACUCAUUUGAUAUACAAUGCACCUUUUACUAGUAAUUUUCUCCAAGGUAGAUUUUCUGAUGUCUUGUUAUGUCAGGUGAUGGAAUCGCCUCUAAAGGACAAGCGUAUGGUAUUAGAAGCAUUCGUGUAGAUGGCAACGAUGCCUUGGCAACUUAUAGUGCUAUUCGUGCAGCUCGCAAAAUGGCAAUUAAGGAACAAAGGCCAAUAUUAGUAGAGGUAAAAACUCACAUCAGAGUUCAAGUUACAACACAAUGUUGCAAAAUCUGGACUGAAUCUUGAAAUUGUUAAAACAUAAAUCACUCUUAUAAGUACUAGCUUGACAUUCUUUGUGUAACUUUUAGGCCAUGACAUACAGAGUAGCUCACCAUUCAACAUCUGAUGAUUCAACCAAGUAUCGACCCGUGGAGGAAAUCGAACACUGGAAAACAGCAAAAAGUCCAAUAGCAAAAUUCAGAAAAUACAUUCAAAGAAAUGGCUGGUGGAGUGAUGAAAAUGAAUCCAAACUUCGCGGAGACAUCAGAAAACAGGUUCAAUAUUGGCAGAACAACAUUGAUCUUCAUCUGAUAUCUGCUAAAUACUUAUAAUGUUUUGUUUCUUCUUCUUGAAUCAGGUGUUGGAAGCUAUUCAAGCAGCAGAGAAGGUGGAGAAACCUUCAUUGACAAAUUUGUUUACAGAUGUUUAUGACAAAAUGCCAUUAAAUCUUCAAGACCAAGAGAAAUCUGUUAAGGAUGCUGUUAGAAGAUUCCCAAAAGAAUAUCCUUCUGAUGUUCCUAUAUAAGCUUAUAGUGUUUUAUGAUUAGGGGCAGAGCUACAGCUUCACAAUUACUUCAUUUGUGUUUAAAUAUUCGCGUUAUAUGUAUAAUUAAUUAGUAAACUCUUAUCUUCUAGAAUUCAAAACUCAUAAACUCAAAAUCCCAACUCCGUUUCUGAAUAGCUAGCUAGAAUGCAACUCUGAAAUUGCCAAAGUUCUAUAAAGUUAUAUAUAUAUAUAUAAAAAUAUCUACAUUAAAAACAAAAGUUCUGAAACAAAUGCUUGACUUCAUCUCUCGUCUAGUAUAUGUUAAUGGUAUUAACUUUCUCUCUGUUGAUGGCUUGAUUUUAUAAUGAGUAUGUUAUAGUUAUUCAAUUUGUAUAUGUCAAUUAAGAAAAAUGCAUUUGAGUAUACUCUAUUCUCUUUAGAUACUACUUAAGAAAUUUCACUGAAUUAUUGUUGUGAUUGAUUAUUAAUAGUGGAUUUAUUUUGGAAAACAAAAUUUUCAUAUUAUCUAGUGAAAAACACAAGUCUACUACUAUUAGAAUGACAUAUCAAACAUUGUAUUUAAAAGAGAAAAUCUUUUAUUUUUAUAUAAGAUACUUUUUAUAAAGACAUAAUAAUAAAAAUUAUUGGUCAUCUAACUCUAAUUCUAUUAAUGAAAUUUAUAUAAGAAAUAUUUGAUGAAUAUUUUAUAAUUAUAAUUUUAAUGCAUAUUAUUUUAUUUGUUUGACAAAAUUUAUUUAAAAGAAACUUUUGUAAAUUAAUUAGUGCAUUAUGCAUAGCGCAAAUAUAUUUUUGAGUAAAGUUUAUGUUUAGCAAACAUAAAAAUCAUAUUUGUAUGCUAUAUAACUAUAGUUUGCAUAUGCAUCAGAUUUGUAUAAAUCGUUGGCAGCCUCUCGUUUGUAUAAAGCGCAACGAUUGUAUAUGUAUAUCGGUUAGAUAAUUGUAUAUAUGUAGCUACUAUGUAUAUGUAUCAAUGAUUGUGUUUGUAUAUCUGCAUAAUAUUUGAAUUUGUAUACGAUUGAAUUGAAAUAAAACAUUUGUAUAUCAAAUUUCUCUCUCUCGCUUUAUACAACACAAAGUAUAGAUUGUAAUUUGUAUAAUUUGUGUUUGUAUAAAGCGAGAAAAAGAGAAAGGGAAAAGAAAAUUGGUAGAUGAAGAUAUGUAUUUGUAUAAUUAUAAGUGUACAGGACGAAAAUAUAUGUAUUUGUAUUUGUAUAUAUAAUUUUCUCUCGCUUUAUACAAACACAAACACAAUUUAUACAUUUGUGUUUGUAUAAAGUGAGAGAGGCAAGGGAGAGUGGGGAACGAGAUCUAGGAGAGUGGGGAGCGUGAUUCGCUGGAGAGAGAGGCAAAUGAUAACUGUUUGCUACAAAUUACAAUUAAAUGAAACUGUGUUAUAACAUUUAAUUUGAAUUAAUAGUUUGCUAUUUUAUACAAUUUUCCCUAUAUUUUAUAGUAUCAAAAAAUGAGGAAAAAGAAGAAGAAAUAUCAUUGUUAAUUAUCGAGAUGUGUUACAUCACUUUAUCUAUUCCUAACUUUGUAUUAUAUAUAAGAUAUAUAAGCACAAACCUAAUAAAUAUUACUAAUACAAUCUCAAUUUAUAUGACACUGAUAGAAUUUUAAGAGUUAAACAAAUUUUUCUUUGAUCAUAAUUUUUAAAACUAAUUUAAGCUAUUAAUUAUUGUGAUUCAUAGUACUUUUAACAUAAUUUGUAAAUAUAUAAAUAACUGAAAAUGCCUUUACUCCAUUAGUUCCUCUAUUUCAAUUUAUGCGACACAAUCAAAUAUUUUUUUAAAAUAAUUGUAAAGAAUAAGAAGUGGUGGAUCAAUUUUCAUAAGUUUAGUGAAUAAUGUGAAAUACUUAUACAAAUAAAAAUAUGGAAGAAACAAGAAAAUGUAGGAUCGUUUGUGUACUUGGCUAGUCAAGCAUGGCAUGAUCUAUAAUUAUAUACAUUUUUAGGCUUAUGUUAUCAAGAAAUAGAGAAAUAAAUCUCUAUGCAGUAUUAAUCCAAAAUAAUCGAGCUUUAAUACAGAUAUCGAUCGAAGAAAAAAGGAAAUAGCUAUACACACAAAAAAUUUAAUUGCCGGCCCAAAACUAAUAGUAGUAGUAAAUAUUUUUUCAUGAAAAUAAAAGAUUGAAAUACAUAUAGAUGAAAAUGGAGUUGUGUUUCACAAGGAUUGAGAAGAAUAAAAGAUAAGAGAAGAGGACGUAUGAGCUAAUCGAAGAAGAUGACAUCCAAUAUUCAUUUGCUAAAACCCUCUUUCUCUCCUCCUAAAACCCUACCCAGAUACUCUUCAUCUCCAUUCACCGCUUUCAAUUUCCACCUAAAACCUCGCCGGAAUUCCCUCUAUAUUGGCUCAAAGCCCUUCAAUGUCUACCCUUGUAAAGCUGCUGCCUCCACUUCCAGUUCCAAUUCUAACUCUGCUGGUGAUGAAACUGAAUCAGCUCAGCAGCUGUUUGAGGUUAGCUUUCUCUCUCUCUUUUUUUUUCUUGAAUGAUGUGGUUUUGCGCAUGCUUGCAUUGAUGUAGAUGGGAAGAAUUUUUAUAGUUUUAGAUUUUUUCAUGCUAAUUUGCUGAUUGGUAGGUGUAUUAAGUGUAUUACCUUGGCUUUGAAGGUUAAAUUUACGGAAUUUGAUAAUCGAAUUUUUGCUUGCUGCCGAAACAUAAUACUUUUAACAAUUAGUUAACUUAGGAAUCCUAUUAGGGUGAUGGAGAUUGCAUGAAUUGUUUUGUUGAAUGAAUUCCAUGGAACUUGAUACAGAGUUAUUCCUUUUGGUUACCGGAUACUCUAGUUGGUUGCAGAAUUUUUAUCUGUUUAUGGGAAUUUAUUGAACAAUCUCAAGUAUGAUUAUGAUUCCUGAGAUAACCAUAUUUUGCAUUAUUCGGAUUAGAAGUACGUGGUAAAACAAUUAAGGGUUAACAACAACUAAAUAAUUAUGACUUGUUACUUCAGGUUACAUACAGGAAAUUUGUUUUAAUGCUAUGAUUUGUUUAAUGGGAUCUCAGAAACUGAAGGAGGCAGAGCGUGAAAGGAUAAAUAAUUUAGAGGAGUUUGAAAGAAAGGCAAAUGUUCAAUUAGAGAGGCAGCUUGUGCUGGCUUCAGAAUGGAGUAGGAAAUUGCUGGCCAUGCAGGGAAAGCUGAAGGGGACAGAGUGGGAUCCUGAAAAUUCUCAUAGGAUAGACUACAGUGAAUUCCAAAACCUUCUGAAUGCAAACAAUGUGCAGUUUAUGGAGUAUUCGAACUACGGACAGACAGUUUCAGGUUAACUAUUCUCUAUGUGUUUCUUACUUUCAUUUUGUUAUGAUGCUUGAUUGAGCUUUGUACACCAUAUGUUAAGCAAUAGAAGGUCUUCCUGCGAUUGAGCAUCAUAACAAAUUAAAAGAAUUUAUUUCUAGGUAGCAGACAACUUUUCCGUCCAAUACACAUGGUGAAAAUUGGGUAAGUGUGUGUGGUUGGAGCACUUCUUGUACGGUUGCACCUCCCAAGCAAAUUAACAAAUCACCCAACUAAACUAUUGUGCAUGCAUUUAGGUAAAAGGUUACAAAUUUAAAGAAUAUGAUUCUAGGUAUUAGUACCUUUGGGGAUCUCCGAUAAAAUUCUAGGUACUGAAAGCUUUGGAAGUCAUUGUUACUAUCUAUUGUUAAUUUCUGACAAUAUCUAACCUUAUCAACUUAGUUAUCACUUAUCAAGAUGUUUUUUCUCUAGGAAUCAGUUAUGCAAUAUCUAAUAGAUGAUAUCUUACCGCAUUCCCAAGUUUGUUUAUUUGGUUUCCGGUUUAUUUGUAGUGAUUCUUCCAUAUUACAAGGAUGGAAAAACAAAUCGUUCAGGAGGGGACACUAAAAAGGAAAUUGUUUUCAAGCGUCAUGUCGUUGACCGGAUGCCAAUAGAUAGAUGGAAUGAUGUUUGGAGGAAGUUGCAUCAACAACUUGUAAAUGUUGAUGUGUAUAAUGUGAAUAACAUCCCUGCUGAAGUUUAUUCUACUGUCGCGACAGCAGGUGUGUGGUCUAUGCGGCUGGCACUUUCAGUUCUAUUGUACAUUUGGAUUGAUAAUAAGAUGAGACCAAUUUAUUCAAAAUUAAUACCUUGCGAUUUGGGCAGCCCUCCCAAAAAGAUAAAAGAGCCACUCAAGCAGCGUGCCCUUGGUUCAUUAGGAAAAAGCCGGUAAUUGAAAACUUUCACUGCUUGUUAUAUAUGUUUAUUGACUGUAAACUUCCUUUCAAUUUUGUAUGUUCUAGAGAAGUUGGAUUUAUACCUUUCCUCGCAUUUUAUCAAGUUUCAUCUUUGUCACUGUAAAGCUUGAAAUUAUGUAUGUUUUGAAUCAGAUGGGUUUUACUGUGAGCUUUGAUAGGAGUAGUUGUCCUUUAGGACCAAUUUCCCUGAUAACUUUGGACUUAUCUAUGAAAGUGAAACACCCGAAAUGCGGCACAAGCUCAAAGUUCAUAUGUAUGUCUAGUUCACAUGGGUAGAAUUUAGCAACAAUGUGGCAUUUGGAGUAGGGGAUAGGAGAAGAGUAAAAUUUUGGAGGUAUAAGUGGUGCGUGGAUAAUGCUUUGAGCAUUACAUUCCCCAACUUAUAUAGCAUUCAAGCCGAAAGGAGAUGAUAAUCUAGCGAGUUUGGAGAUUACAAGAUGGGGAGGCUAUUGGGAUUUGCAGUUCAGGAUUUUUUUUUUUGAAAUAGGAAGAGCUGGAGUUCCUAAGUUUGUUCGAGUUGUUGCAUAAACAAGGAUGCUCACCAAAGGGACAUGAUGUAUGGGAAUGGGGUUUGGGGAACAAUAGAGACUCUUAUGCCAAAUCAUUUUAUGAGAAGCAGCCAUGCAGAAGGGGGCCGUCAGAUCGUUAGAUCUGGAGUUCUCGCAAGGCCAGGCGACCAGAAUUCCAGUUUCGGCGAGCUGGUUUAUGUAAAUCUAGGGCUGAAGGGAACUUGUUCCGACUUUUUGAAGGGUGACGGCCACUCUAGGUUGCUGGGCAAACCGGAAUGGAAGUGGUUCUGGGGUUGGUUCACCUCCGGCGACCUCGCUGGAGCCAAAAAAUGUCUUGGAUCCGGCUAGAAAUUUUAGAUCCUGAAUUUUGAACCUGUUUUACUGGUUCCAACUCCAUUUUUGCUUCUACUAAGGAAGAAAGGACUGCUAGUCAUGUUUUUGGUAACUGUUAACUGUUUUUGGGUACUAAACAUGGCUGUUAUGAUGUUCAGGAAGAUGAUGUGUUGUCAUUAGCAUGUUUUGAGGAAGGUAGAAGCUUGAUUAGUAGGGAGGGAGAGAAAUACUUGAUGUUCGGGGAAUUUUUGGGAGUGGUCUUUGAAGGGAAGGAGGGUAGGGUGUUAGAACUCCUUUGGGACAUUGAAGAAGAGGCAAAAUGGGUUAGAGAAAAGGAGAUUGUUGACGUGAGGGUGGGUAAGGAAAGUAGCUUGCGGAAGGAUAAAAGGGAGAAGGUAACUUGCUGGAGUACAAGAGGAGAGGUAGGAGUAGGAGUCAGAGUAGGGGUAUAGGAGAUUGGAGGACUGCUGGUGAGGGUAAAUUUUAACCUACUGGUGUUCAAGAGGAGAUGUAGGAGUAAGAGUGGGGGUACAUGAGAUGGGAGGAUGUGUGUGAGGGUAAAGUUGUUGAUUAUGGAAGUAAAAAUUAUUUCUUAGAAUGUGAAGGGGGGAUGAAUGACCCCAAUAAGAGGGCUAUUACUAAAAUGGGAGUAGGGAGUUGGGAGGGGAGGGGGGGACUUUUGUGCUUUUAAGAGACUAAAAUGGAGGUGGUGACAGAUGCGGUGGUGGAUGGGUAAAAUAUGAUUGGGUUUCGGCAUUAGGGAAUGCAUGGGGUAUCAAAGUUUUUGGGGAUGACAGAAAAUUGGAGGUGAUGGAGGUAAGUAAGGGGGAGUUUAUGAUCGCAGUGCGGGUAAAAUCUUGGGAAGUAGUGAGGAGUUAGGCUUCGAGGGAAGGGGGGUGUACGUUCCGGUGGGGAGGGAAGUAAAGAGAGUUUGUGGGAAGAUAUAUCCACUAUUAUGAUGGGUUGGGAGGUCCCUUGGGUGUUAGGAGAGGAUUUUAGCACUAUAAGAUUUUAUGAGGAGAGAGUGGAUUGCAAGAGUGAUCUCUAGGGCGAUGGAGGAGUCCUUAAGGUUUGUUGAUAACCAAUAUCUUAUUGAUCUUCCUUUGACAGGGCCACAGGGGCAAAUUUUACUAGGACCAGAGCAAGUGAUUCCUCAUCAAAAUCUAGACUCGUUAGAUUCUUGGUAUCCACUGAUUGAGAGGAGUUGGUCCCAAAUAGUGGUGGCAAAUGGGUGGGUUGGGUCAAAUUUGGGCUGGUUGAAAAUGGGUCAACAUAAAAUGGGUAAUAAUUCAACCCGCCCAUAUUUGAUAUGGGUAAAAAUGGAUUGGGUAAAAUACUAGUUUACCCAUAUUUUCAUGAGUAAAUAGUACUCUACUUAAGAAUUCAACAUGGAGAAAAUAUUUUAGUCUUUUUUUAGAUGAAAAAUGUUGAAAAUGCUUCAUUUAGUUUUAUUGUAUCAUAAAAGUAAAAAAAAAAAAAAAUUUCUAACUUUUCAAUAUAAAAUAUAUUUAUGUAAUAACAAGGGGAAAAUAUUUUUAAUUUCAAAGUAAAUGAAUAGUUGCAUUUUAGGACUAAAACAUGCUUAAUGCACUUUAAGGCUUAAGCAUUGUCAAUACUAAUACGUGAUUUGCUUUUUUGACACUAUUAUUUAUUAUCCAAUAUAAAAUUAAACAAAUAUAAAAAUAUAAUUAUAAUUAACAAAAGAAAUGUACAUUUAAAAUAUAUAUUUUUGGAGGGCCAAAGACUUCACCUUUUCAAUUAUAGAGAAAAAUAAUUAGUUCUAUAGAAGAACAUAAAAAGGAAGAGAAGUUACAAUUUUUUUAGUGAUAUCAUGAAUUUUGAGUGAAUAAAAGUUAGAAGCUUAACCCAUUUGGCUAAUCCAUAUUUUACCCAUAUUUUUAUGGGCUAAAUAUGGGUAUCAACCCAUAUUUUACCCAUGUAAAAAGUCACUCACCCAACCCAUUAAAAUAUGGACGGAUUGGGCGGGUUACCAAAAUAUGGGCUCAUUUUGCCGGCACUAGUCCCAAAUGUGUUGCAAGUCUCAUUACCUAGAUUGACUUUGGAUCAUACGCCUAUCUUGCUAGAUGGGAGUAGAAGGAGCAGUUUGCGCAUUUCGUUUAGAUUCAAGAACAUGUAGCUCAGAGAACUAGAUUAUGUGGAUAUAGCAAAUAGGUGGUGGAACGGGUCUGAAGUUUUUGGGAUACUUUCUUUCUGUCUUGCUAGCAUCUCUAAAGAAAUGGGGAGGGCUUGGAGUGAAAGAUUUCAGGAUGUAUAAUGAAGCUUUGUUAGGGAAGUGGAUAUGGAGAUUCGGGAUGGAAGAGAAUGCUCUUUGGAGGGGGGCGGUGGAUAAAUAUGGUAUAAUGGAUGAUGGAUCGAGUAUAAAAAACAUUGUAACUUCGUUUAGGUAUGGUUUGUGGAGGAAUAUCAUGAAGGGGUGGGAACAUUUUUGUGGACAUAUCUCUUUCAAGGUUGGGGACGGAAGUAAGAUUAGUUUGAGGACACAUAAGUGGUGCAAGGAGAUCGAGUUGAAGGAAGCCUUUCCUAAUUUAUAUCGUGAAUCUGGCCAGCGAGAGAUGACAAUCCAACAAAUUUGUAGGUCUCAUGAGGGUGUUAUCCACUGUGACUUAAGAUUCAAAAGGAACCUAAAUCAUUGUGAGAUGGAAGAAUUUAACACUUACUUAAGAUUCAAAAGGAGCCUAAAUCAUUGUGAGAUGGAAGAAUUUCACAAUUGAUAGAGCUUUUGUAUAGCCUAGACACACCAAACAACUUAAUGGAUGUAUGGAGGUUGCAAGAGAGUGAUGAUGGCUUAUUCACCGUUAGCUCUUUUUAUAAGAAGUUGCUAGUGAGAGAGGAAGGUGCUUAUCCCCAAGACUCCAUUUGGAUCCCUAGAGCACUAAGGAAGGUUUGUUUCUUUGUAUGGUUGGCGGCAAGGGUUGUGUUAUUAACAACGGAGAAUCUAAGAAAGAGGAGAAUCAUCUAUAUUAGUUGGUGUUUCAUGUGUAAAAGGGAAGGUGAAAGUGUAGAUCACCUUCUUUUGCAUUAUAAGGUGGCUAGUCGGUUAUGGAGGGUGGCCCUUAAUUUAUUUGAGAUGCAAUGGGUCGUACCGGGUACAGUGAAGGAGGCCUUGCAAAGUUGGACUCAUAAAAGGGGGAAGGAAAACCCGAGGCUCCUGGUGCAUUGCCCCCUUAUCAAUCAUGUGGGUCAUUUGGAAAGAGAGGAAUAUCAGGGCUUUUGAAGGUGUGGAACUUGAUAUUGUAAAAAUGAAGAGUAGUGUUUUUUCCUUAGUUUCUUUUUGGUGUACUUGCGAGGUCCCAAUUUGUAUAGAGGAUUGGAUCUCUUCUGUCGAGAACCAUAUUUUGGUGUAGGUUCUCUUUUUUUGGUGUAUGGCUUGUAUAUAGGGUUCCCCCAAAUUUUAGUAAAAUUAUUUACCUUGUAAAAAAAAGAGAAGAUGUUGACCAGGGAGGAGAUUGACUAUCCUUAUGGUUCAAUUUGGAUUUCUGUGAUUCCAAGAGAUGUGUAUUUUUCUUUCACUUGCGUAGUAGCUAGAGGGGGUAAUCAUGACACCGAGAAUUUAAGGAAGAGAAAACUCUCUUAUGUAAGUUGGUGGUUUAUGUGCAAGGGCCUGGGCAGGUUAACCAUCUUCUUCUUCAUUACUGGUCUGUCUCAACUCUCAAGAUUAUGGUGGGAAACUCUGGCAUGGUUUGGAGUACAAUGGGUGAUGCCAGGCACUUUGAAAGCAAUGUUGACCAGCUGUAAUUGUGGCAGACGGAGGAAAAGACAUAGGGUUUGGAAUGUAGCUCCAUUAGCACUUAGUGGAUUGUGUGGAGAGAGAAAUAGGAGAGCUCUUGAAGGGAUGGUGAUAAAUUUAGUUUAGUUGAGGACUAGCCCUCAUCCCUUAUUGCUUUUUGGUGCACCCAUGAGAUCCCCUUAGGUAUAGAAGGUUGGAUGCCUUUUGUAGAAAAACAUUUGUUUUUGUAGAUAUUCUACUUUUUGGCAUAUCUCUUGUAUAUGGGCGUUUGUUUUUCCCAAACAUAAAUAAAAUCUUAUUACUUAAAUAAAGAAAACACUGUGCGUAUCUAAUUUUCUUUUUACCAUCUGGCAUCAGUGCAAAAUUCAUAUCAGCAGAAGAAAAAACUGGUAUAACUUUUGAUGAUUUUGCUGGCCAAGAAUAUAUUAAGAGAGAACUUCAAGAGAUUGUUCGAAUAUUGAGGAAUGAAGAAGAGUUUCAAGACAAAGGGAUUUAUUGCCCAAAAGGUGUGCUUCUCCAUGGUCCUCCUGGAACUGGCAAAACACUUCUGGCAAAAGCUAUAGCUGGAGAAGCAGGAUUACCUUUUUUUGCUGCUAAUGGUACUGAUUUUGUUGAGGUGAGAAGUACUUGCAAUUCCGACACACUUAAAUGGAGGAGUAAAUUCCAACAGCUGCAAGAUUAUUAAAUUUUCUUUAAUUGACUAUUGUUUUGGGCAACAACAUCCACUUACAGGGUUAACCACAGCAUGUAUGACUAUAUCUGCUAUAAUGGACUCCAAAAUGAAAGCUACAUUCCGGUUAUGUUUGGCAAAACCAGAUGUAUCAUUUUCCUGAUUUCCCUGCCUAUUCGAACAAUUGUUUGUUAAAGAUACCAAGGUUUUUUUACUUUCCAUUUCAAAAAAGAAUAAGAAAAGAUAACAAGGUUUUCAUUAGCUUCUGUUUCUUGAACCUGUAUUUAUUUCUUGUAAACACUUGCAAGUUUUUCCAUUUGUUUCUUUGUUUUUGUUUAUUAACCUCUAUAUAUAUAUAUAUAAACCUCAUUUCACUUUUCAAUUUUGUUUUAGCUUAUUGUCUAUAGGUCCUCUAGAUCUGAAAGAAACAUUGUGGGAUAUCUUUUUGGAUGCUAUAAUUUAGCACAGCUCGAUUGAAUGUCUUAAGUCAUUACUUCCUGCUAAUAAACUUUUCAUAAACAUUUACCUGCCUUCUGAGCUAUAUUUGCUAUGCUACAAUGCUGGAUUGUGGACCAUCAACAAUCAAUAUUAGCUUCCCCACAAAAGCAGGGAUAUACUCUAAUAUGGAUUCUUGUAAAGCAUAUAGAUGAUUCUUUGAUGGCCAGUCCUAUGUUGUGGUCUCCCUAGGCAUGAUUCAAUUGUUAAUGUCCAGAAACUCCUCAGAAAUAAUAACCUUAUGUGUGUCAGUCUUGGUAUGUAUCAGUUAGCAAAUGUAAAACAUCUAAUACGUGUGAACAUUGUCUUUACUUUCUACAGUACAGUCUCUAGGAAAAUUUACCUAACGGCUAACCUAUGUUUGGUGUGGAAGUAUUUGUUCAUCCAAUCCAAGACCUUAAGGUUAAGGGUGAAGUGACUUUGGACAUUUUUUACCCUUGCACAAACAACGAGGGAGAAGUGUAUUGUCUAAUUCCAUCCCACACGUGUACUGAAGAAGUUUUUUUGUUACUAAUACUUUUUUAAGUAAGAGAGAGAGAGGAGACUCAGUAGGAGUGAACAUGAAGUAAAGGGAGACAAAUGAGGCUCAACAUGCUAAUCAGUGUCUGCAGCAGUUUUAGUGGCUCGAUGGGUUGUAUUGAGAUAUAUAUGUGUAUAUAUAUAUAUAAAAGCCCAGAAUAGCUCCAUGGGCUGUAUUGAGAGAGAGAAGCCAUAACGAUAGAACAAGAAGAGAGAAAGCUACUGGCUUGAUGAGCCUAAAUUGAGAGAGAUAAGUCAAGUGCCAUAGAACAUGAAUGUAGAAACCGGUUGUAAAAACGAGCUCUCUUAGCUCUGAUUUCAUGGUUAAAAAGUGGACCUUCUGCUUAAAAGUUAAAUCAAUCUCAAAAGUUAGCUCUUAUGAUGUUGUCCCAGACUAUACAGGGAGAUGAUGAUGCAUUCCCUCCAAUUGGUUCUAAUACCAAUUGUUGUAGACCGAGUAUGAAAGCCCAACCCAAAAUACUAGAUGAAGAUGAUUAUAGAAUUCAACAUGGUAUCAAAUCAGCUAAGAGAUCAUAGUUCAGAUUUCUCUGCCACUCAAAAAGUGAUUUUAUCCUUCUUUUGCCCCUUGAAAAAGAAUCUAGCACAAUGUGAGGAGGCGUGUUGGACAUAAUAAUAGAGUUAUAAAAAGUGUGCUCUCUCUAAUAGUUUAAGCUUGAAGAUGAGGUGGUCACACAAUUUACUUAGUUGGGGAUUGUAAAGAGCAGGGAUUUGAGGAGUGGAAGUAAAUGUGGAAGGAGAAGGAUCACUUACCUCGAGUAUAAAGAGGAGGUGGUUAAAGUGGAUGAAUUGGGUAGUGGUCUAGUGGAUCCAUCGUCUUCUAUUCCGAAGAGCUUGUUUACUAGAAUAUUGUGUACAAGUUCCUUACUAUCUCCAUGAGAGUGUUGCGUUCUAUUUUGUAAUAAAUACACCUUGUCUUAUUCAUGCGGAAGUCUAAGGCUUUGAUAUUAUUGAAAAUGGUAAUAUUUGAGACUACUGAAUUGCCGAUUUCAAAGUGCAUGUGGGUCCAAAAAUGGUGAUAGAAUUUUCCACCUUCUUUAUAUCCCUUGCCACUAUGUUUAGGUAGACAGUUAUCUUUGCUUCUCCUUUGUGCAGUGGAGUUUGGGUGUGCUCUGUUAGUCAGAAUUCCUUGUUUGUCUGUCUGUAAUAGAGGUGCAGCAAGCAUGUCCUCAAAAUAAUGUACCCAUUCUCUAAUAAAUCAGGAUCUUUUGCUCUCCUUAUCCAACCGUGUUGGUGGCUUCAAGAAAUAUGCUCUUAACAGUCUAACCUUCAACUGUGUAACUAAAGAGAGGAAAAAUUAGUGGGAGGAAGUAGAAAAGAACAGAAGCAUGUUUCUUAAGGCCCUUAGCCUAACCUUCUAUACUUCCAUAAUAUGUGGAUACUAUCUAUGUUCGCACUCCAAUAUUUGAUUCAGGAAUUUCUCUUUUUAGUUUGGCAGCAUUUCUAGCUUCUAACCUUUCACAUCUAUGCAGAUGUUUGUUGGUGUGGCUGCUUCACGUGUGAAGGAUCUCUUUUCUAGUGCCAGGUCAUUUGCUCCUUCUAUUAUUUUCAUUGACGAGAUAGACGCAAUUGGCAGCAAACGUGGUGGACCGGAUAUUGGUGGGGUAUGAUACACAUAUUAUUCUUUUUUUUUUUCAUUUUGCAUAUUAGAAAUUAUUCUCCCAGAAGCAAUUUUCGGUUUCGAGGUAUUACUCUCCGCUGGUAAUUAUUGUAUGAAAAGAAGUUUAAGUUCAUAUGUAACUUGGGUGCAUGCAAUCUUAAGUCUACACCCAUUUGCAUAUGUUUCCAUACCCUUCUUCUAUCUCUGUUCCUACAUGUUAUUCUGUAUUUUGCUUCGAAACCCAUACAACCAACAAACCGGAAAGGAAAGAAAGAGAGGGUGAGUUUUGGGGGGCAAGGGUUUAAAUUAAGGGACGUAGAUUAACUUAAGCACAUCUAGUGGAGAGUUUAUUUUCAGGUGCUCCUUUGUGAAUUUGAUGAUCUUCUUUACUUAGACUAUUAUUCACCAUUUUUGUAUCGACAAAUGCAAUAUUAAAUUAUAUGUUGGAGACAUUAUCACUACUACAACAACAGUAACCAUAAUUCACUCCCGAACUAGUUGGAUUUGGAAAUAGGUCUGCUCCAUUGGAGCUGUUCCCUUUCAAUAACUUGUCUUUACAGAAAAAUUAGAGGUUUCCGGAUGCUGGAGGUUAUCUGCAUUACCAACAUAUAGUACUCCUCUAAACAAUCUAAAAAGAAUGGAGUCUUGACCAACACUAGACUUGAUGUAAGUGUAUCAACACUACUAACCUUUAAUCCCAACAAGUUGAUAUCGCGUAAUAAGAUCUUUUACUUAUAUUGUAAGUUUUUCUAUAGGUUGCAUGGACACUGACAUUGUAGGCAAACAACUUCAUUUCACAUGACUUUAGGUGUAUCUCAUCUCGUUCUUAACACUUUUUAAUAAUCAUAAUGUCAUACUUAUGGACCGGCAUAUUUGGAAAUCUACGUAGAAUUGCAGGUCUCACAAUUGUUUUUACAAAAUUUGCCGUUCACCAGCAUAAGUAUCUUCCUGUUGCACCCUUCUAUUCAGUCAUUCUAUCUUAUCUGUUAUACCGUUCUCCCAGAAUACCUAGUUAUAGAUAUCUGAAUUGUCUAAAUUUAGGUAUCAAUCCCGUCUAAUCUCAUUUCAAUGUCAUUCUUGUUUUGGGUAGCUAAUCUAUAAUCCGUAUAUUCUGUAUUACUUCUAAUACUAAAAUCCUUUUUCUCUAGAGUGCUUCUCCAAUGUUUCAGCUGGUUCCCUCACUAAUUUCAUUAAUAAACAUAUAUAUGGGCUGUACUGGAAUAACUUUAUAUGGUAAACGACAUGUAUUUUCUUUCUUAGGGUGGUGCAGAGAGGGAACAAGGGCUUCUUCAGAUACUGACAGAAAUGGAUGGAUUUAAAGUCUCAACAUCACAGGUACAUUGUAGUUAAGAUGAUGGUUUCCCGUAAAGAAGUAAUGAGAGCUUCUUAGGUUUGCUGUUAAUGCUGGGUUAUCAGGUCUUAGUUAUUGGUGCAACCAAUAGAUUGGAUAUUCUUGAUCCUGCCCUGCUACGAAAGGGUCGUUUUGACAAGAUUAUUAGGGUUGGUUUACCCUCAAAAGACGGUAGAUUGGCCAUAUUGAAGGUAUGUGUCGCUGUACACUAGUGAUUGACAUCUGUUAAUCUUUUGAAGAUUGUCUGUAGUUUUUGUGUUAGUAUGUUUUGUUUUGAUUCUCAUUUCAAUUCUCUCAGGUGCAUGCUCGGAACAAAUUUUUCCGGUCAGAAGGGGAAAAGGACACUCUAUUGCAGGAAAUUGCAGAGCAAACAGAAGAUUUUACUGGAGCUGAACUUCAAAAUAUAUUGUACAUAAUCCUCAACUGUAAUUCCUUUUGAUUCUGCAUUUGGGGGGACUAGCUCACACCUCCUCCUGUGCAGGAAUGAAGCUGGAAUUUUGACCGCAAGGAAAGACUUGGACUAUAUAGGACGAGAUGAACUCCUUGAGGCAUUAAAGAGGGUAGGUGCUAAAAAUUGAGAUACGCAGCAUCUGUUGUAUGUUUGAUUUAGUACAUUAUGUUCAUGUUAUACCAUUUAAUAUUACAGCAAAAAGGCACAUUUGAAACGGGUCAAGAAGAUAGUACUGAGGUCCCUGAGGAGUUAACACUAAGACUAGCUUACAGAGAAGCUGCUGUUGCAGUUCUUGCUUGUUACCUUCCAGAUCCCUACCGACCGUUCACUGAGGUUGUAUUCAUAUAAAUAUCAUAUUAGUCAAUCUUAGUAUUUCUUAAAUUUGUGACUUGCUCACAUUUGUGCCAAUUGGUUUCGAUAUAAUGACAGACGGAUAUCAAAUCCAUUCGUAGUCAGCCCAAUAUACAAUUCGUGGAGAUUGGAGGCAGAGUGUUUAAAAGGAAAGCAGAUUAUGUGAACUCAAUAGUCCGUGCAUGUGCUCGUAAGUGGGAAAUAAAAUAGUAUUUCAGUUCAAUAUUUCUGUUCUAUAAACACUUGACGUGAAUCUGUCUAUGGAUCUAUGUUUGAAAUCUCUGUUUCUCGUCUUCACUGUUCAUAUCCAACAAUGAUAUUUAAUAUAAGACAGUUAAGUGCACAAUGAUAUUUAAAGUGAACAAUGAUAUAUACUUUAAAAAACAAAUGCGCUUAAUGGGCUGAGAUCUGAAUAAUUCAGAUUCAGACUCUUGUUAAGUGCAAAUAAAUGAGUCCUAAAUCUAUGCUUUAUUGCUUCUUUUUUUUCUUUCAAAAUUGCAUAAUAUGAUCCAUAAGUCUAUUACUCUGAUAGUUGACACAAAGUUGAGUAUCUACCUUGUUAUAUACUAGACUAGACUUGUACGUCUCAUAUAGUGAAAUGACGUUUUUCUAAAGUAUGUGUUUCAAAUCGGUAAGUCACUAAUAUAAAGGAGACUUCUGGAUAUUAGACUGCAGUUUUAGCUGUACUUGUUCUCUUGUUUAUUCAUGAUCCCCUUGAGUUUGGUAUUUGCUUUGAGAAAAUAUGCACUGUUAGACAAUGAAGAUUCAAUACAAUGGCAUGAACAUGAUGCCAAGGCAAACCCAUGGAAAUACCCCUUAUGUGUACAAUAUCAAUCUGCUUAAAAGGCCACUCUUUUUGUAUCUUUGUUUUUUCCUCCUUUUCUUGGUUUGAUUCUUUCACAUGGGACACUGAUAGAUUGAAUCUGUAGCCAGAGUAAUUGAGGAAGAAAUGUUUGGAGUUGACAAUCUAUGCUGGAUCUCUGCAAAAGCAACUUUAGAAGCUUCCAGGCUUGCAGAAUUUUUGAUACUGCAGACAGGGUUGACUGCCUUGGGAAAGGCUUAUUACAGAUACCAGAGAGAUCUCUUACCAAAUGUCAGUAUAUACUAGAUCUUGUAAAUGUUAAAUCUAAUAAACGUCUAAUUUUUAAUCCAAGUUAUUGUGUUUUGCAGCUCCCUGCUAAAAUUGAAGCACUAAGAGAUGAGUACAUGCGAUAUGCCGUGGAGAAAUGCUUAUCUAUUCUAAAGGAGAACCAUGAUGCUGUAGAGACAAUUACAGGUAAAGUUGGUUAACCUUGAUUGUCUGGUCACUUUAAGUAUUGUCUUCCCUGAAUUGGCGCCGAGUCCAUGAGUAAGACUUGUAAAAUUGUGCAACUGGUAUUGGCCACUUACCGUUGAUUGGCUUAUGCUUGUGUGUCUGUUGAUCAGAUGUGCUACUUGAGAAAGGAGAGAUCAAAGCCGAUGAAAUUUGGAGCAUUUACAAAAGAUCACCUAAAAGUCCUCAGGUGAUUCUUUACUUCUCUUUCCAGUGUUUAUUAUUGACAUAAUUGAGGAAGACUAAUGCAAUUUUCUUCUUUUCUCUUCCCUCCCGAAGAAAAGGAAAAAAUUAAGAAUGAGCCUGCUUAUUUCAUUAAUAAAAUAUUUUGGAGGAUUACGGUUUGGUGGUCUUUGGAGUAGAUUUGGCGUAACUGCUUUUGUAUCGAAACUCCUGGGAUUGGGAAACAUGUUGCAUGUUUAGAGAUCUCGAACACCGGUUCCCUCAGAAAAUGCCAUUCUGUUUUCUGUCUGAGGCAUACAGGCAACCACUUCUUGCCUUUUUUCCCGAUAAAGAGAGUAGGAUUUUCGCUUCUUGCCUUUUCCCCUCUCUUGAUUCACUAGUCUGAUUUAACCUUCACGAAUCACUUCACUAUAGCGGUUUUUGAGAUAAAGCUGGUAAUUCUGUUGAUCAAAGAAUAGAACUUUGGGGAUGAAUCCCUUUCUUGACGGAUUGCCUUUACUCGUGCACAACUUUGGUGUCUGCAUGUAGAGGUUAUCCUUCUCUCUAUAUGCUUCUUAGUGUUAUAAGAUGGCUCAACAUUCAGGUAAGUCACUUUACCCGGGUGCGCACCUGGACUUGUGUCCAGGCUCUUGGGUUACAUGUUGCAUCGUAUAAGAGAACUAGCACACUGUUCAUUUGGAAAAUGCAAUGUGGCAUUGCACAAUCUGACCUACCUUAUUAUGAUUAAUUGUAGCUGUUUUUUUUUUUUUUGAUUCGCCAUUCUGCUGCUUUCAGCAUCCUAUAUAUUUGUCCAGGUAACUAGAUCAAUUGCCGCAACCCCUUCCCCCUUUUUUGGGUAGCUUAUUUCCUCACCUUUUCCAGUAGAUUUAAAUUGCAAUUGAUGUCAGGUGAGGAUUAGCACAUUGACAGGAACAAAGAGAGGAGACUCAAAGGGGGAUGUGGUGAUUCAGGGAAAGUAGGGAGAUUAGAAAGUUGAAGGCCUGUGUAGUGGUGGUGAGGGGGAGUACUGCGGAUGCUCUUAGUUAAGGCGGCUUUUUCUCCCCCCCUCUAAUACCCAUUUUCUUUUCCCAUUAUAUAACCUACUAUUAUCAUGACUCUCGGUAGCUUUGGAAGCUGCACCUUGGUGCCAAAUCCUAUUGCUGUACAUACGCAAAAAAAUUACUUGAUGGAAUAUAAACUAUUCAGGGGGCCAAAUCGCCAAUGAACAAACGUCUAUCAUGGCCUGCAGUGGGUUACAGUUCAUUCUUACAUAGUACUCUUUUUGCCUGUUAUCGUGUAAUGGCAUUUAUAUUUUUAAAGUUUUUUCUUUUGUCAGCCUACUGUGAGUCCCAUCGAUGAAUAUGGAUCCCUUAUAUAUGCUGGACGGUGGGGAGUCCAUGGAGUUUCACUUCCAGGGAGGGUGACGUUUGCACCUGGAAAUGUUGGAUUUGCAACUUUUGGUGCACCUCGACCUAUGGAGGUAAGCAUGAUGGAUGCUCUAUUUAUUGAUCUUUAUGAUGAAUACUCUAUGUAUUGAUGUCAUUUCAUGCUUUUAUGCAGACCCAGAUAGUUAGUGAUGAAACAUGGAAGCUAAUAGAUGGCAUAUGGGAUAAAAGGGUCGAGGAAAUGAAAGCUGCUGUAUCACUAGAAACUGAAGAAGAUGAGGAGAAGCCAAAACUUCUGAUGGCCAGCCAUUUCCUAUAGAUCCAAGUAUCCAAUACAGGUUAUGCCACUAGUCUCUGAACGGCAUAUAUUGUGCAGCUAUGGCUUUAUUUUGUCUGCUUCAAUUCCAUGAGGAUGUAACAUCAUCUCUGAUUGCUUGAGUUUGAAGGUCAGAUCGGGUUGACUGGUAAAGCUUGCAUUAUGCUUGGCCCCAUUUUUUAAAUAAAUAAAUGAGCAUUAUUGGACCUGAAAGUGUUAGGUGUAGAGCCUGACUUGUUCACUAAAAGCAAAGAUCAAACUGAAGUAGGUGGGCUAUUGCUUUAUCAUAAGCUAAGAGCGGACAUCCCAACUCCUUUACAUUUCUUAAACUUGAUUAUAGGAUAUUAAGUGCAUGCCUACUGUUAACUUUUUUCUAAGAAAAAGUAAGGGGCAUGCCUACUGUUAAACUUUAAAUGCCCUAAAAUAUUAUAGGGAGGACUCUACCCAUGGAUAUCAUGAAACUGUAUACAAUUCACAGAAGUAAUGCAACAUUUUAUAAAACUAAGCUUUUUGCAACUCCCUUCUAUUUUGCUUUGCUUCCCAAAAAGUGUCAGUUUCUUUCGCUUCUAGAUAUCCCAGUAUGCAGCCGAAAUUGACACGAUGAGUUCUUAGAUUUAUUAUCUAAAUCCUCUUGUGGCCAAAAUCCUCCAACUGGAAAUUUUUUAAAUGUGUCAAACAAGAACCACUUUUAAAGAUGAGCCCGAGAAAAGCAACAAAACUGAAGAAAAAAAAAAAAAAGACAACAAAAAACCAUCUUUGACUAGUGACCCAGUGAACUUAGGAAUCCACAUAAAGAUGGUAAACUAAACCUUUGGCCUCACCGAGUUGUAAGCAUGUGACUAUUCCUCAACCUUCACCUUAGCAGGAGUGAGUAACUUGCCAUUUAUGGCUUAGUUCCUGGAGAGGCAAUACAGAAACAUACUCAUCAUUAUUAUAGCACAACCAAAUUUGUUUGAGAAAUAUGUUACAUCUGUCUGUCCAAAAAGUGCUUAUGAUACUUUCCUUUUGAGAUGUCCCACAAGUUGUUCCCCUUCCUUUAGUACAUUCUGAAAUACCACAAAAUGUUUUGGUGGACAGAUUUUUCCUUCUUGUAUAGUUCUGCUGCAUGGAAAGUCAAAAUAUGAGAGACAUGUUUUUCAACAAAUAACUAAAUAUUUCUGUUUCUCUUAAUAAUUAUGCUUAGUCAAAGUGCGGCAAGCAAAUUGGAUUGGAUGGAGGUGGGGUAUUAAUCAGUGUUCCUCGUUCUGAUUGACAUAAUUGGUUGUAGGCAGGCUGUUGUACUCUUCAAUCAUUGUUUGUUCUAGAUAUAAGGAGCCAAACACUCACAUUACUCGGAGAAGCGUUUUGACAUCAGUAGCAUAUUCAGGUUUUUUGAGAUCAGAGCUAGACUCCGGCUGUGCUAGAGGAUUGGAUGGUGAUAAAUUGUAUCGAUGAUGCUAGCCUUAAACAUUAGCCACUUGUGAACUGCUUUGGGAAAUGCCGAGCUGAAAAUUAACAUCCCCAGUAGUACAAGGAACAGGUGCUCAAGAGGGGCGAAUAACCUAUUCUAGAUGAUGGGUUACAACUUACAAGGUGCCCUUUUAGUCCAGUCAGUCGAUCAACUCACCUGGGUCCCAAACAGGUUUUAGAAGGUGCCUAUUAGUGAAGUUUUGUAAAUUAUUCCCCUACAGCAGCUCGAACCCCCUUCCCUAUCCAUUAAAGUCCCUUCCAGAAUUUUGUAAUAUCUGGAGAUUCAACUUCCUCUGUUUCAGGAUAUUGUUGCAGGGAUUAUAGUGAUGAUAUCGUUGUCAUAAUUAAUUUUUGGUAACUGACAGUUUUGCUGUAUUCUGAACUCAAAUUCUUUGGUAUCUGUCAUCAACUAGUACGAUUAAAUUCGAUACUUACUAUUGCCUGCUGGGCUGAAAAACUGUUAGAACUGUAUUAGUUUCACACAGCAGACUUACAUAAAAUGGAACUAGUUACCUUCUUUUUUUUGGUAGAAAAUUAGUGACUUUCAGUUCAUCAAAUUUGCUUAAUUUUUUUUUUUCCAUUUUCCCAUCCAUUUUAAUCUCUUGGCAUUCUUCCACCGAAAUUAAACGUAUUCGGAGCAAAUAAGUGACUACAAAAAAAUAAAAAUAAAUGCUAUGAAUAUUUCAUCAAGUGAAAAAUAAAAGGGGUCUUAAGCUUGCACUCAAUGACUCAACAAUAGAGGUGACUUGGAUAAAAGUACUAGUAAUUCAAUUGAAUUCCCUUCAGCUGGAAAACUAUAAUGUUUAAACAUUGUUUUUUUGGCUAUUGAUGAACACUCUUGAUAUUAGGAAAAAAUCUAGUAAAGUUCUAAUAAAAGAGUUAAAAAUUUACUUUAUGACAGUGGUUCUGAUUAUAAGUGUAACAUUUCUAAAUUCUCCCAUAUAAAAUCCGCCACUUGCACCUUUAGCUAGAUUUAAUGUUGCAAUUUGUUCACGAUAGAAUCAGAGUUUCGAGGAGCUGGACAGGUGCUUAGAGCGGAGAAGCUCGAGUUAUUCAGCUACAAAAUGAAGAAUAGAAUUCAAUAGGAAAGUGUACUUGUAUAUUCAAUAUGUAAUGAUGCAAUGUCUUAUACAGAAAUGAGAAAGAAUCUUAUCUUGCUCUAGCUCUAGCUCUAGCUCUAACUAACUCGACCAACUGAUUCAUUUUGUGUAACACAGUUCUUUCAAUAACCAUUUUAAUUAAGUUGAACUAUGUGUAUCACGUUUAAGAGUAUUUCCAAAAUAUAAUAUAAGAUCAAAUGAAACAAUGUGAAGUUCAUUUUUUCCACAAUUAGCUAAGGAAUUUGUACUGGAUUGAAGAUUUAAAAUUUAUGAGUUUUGAAUUUGAAGUUUAUGAAUUGUGAAGUUGAAUCAAUGCAAUCAUCAUUCAUGUUUUUCAAAAUUUGCAGAGCUUUUGAAUGAAGAAGUAAAAGGUAUAUACGAAUAUUGAUUUGUUUCAUCGGAGUUUCAGAUGAAAAUGAAAAAUGUUGGUGAAUAGGUGAUACAAGAAAUGCCCAGCCAAAUUGAAUAUUUCCUUGUCUUGUUGCUAUUUUUCACACAAUUUCUUCAUCUUUGCUCCGCCAUGGCCGGCCGUUCCAUUUCCCGCCAGAAAAAAUAUUCAAGAAUAUCCCUUCAGAAUAUGCUCUAAUUAUUCCCCUCAAUCACUCUUUUUGGGUGCUGAGACGAGCAAUUUUCUAAACUCCAAUCGUUUCAACAAAUUUAAAAGGAUUUCAUUAUCAAACAAUCUUAUUGGCACAAAAUUUGAUUAUUUUACCUGCAGCUUCAAGUCCUUUAUAUAUAUGUGCUUGAGUUUCAUCAAUUGAGUGUACUUUUGAAUUGCCCAAAAAAAGUAAACCCUAAUUGGUGCUUGACAGCCCUUUUUUAUAUCUUUUGUUUUUUUAAGGGCUAUUUUUGUGUGUUUGUUUUGUUGGGAAACUUGAAUUGCAAGAAAUGGCAUCAUCUGUGGGUAACAAUAGUAGUCAUACAGAUGUUGAUAGUCUCAUAACGGGUCGUAUUGUUAUAGCUUUAGAUGCAACCAGGGAUCACCCUGAGCAGGAAAUCAAGCGCAUUAUUGAUGAGAUCAGAUCACAGGGUAACAUCCUUCAUGCGGGCGAUACCAUUAUUGUGCUUGGGGUUUUGCAUAAAUAUCUUCAUCCUAGUGAGUGUCUUGCCUCACUUUUUGAUGCAAUUAUCUCAUUUUUCAUUGUUACUUUUAGUGCUCGAGUUGGAUGGCGAUCCAACGUUUUAGUUAUCUUUGAGUAAAUUUUGUUACAGUAACUCUUAUAGUUGUGACAUCAUUUCCUUAUGUUGAAGAGGAAAAUAUUACUAAUUGUAGCUACCUUUGAAUCCAUGAUUAGAGGGUUGUAUUUGACAAUUUUUACAUGAUUAGUAAGGUUAUAGUUUUCUAUCCUCGUGGUUUCUCAUAAUUCUACAGAUGAUGAUGAUGAGUCCUCCGAAUAAUAUGAUCCAACUUUAGGCUCAACUCAAACUUUUGAAAUCAUUAUAUCAACGCGUUAUAGCGGCUUUCAAUUUUCACCAUUCCCAUUAACCAGAUUAACUUUCUCUUUUGAUAAUUAAUGGGUUAAAAUUGAAUGGUUUUAGUCAUCAAGGAUUGUUUUUUUCUAUUACGACUAAGUUGUGAUAAAAGGUCACUUUACUAAGGAGCCAUAUUUUGGUUCUUGACAGUUUAUAACUUCAGUAGUGCUAUAUUUUGAGCGCUUCUGCUUUCCUGUGGUUGUUGAAGUGUGUACAAAGAAUAUGUAAUUUCUACAUAUUAUGCCCAUUUAUGGUAAAUGUGGAACUGUGGUAUUCCAGUAUUAGCUGAACGGUUAGAUGUGCGAUUGACCACUGUCUUUAGCUGACUACUUAUCUUGUGUAGUAUUUAUUAUUCAUGCCUACAGUAUGGUUUUCUAACCCAUUUUUGUGCACAGUGGGUUAUCAAAUGGAAGCAGAGCCACUGUCCAUGUUUGGAACUCACAAACGUGAGAUCGAAAAAGAAGUAACAAAGAAGAUUGAUGCAUAUGUGAACAUGCUCAUGCAAAGUGCCCAAGACUGUGAAGGUGAAGGGGUAAUAUAUACACUUGAUCCUCAUAAUAGUUCUGUACUGGAAGCAACUAUUAAUUGAUAUAUCUUAGAAAUGUGGCUAGAAGUAUCCAUAGAAGUCAUACGUAUGAAAUCCUGGAAAUUUUUAUGACCCACUGGUGUAGCAAGUUUGCUUCGCUGGGGACUGGGGGCUUGUGGGUUGGAUCUGAUGUGCUUCAAUACAGUAUAUUUGAGUUUGUUCAAAUCAAUAUGAUAGCAUAUUUAAUAAAAUGUAAAAAACAAUCUGAUGCAGGACAGAUUUGCUUUUGAAAAAGUAAUUUUCAAAUGUUCACUAUAGGAAUAGACAUUACAACUCCCUUUAGUAUUCGAACUUGGUUUAGAAACUGUUUUUUUUUUUUUUUUGCAUUACUUUAAAACAUGUUUCAGAUGUCCAUAAGACACCAUUGCAUCCGUUACAACACAACUUGCGAAGGCAGAAUCCCAAGAAAUCCUAUUUAUACAUGAAAUAGAAAGUUUUGCUAGAAAACACUUUAUUGCAUUACUUUAAAACAUGUUUCAGAUGUCCAUAAGACACCAUUGCAUCCGUUACAACACAACUUGCGAAGGCAGAAUCCCAAGAAAUCCUAUUUAUACAUGAAAUAGAAAGUUUUGCUAGAUUAUGGGCUAAUACAUUCCAUGUUCGAGGAAUAUAUAUAAUCUCGAUUUCUUCAAAAGACUUCAUCAAUCGCCAGACAUCCUCGCAAGUGGUCUCUAUUUCCCAAGAUGUUAUCGCUUUCUUUUGCAACAUUUGUAUGACAUUCUUUGCACCUGACAGUAUGUGAACCUUUGACCAACCCUUUUGUAGUGCUCUUUCCACAGCUUCCCGAUUGCUAGUGCAGCAGUUAUGGCCUUCCCUACAAAUUGAAUAGGGGUACCAAAGGCAUGAAACAAAUGACCACAACUAUCUAUAGCCGCCAUUCCGAUGCUUGCUUUUUCCUUCUCCCUUUGUAGACCUGCAUCUGUGAAAACAAUAACCCCAUCUUGGGCCAAAGUAAUAUCUGGUUAUCAUCUAGCAAAAAGCCUAGCUAAUAGUACUGACCAUAGAACUGAAAAACCUCAAGCCAGUAGUCAAUCUUUCCCAAAAUCUUUUUGGACUUUCUUAUGGUCACUUAAAAUAAAAAACAAAUACAAACAUUUCCUUAGAAAAUGCAUUCUUAAUAUCCUUCCUGUUAGUGCAAAUAUUUCUAAGAGAUUGCAUCAAAAUUGUGAUGUUUGUAGGGUCUGUGGCUUAGAAACUGAAACGGUUGAUCAUAUGUUUUUCAGUUGCCCAAAAGCACAACUAGUAUGGAAGUUGGCCCCCAUUAACUGGCCUAAGGUAGAAAAUGUUAGGAAUUUUGCAAUAUGGUGGAAUGACUUAUUUUGUAAUACAUGUCAAUAUCCAGAAUCCAUUGAGCUACUAAGAUUAAGUGUCUCUCUUUUAUGGAAAAUCUAGAAACUGCUUUUUAAAUAUUGUCUUAUUUAAUCAGGAUGGGGGGGCUACGAUAAAUAUAUAUUCUGGUUUCUUCUUGACAACUUCCUUUUUUAUAUUCUUAAAUUGUAUAUGGGAUCAUGAACAUCUUUCUAUUUCUGCUACCAUGCCUUCCUUUAUUUCAGUUACUUUAAUAUAUAUCACAAGAGACUUCAAGGUUCAUAAAUCCUACAGGCUGAAUCAGGGCUGGACUGUUAUUUGUAUCAUGUUGACUCCACUUUAUAUGUUGAUGAAGCAAUGAUUAACAUUCCUUUUGCACUUUCAUUUAAUUCCCGUUUUCCUUAUAUAUUUAACUGGCACUAGGUGGGCACUGUCUCCCUAUAUAAUUGAGGUUUAUAUAGAUUGUAUUUUUAUCCAUCCAGGCGGAAUAUCUAGGAAGUCCAGUGUUUUUCUUGAAUGGCCUUCUUACCUAAGAAGCAUUUGCACGACCUAAGCUAUGAAAAUCAUGCACUUUGUACCAACUAGUCGAGAGAGAGUAAGAGAGAGUAGUAGACUAUAUUCAUCAUGGAGGAAAGUGAAGGGUCUAUCACCCGGAUGGAGUGGCAUUUUGAUUGAAUGCCCAAGCUAUUCUUUUGCUUGUCUUUCUAGCUAUCUCAUCUCAAUAUGUUGCUUUCUAAAGCAAUCAUUUUAUUUUUCAUAUAUUUCUAUCUCCCUUUUAAUUUUUCUCUUACUACAAAUUAUUAUACAUUGUGCUUAGGUCGACAUUGAAGUCAAAAUUACUGCUGGGACUCCAGUUAGGAAGGUGGUUGUACAAGAGGUUACAACUAUCAAUACAACAUGUGUUGUGUUAGAUAGGUAUGUUCUCUGAUGUGAUCAUGGUAAUUCCUGUUGCUGUAGUUUGCAUAUUGUCUCUAUCUUUGGGAUCUGAGUUAUACUGAGACUUGAGGCAACAAUAAAUUAGUGACGAAAUGCACUAGAAAACCAUGGCUACAUAAAAACCUCCUCUUUCUAAUAGGCUUUUAAAACAAGAUGAAGAAAUAAACAUGGCAAAGAGCAAAUAGUUUCUGGUCUCAGUGUUGCUACCAUCUUUUAUCACAACAUUGCAAUGUGGUUGGUCCAUAGAAAAGGAAUCUAUCCAUGCAUCGUGAGGCCAUUUUAUUAUCCGAAUAAGUAAAUAAAUAUAUCUUUUUCUAUCCGCCAAAACGUAAAGUUGGAACCUUAAUUAUUAUCAUGCAAACAGAAAAUCCUUGCUCAGAUAAGAUUUUUAACUCUUCCUUUAUGAACUGAUAUUUUCAUUGAAGGAACUAUUUUAACUGCAUUUUGUUCGAUUGUUUGUUGAGUAGCUUUGAUUUUGGUCCUCCACUAGUUAAGGGAUAUAGGGUAUUUGCAUGGACCCUUGUUUAGAGUUCUUUAUUCUUCUAUAUUGCUUUCGUCACAAGAUGCUCCCCCUUCGUUUACCCUGUCUGUCUACUUUUUUCUCAUUACAAAUGCAUGGAUAAGUCUCUACCUGUUAGUCAUAAUUAUGAUUUGUAAAUAAAAAACAAACUCACCAUCCAUUAUGUAAAAUGGGAAUUUUAAUCUAUACAUACUAUUGUGUUUAAUGUUCACAUAGAUGAUUAAUAUUGUGUGAUUGCAAUAUAUUUUGUUAACUAUGGUGGUUGGAAAAUCAAGCUUCUAUUGGAAGAUAUUUUGCUUCUUUGUUGGAAGAAGAGAAAAGGGAAGUUAUUAAUUUAAAUACUUUCUUAUAGUUUGGUUUAAUUGAAAGGGAAGGAACAUGAGAGAUACUUUUUAAGUCCAUGAAACUAGUCCCUCAACUCACUGAUGCGAUCAUAAACAUUUUGAUUUCAUGAAGAUAACAGCAAAAUUAAGCUAUUGUACUUUUAGAAACUACAUCAAAUCCAUGAUAUGCAUGCAUGUACAAUAAGGUCUUGCCGCAAUUAAUUAGAGCUUAGUUGACAUACUUCUUCUCAGCAUAAAGAGUAUUUGUUUGUUCCAUAUUGGUGUUCAGGAUGUCAAUUUUUGCGCUUCUGAACUGUCUGAUACAAACAGAAACACAUAAAUCUGAAGCUCUAUAAUUUUAUCAAAGGUGGAACAAUGUCUUGCAACAUUUCUCUUAUUUGACUCAAGAAAAACCAUGUCUUUUGCACUUAUUACCAGAAAGUUUGUACUUAUCCUUGACAAUUGAGUCUCUUGGAUAAAUCAUCAUUUCCUUCCAACUUUAUAUCCAUGAAAAACCAUGAGCAUUUUGUAGUUGUUACAAGGAAGUCUCCAUCUUAUCAAGCCACUUGAAUUAAUUUUAUAUCAUCAUGUGCGUCCAACUUUAUUUACCAAUUUUAUGUUUAUCUGACUCUACAUUUCUGAUAAAACCCCAUGUUUAUUCGAUUUGACAUUUUAUUAUUCUCUAAUAUUGACAAGAUUAAACCCUUACAGGCACCUCAGGCGGGAUUUGACGUAUUACCUUAAACACAUACCCUGCAAAGUUGCAUUAAUUGGUGAUAAUUUAUUCGUCAAGAUUGUGAGACCUUAUUCCAUAGUUGAUGCUGACAACAUAGAGCAUAAGUUAUACUUUUCUAUGUCCAAACAAGUACCCUUGGCACCCCCUCCAACUGCAGAGAACGCAGAGCAGUCUGUUGUUUCAAUCAACUAUUCAGGUUCUGUGGCAAGCUCCGAAAUACCAGAGAAUGAACUGGUGGUAUAUAAUCAACUGGAGCAUAGCACUUCACACGAAGAUCUUAGUUUCAAUUCUAUGCAAGAAAGAUCAGGUGAGGUAGCAUGAUGAUAAUCUUAAAAAUAAAUGCAGCUAUUCCCUCCCUAGACCCCACUUGUGGGAUUACACUAGGUAUGUUAUUUUUGUUGUUUUUUGUGUGAUACUUUUAAGUUGCGGAAGUGUAUUGUCAUCCAACUUUGAGGGUUUGUUCUCCUUUUCUGGUUGGAAUCCUAUUCUACAUAGCAAGGAGAGAUCAGAAGAGCAAUUAUUGACAAUAUUUUCCCUUUCAGUUUUCAUGAUUUUAAGAAACUUCUGUUUUCUGAAUGUAUGUGGUCCUUUUGUAGAUUGGAUUCCUUCUCACCAUAGGUGAGGAAGAAGUCAGCAGAGGACUCCUUAGAAAUACCUUUCCUUACAGUUUCCAUGAUUCCAAAACAGACUUCGUCUGCUUUUGGUGUUCAUAAAACUAGUUGAGUUAUAUAGAUCUGUAAUGAUGUUACAAUCUCUAGUUUUAAAUUGUAAGGGAUUUGAUACAAAGUAGGGAAUAGUUAUCUGUCCUUCCUUCUUUAAAUGUUUGAUAAUUUGAACAGAUAGGUCUGCUAGAGGAGAUAUGAAGCAUCCAAUCCCUCCUGUUUUCCAGAAAGAACGAAGACCACCUACAUCAUGGAGAUCCUCUAAUACACCAUUUCUUUGUAUCGCUUGUGGAGCAAAGACAGAACUAUACAUCAAGGAUUCAAUGAGAUUCAGUUUCUCAGAAAUACAGCUGGCAACAGAUGAUUUUUCAAAGGAUAACUUGCUUGGAGAAGGUGGAUAUGGUCAUGUAUACAAAGGUCGGUUAAAAGACGGUCAGGUCAUUGCUGCAAAGGUGCGGAAGGAAGCAAGCACACAAGGAUUUUCUGAGUUUCAUUCUGAAGUUUAUGUUUUGAGCUUUGCACGUCACAAAAACAUUGUGAUGCUUUUGGGUUAUUGCUGCAAGGAAAAUGUUAACAUCUUGGUCUAUGAAUACAUCUGCAAUAAUUCUCUUGAGUGGCACUUAUUCGGUACGUAUAAUUAUGAUACUCAAACAUUGCUCCAACAACCUAAAGCUCAAGAUAAAAAGUUAAUUUGGAUUAAUAUCUUGACAGAGAAUACCGAGAAUAUUCUUGAGUGGCACCGCAGAUAUGCCAUUGCCAUUGGCACUGCAAAGGGCUUGCGCUUUCUUCAUGAAGAAUGUCGUGGAGGUCCAAUUAUUCAUCGUGACCUGAGGCCAAGCAAUAUACUUCUCACUCAUGACUAUGUUCCCAUGGUAAAUCUACACAUUUUGAUUCAAACACAUAGACUGUUCCAAUGGUUGGACUAACUAGAAUGAACAUAUACUUUUGAGUUACCACAUUUGCUCCCCCUCUCGCCCACCCCUCUGCUUCUGGUCCUCCAAGCUGGACAGUGACCUGAAUAAAAACAAUUGGGAAGCUAAUGUUAUGGAUGACUCUGUUUGUUUUUGUUUCUCAUAGCUAGGUGACUUUGGCCUGGCUAAGUGGAAGACAAAUGACGAUGAUAUAUACACAAGGAUACUUGGCACAUUGGGGUGUGAGCAAGUCCUAUUAUUCAUUGGCUACGCAGAAUGUUCUACUGUCAAUAGAUGAAACCUUUUAUCAGCUAUUCACCAAAAGCUUCUCUUGCUUCAUGCAGAUAUCUCGCUCCUGAAUAUGCUGAGAACGGCAUUGUGUCUGUCAGAACAGAUGCCUACGCAUUUGGCAUUGUUCUUAUACAACUAAUGUCCGGACGCAAAGCCAUAGAUGCAAUGAGAGAGGACAGCCAUCAUUCCCUUAGACAAUGGGUGUGUCUCUGGGCUUUUUUACUUGGAAUCACAGCCAAAUGUGAUUCCUUUCAAAGAUCUAGCUAGUUUAGUGAACUUUCUUAUUUUAAAAAAUUCAGUGCAAUUUUAGCAGAAGUUUCUCUUUUGCAUUUUCAGGCAAUUCCCCUCAUUGAAAGGCUUGCAUUGCAUGAGCUCAUUGAUCCUCGCAUAGGCGACUCUUAUGACACAUUUGAAGUGUACCACAUGGCUAGAACUGCAUUCUUGUGUGUGCAGAAUGACCCUGAGCUGCGGCCAUCAAUGGGAGAGGUAAAUUUUGUUAAUUUGAUGAUUAGCUGCUAACUUAAUAGAAGAACACUGAAUAUCAUCAGCCUACUAAUCCAUGUCGAAGAUCUUUUUCUUUUCGUUUUGAAGCUUCAUGUAUACCAGUCCAUCUUUAUUAUCUUCAUAAUUUUCUCAUAUGCAACAUUAUGUAAGCGUAAACAAAUGAUUCCUCAACUGAAAUACAGUCAAUGUUAUAACUGUGAAGCAGUAGUAUAUAAACGCACUAGUGAUAUAUUUUAACAUCAGAAAUCAGAAGUCAAUCCACUUUGGAAGGAUGGGGAGCUGGAAUUUUCAUCUUUAUUGCUUCCUAGCAAUUUUCAUUCUGUUCUCUUCUUCUUGAUAGUGUGCAGCCUAACAUCCUACUGCUCAUAAAGCAUCAAGAUGUAGAUGGUUUCAAGCUAUCAUAUCAAUUUGGUGAUAAACUGACCAAGAACUAAUGUUCAGGCCAUUUGCCAUGGCCAGUAAAAUCCUGCAACAUAAAACAACUUAAUUUUGGUAACGAAAAGUAACCUGAUGUAACCACACAAAUCUUGCUUACUGAGUAUGGAUAGCAUAUCUUCCUUGUCAUUAUACUCAAAGUGAUGAACUAACCGGUUGCAAACAUAAAUGCAGGUCUUGCGUCUUCUUCAUGGGGAGUUAGACCAUCUCCACCAGAUCGCGGAGCAGUUUGUACCUCAAUUUGCUCCACAUUUUAGUAAAUAGAAACCUGAUCAGCCAUGUUAUGUUUAGUUUGUUGCUGCAACUGUCUUGGUAUGCUUUACAUUUGUGUGCCCAGGGGAAUUGGAAAGAGCUGUAUAAGCUUUGUUUGGUAUGAUACUUUAUAAUACAAGUAAUAUUUUAAAACAGUUCAACUAGUAUAAACUCCUAUUUAUCAUGUUAUAUAUACUUUAUGAUACACGUAAUAAGGUUUUUUCCACGUAAAUUUGGCAUCUCUUGGAUUUGAUUAUUUUUGUAUUGUCAUAUUCAUUUGUUGGUGUUUAUAGUUGUUGUCUGCUCCUCUUUCUUUUUUUGCGUUUGUGUUUGAGGUAUCCUCUUGGUUCGAAUAGAUUGGGGAAAUUGACUGAAAUAUCAUGUGUUGCAUCUUUUAUCGUGUAAUUUAUUUUUGUGUUCCCUAACAAGUACAAAUAUACCUUAAUUACAAGCCAUUUUGAUAAUUUUUCAUCUUAAACACAGUCAAACUUGGCAAAAAAAAAAAAGUAGAAGAAAAAAGUUUAUUGAAGCUUAAUUAUGUUAUCCUCUUCCAUUUAUUACCUAUUUUAACAUCCCAAAAAACAUGGAUGUUGACUAGAUUUUCCAAUUUCCCCAAAUCAACCCAUCAUCUAAAUAAAAUGCAUUUAAGAGUUGGAUAAGAUUUUUUUAUUAUUAUUAUUAUUUUAUACAUAUUAGUGACUAAAUAAAGUUGUGUUUUGUCAAAUUGCAUAAAUGAAUGUAAACUCAUCACAUAGUUACGACUUUGGUUCCUUUGGACAUGAUUUAAUUUGAUAUCAGGUUGAGUUGAAGUUGAAAUUUUAUUUGGAUAUGUAAUUUGAAUUUAUUAAGUUAGUGUUUUCUUUAUAUAAAUAUGAAAUCUCUAUAAUUUGUGAAAAACUAUUAGAACUUUCCAAUUUUUUAUACAAUCUUACCAAAUGAUCAAAUCACAAUUCAUAAAUAAGGUAUCCUAAUAUUCAAUAUCCUAAGUCUCCGAAUUAAUAAAUCACAUAUAUCCGUGUUCUUUUAAUAAAUAAAUAUUUGUGACUACAUAGUAAUAUAUUAUUACAAAUUUUUAAAUAUACUUAUUUUUACAAAGAUUCAUUGAUCCAAUAAAUCAAUAGCAGUAACUAGUUAUUCUUUGACAGAAUUUCCCCACAUGAUUAAUGGUAGAGACAAUCUCUUCAUAACAACAUGAGUAUUUCCUUAUGAAAAUUAAUUUUAUGGGUCUUUCUUAUAAAUAUUAACUUAUUGGUCAGGUUUUAUAUCAAAAUAAUUUGAAAUUUCAAAUAUACUUUUAAGAAAAUUUGAGAUUUGAAAUCAUGAUUUAAAGUUGAAGUCGAAAUUUGUUGCAAAUUUCCUAAACAAACAUCGUUACACCGAUUUGAAAUUAGGCUCUCAAAUUCUAUGGUCAAACGCCUCCAAUGAAAAAAUUUCUAUAAAUUUUCAUCACUUUAUUUAAAGCUUUUAUAGCAUAAUCCUUGAGUAAAUGGACCUGAAAUUGAAUGCUGAGUUUCACUAGUUUGAAGAUGAUCAUGUUUUCAUGGAAAGAAGUUUGUGAAAUGCUUUUUAGAUUAUGAUAUUUGAUAGAAUAUUUUGGAGAACAUUUUAGGCCUUUAAAAGAGCUUCCGCAAUGCUUACUUCUCUGUUGAGAUAAGAAUAAUUAUAUCACAUAUGUUUGUCAGAUAUGAUAUUACUAUUUUUAGUUUUAUAGCCAAUUUACUAGAAUUUUUUGUUUUCAUAUAUAAGAAAUCUGAAAAUGUCAUUUUUUUUCCGAAUCAAAUUGUAAGAGGAAAAACGUUCUUUUGUUUCUUCAUUUCCAGCGAAGGAAGAAAUUAGUUUUAGACACUUCAAAUUAUUUAAAACUAUUGUUGUUGUUUGUUAAAUAUUAUCAUUACAUCUAAAGCUAUUGUCACACGUUGUUUGUAUAACUAAUUCUAAUAUAACUUACUCGUACCAUAUUAUGUGUAUUAUUUAACGCAUAAAAUAUAUGAUAUUAAACUAUGUAUACGAGGAAUAUGCGUAUAAAAAUACUUAAGAAAAAGAAAGAAAAAUCCCUUAAAAAUAGACAACCUAUAUAUGUGCUAAGGCACCUUAAAAGUGGCAGUUUGAUUUAGACAAGCCUUCCAAAAAUAAAAAUGUGUUAUUAGUUGAAAUUUCAGUUUGAAUUAAUUAUAUUAUGUCUAUAAAUUAAAUAUUACUUUUUAUAUAUAUUAAAUUCUGAAUAUGAUUCCUUCCUUUCUUAAAGAGUUAUCAUAUCUAAAACAUAGUCUAAGUUGCAUAGAAAGAACUGAAUGCUCUUUUUCUUUUUUUUUCUUAAAGUCAAAUGAAUCACAAUUUUAGAAUCAAGGGAUAUUUUCGUUCUUAAUGGCUCUUUUGACUAUAAAUAAUAAUAAAAAAAAACAAAGGGCAUUCAAUAUCCUAACCUGAUGAAUUCCUUCAGGUGAAAAUUACAAUACUUAUAUAUAAUUAAAAUUAUUUUUUUAUAUAUAUUGAAUCUCUUUUAGUGAGAAUUAUAACUCAACCACUAUUUAUAACUAGCAAAUAUUGGAUGAGUGUUAUACGGUAUUAUAUUGUUAAAGGAAAUCAGAUCGGAUCACCCCAUAUAAAGGUUAACCCUAUACAUGUCUAGAAAAAUUAAUAUGUAUAUAAUUAUGUAGUAUAUAAAUUUGUAUAAUAUUAAUAAAUAAAAGGGAAAAGUUUACAUAACUAUUAAUAUUCUUUAUGAAAAAUUGUAUUCCUUUAAAAUUAUAAAAUAGAUUAUCUUAAUAAAAAUUAGGACAAUUUUCUUUUUUGAAAAAAAAAAAAAAACUUGCAGACGAAUUCAAUAAUAUUGUAAACUGUGUAUAUGAUUAGAUUCUUGAGUGUAUACAAAAUUAAGGUAUCAGCUGCCAGCCUUCUAGACAUAUCAACUUUAAUUUGGUCCUUCACUUUUAUUUUUUAUAUGUUGUUUAACUCCCUAACUAAAUGCUUCCAAAGUCAAGCUAGCUUCUUGUUUUUGGCAACUAUGUAUACUUAAUCCGUUCAUUUUUAUUUAUUCAUUACACUUUAAAAAAGGAUCUAUUUUUAUUUAUUCAGUUUAGAAAAACAUGUCCUUAAUAAGAUGAUACAAACUUUCAUACAAAUAUUGCAUGGUUAUAAUUAUCAACUCAUGUUUGAGAUGUUUGAUUGAGUUAUACAUAUAACGAGUGGAACCCUUAUUUUAUAAAUAUUCAAGAGAUAAUUUAUCAUUUAGUUCCUCGUUUAUCCUUAUUAUUAAUCAUAAUUAUUUCUCAAUACAUUAAAUUUAUUAUAUCCAGUAAUAUAGUAAAACUGAAAUUUUAUUUAUUACUUAAAUAUACUAAGUUAAACUAAAUAAAUAAAAAUAAACGGAGAAAACAAUAGCAUUAGAGGUACUAAAAGCAAACAGCAAACAGCAAGACGCACAGAGUUCAGCAAAUAACUCUGGACAAUCAGAAGAAAAUUCAAAAAUAGAUCCAGUACAAGAAUAUGUGCAAGAGAGUGGAGGAGUUCACACUGAAGCAGUGUUUGUGCAUUCAAAAGAUAACGAGGAACUGAUUGGGGAAUUGAAUGAUGAAACAAGAGAUAAAGAUGUGCCCAAAAUAAAAACUUUUACAGCAAAGGAACUAAGUGAUAAGCAAAAUUCGGAGGAGGAUGAAAGCAUUGAUAUCAAUGUAGAAUAUGUGAGUAAAAAUGGGGAUCUUUCACCAAGGCAGAUUGAUAAUCUUAAAAGCAAAAUGAAGAAGAAUACAAAGCAGGUUCAAUCUCAAUCACAAAUAAAUACAAGGAGUAAGAAGGGGUCGUCUUUUACAUCAGUUUAAUGAUAAAUAAGAUAAUUUUCUGGAAUAUCAGGUCUGUUAGGACUCAAAAAUCUUUUGAGCGACUAGUAGAUCUGCAUAAACAACAUCAAUAUUCAUACAUUGCUUUAUUAGAACCAUUUCAUAGCCCUAGUGAACUGGAAGCUUAUAGGAGGAAGGUGGGUCUUCCUAAUGCUAGAGUGAACUGUUCAUCUAAAAUUUGGGUCUUCUGGGAAGAUGAUUGGGUGGAGAAGGGUUCAACAGAUUCUAAUACAACAAUUAACAAUACAAUUCCAACUAAGAGAUAGGGAUGACUGUUUCAGGGUAACGACUGUGUAUGCAAGAUGUAGUGCCCUGGAAAGACUAGAAUUAUGGGAUGAUUUGGAGCAUAUUGCUGCUCAACCUAGUAGCCCUUGGUUGGUGGGUGGUGAUUUCAAUACAAUUGUAGAUGAGUCAGAGAAGCUAGGUGGUUUACCGGUGACGCAACAUGAAAUGGCCGACUUUGCUGCUUGUAUCAAUGUUUGCGCUUUAAAUGAGUUGAAAUUUGUAGGUAGCUGUUACACUUGGUGGAAUGGACGAAUUGAAAAUGAAUGUAUCUUCAAGCGACUGGAUAGAGUAUUGGGGAACAAUGAAUUUAUGCAGUUACUACCUAAUAGUGAGGUGCAUCAUCUAAUUAGACAAGGUUCUGACCAUGCUCCACUACAUGUGAUAUGUGAUGACUCUCAGGAACACGUGGUAAAACCAUUUAGAUUCCUAAACUUCUGGACGAAGCACAAAGAUUUCAUGAAGAUAGUAGAGGAAAACUGGAUUGAAGAAAUAACAGGAUCUCCGUUCUUUAUAGUUCAUUCCAAAUUGAAAAGGACCAAAACGGCUUUAUCAAAACGGAGCAAGAAGACCUUUGGAAAUAUUUUCCAAAAAAUUGCUACAUUGGAAGAUGUGGCGAAGACAAAGGAAGUACAGUUAGAAAUCUCGCCUAUUGUAGAAAAUAGAAGUUCACUCAGCAAGGCGGAGGCAGAAUUGAAGAGAUACCUUCAUAUUGAGGAGGAAUACUGGAAGCAAAAAGCAGGUAUGAAGUGGUUCAUGGAUGGAGAUAAGAACACUAAAUUUUUUCAUGCUUAUGUGAAGGGAAGAAGAAGAAAGCUUCAAGUCAAAGAAAUUCAGACACCACAGGGAGAUAUAAUUAGUAAUCCGCAGAUUAUAGGAGAAGAAGCAGUCAAUGUGUUUAAGGAACAAUUUCGGGAGAACUCGGAGAAUAAUACAAUGGAUUUGAUCCACUGUAUUCCUAAAUUAAUCACGGAAGGGGAGAAUGAGGGGAUGGUGCAGAUGCCAUCCAAAGAAGAGGUACAAGUGGUUUUCUCAUUGAAUGGCGAUAGUGCAAGUGGACAAGAUGGUUUCUCAGGUCAAUUUUUCCAAUCAUGUUGGGAAAUAAUUGGUAAUGAUAUUACAAAUAUGGUAAAAGCUUUCUUUUGUGGACAAGAGUUACCCAAAUAUGUGACUCAUACCAAUAUGGUGCUUAUUCCAAAGAAGGAGGAGGUAAAGACCUUUGGAGACUUGAGGCCUAUUAGUUUAAGUACGUUUACAAAUAAGAUUAUAUCGAGGCUGAUGAAUGAAAGAAUUGUGAAGGUGCUACCCAAAAUUAUCUCUCUUAAUCAGUCAGGCUUUGUGAAGGGAAGGAGUAUUAAUGAGAAUGUAUUGCUUGCACAAGAGAUUAUCAGAGAUAUUAACAUGAGAAACAAAUUGCACAAUAUAGUGGUGAAGCUUGAUAUGGCAAAGGCAUAUGAUAGAGUUUCGUGGAAGUUUUNNNNNNNNNNNNNNNNNNNNNNNNNNNNNNNNNNNNNNNNNNNNNNNNNNNNNNNNNNNNNNNNNNNNNNNNNNNNNNNNNNNNNNNNNNNNNNNNNNNNNNNUUUUUUUCAAUCAUCUAGAGGUCUAAAGCAAGGAGAUCCAUUAUCACCCACCCUUUUCAUAAUUGCUGCAGAAGUAUUGGCAAGGAAUCUGAAUAAUUUAUAUGAAGAACAUGAUUUCAUAGGCUAUGGUAUGCCUAAGUGGAGUCCAAAAAUAAAUCAUCUUUCAUAUGCAGAUGAUACCAUAUUAUUUUGCUCGGGGCAUGGAGUAUCAAUUCGCAAAAUGAUGAAGGUAUUGCGAGAGUAUGAACUGGAGUCAGGACAGAUGAUCAAUCUGGACAAAAGCUUAUUUUAUCUUCAUGAAAAGACACCAGUAAGAGUGUGUAAGCGAAUCAAGAGGUUAACGGGCAUCAAACAAGGCAAUUUCCCAUUUAUAUAUUUGGGCUGCCCUGUAUUUUAUGGAAGGAAAAAUAAAAAUCAUUUUGAAGAGUUGAUCAAGAAGGUGAUGAAAAGGCUUAACCUAUGGCAGAAUAAGUUAUUAACAUUUGGGGGAAGGUAUAUUUUAAUCACACAUGUGCUGCAAUCCAUGCCAGUGUAUCUACUCUCAGCUAUGAAUCCGUUGACUGGUGUGAUUGACCAACUUCAUAGAAUUUUUGCAAAAUUCUUUUGGGCAAAUGCUACAGGAACAAGAAACAGACAUUGGGUGUCUUGGGAAAAUUUGUGUUAUCCAAAAGAGGAGGGAGGAAUUGGUCUUCGGUCUUUACGCAUAGUGUCUAAUGCUCUAUUUGCUAAGCUAUGGUGGAAUUUCAGAACUUCUACAUCGUCCAUGUGGGGAGCUUUCAUGUGGAACAAAUACUGUAAAAAGUCACAUCCUAUCAUGGCAAAAGGAUGUGGUGCUUCACACGUUUGGAGAAAAAUGCAAGUAGUAAAAGAGGAUAUAGAGCACAACAUAUAGUGGCAACUAAAAGCAGGGAAUUCCAGCUUUUGGUUUGAUAAUUGGACUAGACAAGGGGCUUUAUAUUAUAUAGAAGGAGAAGGCGCAAGAGAAGAGGAACUGGAAGUUAGAGAUUUUAUAAUGGAAGGAGAAUGGGAUAUACAGAAAUUGAGGGAUAAAUUAUCUGAGGAAAUGACAGUACAUAUUGUGGGGAAUAUAGUUCCUCCAGCUGAAUUACAGAGUAAUGAUGUACCUUGGUGGAUGGGGAACACCCAAGGCAACUUCACAGUGAAAUCAGCCUGGGAACUACUGAGACAGAGGAAGAAAAAGAAGGCAGAAAAUAACAAAAUCUGGGCAAAAGGUGUCCCUUUUAAAGUGAUUUUUUUCUUAUGGAAGGCCUGGAGGAGGAAGAUUGCCACAGAUGACAAUUUGAAGAGAAUGAAGAUAAAUAUUGUGUCUAGAUGCUGGUGUUGUAAGGAGAAGACAGAAGAAACUAUGACUUAUCUUUUUUUAACAGCACCCAUAGCUACUAAGCUAUNNNNNNNNNNNNNNNNNNNNNNNNNNNNNNNNNNNNNNNNNNNNNNNNNNNNNNNNNNNNNNNNNNNNNNNNNNNNNNNNNNNNNNNNNNNNNNNNNNNNNNNNNNNNNNNNNNNNNNNNNNNNNNNNNNNNNNNNNNNNNUUGGAUGAAGAUAGGAAAGGAGGAUUGGUCUCACAUGGUUACAUUAUUGAAGGAAUACAAACCAAGACUACACUAUUAUUGUGUUACUUGGAAAUUGCCAGAAAGGGAUAAGGUGAAAUGUAAUACUGACAAGGAGUGUAGGGGAAAUCCAAGGAACAAUGCACUUGCUUUUUGUGUAAGAGAUGAUGUAGGAGAUCUGAUAUAUGCUACUGCUAGAGGAAUAGGAAUAGCCACAAAUACAGAAGCAGAAGCAAUGGCUAUUAAGGAAGCUUUGAGGUUUUGUCAGACCCUUAAUUUAAAGGGAGUAACUAUAGAAACAGACUCUCUCACGCUGAAAAGGAUGAUCGAGAGGGAAUGGAAGGUGCCAUGGGAGCUUAUCGAGAUAAUAGAAGCCAUAAGGGUCCAACUACAAUUUUUACAAGGAAUCAUCAAGCAUAUCUUCCGAGAAGGAAACACAGUAGCAGAUUCUUUAGCUAAUGAAGUAGUAGACACGCAAGGCACAAAGGAAUACCAUAGCUUUCACGAGCUACCAGCUAAUACAAAGAGGCACAUAAACAUGGAUAAAGCUCAGAUUCCUAAUCUUAGGAUUAGGACACGGAAAAUAAACAUGCAAUGAUUCAGUAAAGAAAUAGCAGGGGAAAGGGGAAAAUACAUUCACACAACAUAGAGAAACAUAAAAGGGAUCCCAAUAAUUACAUGCCCAGGGGGAAUAAAAAACACAUAAUCCUAGUGACUGACAACAGAUAUGUGAUUAAUCUUUGCUAGCUGCCCUAGCUGCAAAGAGAUGGGUAUUUAGCGCCUACCACCACAACAAUCCAGAGCAAAAAUCAAUAGUGAUUUUCUAUAGAUAUGNNNNNNNNNNNNNNNNNNNNNNNNNNNNNNNNNNNNNNNNNNNNNNNNNNNNNNNNNNNNNNNNNNNNNNNNNNNNNNNNNNNNNNNNNNNNNNNNNNNNNNNNNNNNNNNNNNNNNNNNNNNNNNNNNNNNNNNNNNNNNAGUUGGACUCACCGGAGAUGAUAGACGAAACCAUUACCAACAAUCAAUGAUGGAGCUUGAAGAUAACCCAAAGGAGAAACAAGAUGAAGUGCAAAUUUCAGCUCAAGGGUAACAUCACACAAGGAGGCAAAGACUAGAGGAGAGGAGUACUGUGUACUCAUGGAAGUGUGCCUAAGUUACAUCUAGAUAAUUAGGAAACCUUCCUUUUUUGGACCAAGUUUUUGGGCCGAUCUGUUUUGUACGAAUUGGGUUACUUUGUUUUGUGCAUAUUUUAAUAAAAUGGGUCCAGCUAUGGACCUAAAAUUUGAUUUUAAAAAAAAAUAGCAUUAGAGGCCACGGCAGGAUAGAAAUCAUUUUAUUUAUUAUCUAAAUAAUUAAACUGCAAAACAUUCUUAAAAUAGUCAAAUAUUGAAAGGGGCAUUAAUUAAUGAGAUCGAAACAAUAUCAAAGUUGCAACAUGCACUAAUAUUUUCAAUAAUUAUUUUCUAUGAGCCACACUGCGAACGUCCCAUCUUUUUCUUACUUGGAUGAAGAAAGACAUAUCCUUCUUUUCAGUUAUAACAAACAGUUUACUCCAUUUUCAAAUACCAAAAAGCGAUUGAGAGAAAAACAGUACAUAAGACUUAAAAAGAGGGUUCCUUCUUUUCUUUACUCUCGCUAAUUUUGAUCCUCAUCUUUCUAGAAAUCAAAUAUUUUUUACUUUAUUCGAAAUUUUUAAAAUUAAAGGUGAAGAUAGAGUUGUGUUUGAUUCUAACUUUUGUAAAUAAUAUUUUAUUGUCUGAAUAUAUUAAAAGUGGGUGGAAAAAAGUGAAAACAUGAUUUUAAAUGGCUUUCAAAUUCCAAUUACAAGAAUUGUAUUCGAUAUUUUCAUGAUCAAACAUUGAUUUUCAAAUAAAUUGAAAAACAAAUUUUAAAAAGAUUAAUAAUUCUCAAAUGCCAAUUACUUUUUGUGAAGAAUAAAACCGUUCAGAAUAAAUUGAUUAUGUCAUAAAAAUUGGGAAGAUUUUAAAAGACAAUUUCAACAUAGUGAUGACACGUUUGAAAGAGAGAAAGUUGAUUUUUUUGCUUUUUAGAGACAUGACAUUUCUUUUCUUUUCUUUUUUUAAAAUAAAAAAGAUGAAUUCAAAACAACUUUUGAUAUAUCAAUGAACUAAAAAAUAAUUGAAAGAUGAGUUUGUUAGAAAAAAUGAUUUUGACCAACAAAAAAAUAAGUUCGAAAAUAAUAGUUUGAACAGAUCUUCAAGUGAUUUUUUUCAGUCACAAAAAUAUUGUUUCUUUAAAGUUAAAUUCCUAUUGAAGAUUUCUUGAUACAACUAGUUUUCUUGAUGAAAAAGAAUUCUUUUAUAUCUAUGUUUUUCUCGUACAUAUUCUCUUAAUAAAUUUCAAAUUUUUUAUAUUCGUUUAUCAAUCACUUAGAAUCAAGUCAUAUAAAUAAUGUUAUGUUUUUUAAUACUCCUAUUACUUUUGUUGUCUGAUUUAUCAAUAUCCGAGGUGUGUAAAUCACAUAUGUCUAUUUUUAUUUGUUCACUAUAUUAUUUUAGGAUGUAUGUCUAGUCUAUAAAAUCAAUGAAAAAUUUAUCAUAUUAUGUCUAUUUUAUCCUUGUUAUUAAACACCUUAUUCUUCGAUCCAAGCCACACGGGUCUCCCCGCAUGCGGCUCAUGCCAUUUGAGGUGGCCCAACCCAACAUUCAUUCACAAAUCUUGUAGUGAAAUCGAGACUGCUCAACCUCGAAAGCUGAUUCACGUGUAGGCAGCGCUACCUAUCAUACAAUUGACACUAUCUGUUCAUGAAAUUUUCUUUAUUUCAUUUUCUAUUUUAUAUAGGCUCGCUCCCUCUUUUUCCAAGAAUUCAUCCACUUUUCUUUACUCCAUAGGGCUUCUCUAAUAGGAAAUUUUUCAAUGUUUAAAUGACUUAUAUUUAAUAAGGGUGAUUUAAUAAAAUUACUCAUAUUAUUUAUUGUUUCUUAAUUUCUGCGUCAAAUUAAUAAUGAAUAAUUAUUAAUCAAACAGGGAAAGUAUAUCGUAACUUCUACAUACUAUCACUUUAUUAAUUUGAACUCCAACAUGUACAAAUGUCAACUAAAACAAACUUCUCCAAAAAUCGAAGCAAAACGAGCCUACCACAUAAUAUGCGAUGCCUCGUCCUCUACUUUGUUUCUUACGUCGAUUAUUGCAUUAUUUACUGGAUUUUAUUUUUUUUUGCAUUAUUUCAGUUGUACAAUACUUCAAGAUGAACAAGUCAACUUCAUGUACAUUCCUUUUUUUAAAAAAUUAAUAUUUUGGAGUGGGGUUUGAGAAAAGGAGGUUCUCAAUAAUAAAAUAAAAACGUCCUUUCAAAGAUAGGUAACCUUCUUUGCUAAGCAAAUAGGGAAUUAAUUUUAGGAAAAAUUACUUAAAUACAUAACUUAUUUUAUCGUAUGUUUAAAAAAAUUUAAUUAUUUGAAAAAAUUACAAAAAUCUAUAUUCUCUCUUAUUCUCGGAUACAUCACUUUAUGCGAUAUAUUGGGACAUUGGGUGACAUAUUCAAAAUAGAGAUACGAUGUAUCAGUACAUUGAGAUAUGUAUCCAAAACGGAGACGUUGAGAUGUUUUGGGAUGUAUCCGAAUUCCAUGAAAUUUAAGAGAUUCUUAUAAUUUGGAAAAGAAUAAGAAUAGAAUGUAAUUAGCUCUUAACACUAUGAGAUUGUGUAAAAUUUCCACCCUUUAUUUUAUUAAAGGUCCUAUUAAGAUUGUGGUGGAAGUGGAAUAUAAAAAAACUUUUAUUUUUCAUAAAUCAAACUUCUAUUUUGAGCAGCCUUGCAAAUAAGAAAAUUCUUGAUGGGAAUAUUUCCUCUUUUAACGAGCCCUAUGCAAUGUAAAUUUAAAUUAAUUGAAAUUUCAAAAUAAAUACUAGGUAAAAAAAAUCUAAAUUUUGCUACUUGAUCAUAUAUUACAUGUCCUUGUUCUAAUGUAGUGAAAGUGUUUUAUUUGUUGAAGAAAAAAUAAGCUGACAAUUGGAACAUGUCAAAGGAAUAGGUCCAAUGAAGCUGACUGACGUGUGUGCAACAAGUGUUGAUGAAGAAGGAAGCUGACGAUUGGAACAUGUCAAAGGAACAGGUCCAACGAAGCUGACUGACGAGUUUACAACACUGCUGUAGAAUUAGAGUCGCACUAGGAUUAUACUACUUAUAGUAAUUAGGAUUAUAUUACGACUAGAAUUAUAUUAUGAUUAGGAUUAUAUUACGACUAGGAUUAGAUUAUUUAUAAUUGCAUUAUUAUUAUUAUAGUAGUAUAGGUAUUGUAGUAGGACUCUAAGUAUAGUUAACUUAGGACUCUACAAUUCUCCCUAUAUAAGGAGGUUGUAACUCAACAUUAUUUUCAUCAAUACAAUCCUUGAUUUCUCUAAUCCUAAACGUGAGAUUACUACAUGGUAUCAGAGCAUAAAAGCUCUUCUGCUCUGUGAGUAUUGAUCACAAAAAAAAAAACCACACGUUAAAAUUGUUAUGACCCAUUCUACCAAUACUAUGUCGACCUCCUCACUUCACCAACUCAUUGUCGCUUGUUCCAUUAAAUCUAAGCCAACAAAUUACACACAAAUAUCCCAAUUAAUUCACGUGAUGAAACAAACAUAUCUCAUCACAGAGAAUGAACCAAGUAAAAACAGUUGUUCCACUGGACAAACUGCUAGGAAAGUUGUAGAUGUUGAGAAGGAUGCAAAAGAUAGUGACACCAUUGUUGAUUGGAAGGAGAGAUGUGUUACUAAGGAGUUGGAUCUCAAGCACAUUGACCGAAAAAAGCAUGCACCUAAUUGUGGGUUGCUCAACUGCCAAAGAGAUGCUGGAAUGCUUGAAAAAAGCUUAUAUUCAAGCAACAAAAGUAAUUUAUUUUGCUAGAGGUUUAGGUCUCAAAUACAAGACCUUUGUCAUAUUAGGUAAGGCACCAUAUUCCACUCUUAAUCAAUUUGUUUAUGCUCUCACGAGUUUUGAUAUAAGGGAAGAUGAAGAAGAGGUGCCACAACAAAAUCACAACAUGGUAUUAUCUGCUCAAAAAGGCAGGGGAAGAGUAAACAACAACAUUAACUCCAGUGAAACAGGUUUCAAGCCUGCUGGACAGGGAACAGGUUCUAAGAACAGUCAAUAUGGACCAAGUUCUCUGAACAAUAAAAGUUCUCAAAGUGAAAAUAAUGAGAGGAAUAAUAUUGAGUCAUGUCAAAUCUGUAGUAGGAAUAAUCAUGCUGCUCUUAAGCGUUUUUACUGGUGGAACUACUUGUAUCAAUCUGCAGAUGAACUAUCACAAGCAACGACUAGACAUCACAUUCAUACCGAAGCAUUGACAAAACAAGUUUUUGCUAGGUAUUCAAAGGUUUUUCAUGUGUAUUCGAAUCAAGCUAGGAGUAAUCGUUCCUCUACUCACUAGCUUGAGGGGAAGUGUUGAAAAAGAAAUAAGCUGACGAUUGGAACAUGUCAAAGGAACAGGUCCAACGAAGCUGACUGACGUGUCUGCAACAAGUGUUGAUGAAGAAGGAAGCUGACGAUUGGAACAUGUCAAAGGAACAGGUCCAACGAAGUUGACUGACAAGUUUAUAGCACUGCUGUAGAAUUAGAGUCGCACUAGGAUUAGACUACUUAUAUUAAUUAGGAUUAUAUUAUGAGUAGAAUUAUAUUAUGAUUAGGAUUAUAUUACGACUAGGAUUAGAUUAUUUAUAAUUGCAUUAUUAUUAUUAUUAUAGUAGUAAUAAGUAUUGUAGUGGGACUCUAAGUAUAGUUAAUUUAGGACUCUACAAUUCUCCCUAUAUAAGGAGGUUGUAACUCAACAUUAUUUUCAACAAUACAAUCAUUGAUUUCUCUAAUCCUACACGUAAGAUUUCUACAUUAUUUACGGCUUCAAGGUAUAUUAAUCAAUUAAUUUCCUCAAGUGAUCUUUUUCAACUUAAAUCUAGUUAGAAAGAAAUAACAAAAUACAAAAAAUCAUGUCAUCACCAAGAUUAUUUAAUUAGUUGAUCGACCAAAUAUAAGAUAGUAUUCCUGGAUUUCUAUCAGUUAAGAUACACCUAGAUUAAUUAGUUGAUUGAUUUGAUUUAAUUUGUUAAUUAAUUAUUGAACAGUGUUGUUUAAGAAAACAACUUUUUAAUUUGCAACUUAUGCUAUAAAUUUGAGUCCGGAGCCUAAAGGGCAAAAACAAUUGACAAAAAUUCCAAAAGGGCACAUCAAAUUUUUUCUAACCAAAAGGGCAAAAAUCGCUACUGAUGCAGCGAUUUUGUUUUGAUGCCGUUAACAUAUCAAAAUCACUGCUAGGGCAACGAUUUUGUCCUAUUUUAUUUUAUUUUUCAGAAAAUCGCUGCCCGUGCAACAUUUUUGCAAAAAAAUAAAGAUUUUUUUUAUAUAGAAAUCGCUAUCAUGGCAGCAAUUUUCGUUAUUUUUAAUUAUUAUUUUCAAAAUUGCUGUUGUUGCAGUGUUAUUCUUUUUUCUAAAAAAAAAAAAUCCUUACCUUGGCAGCUUUUUGGUGGAAAAAACAAAUGUGAUUUUUUUUUCUUGAAAUUUCUGUCAACUAGUCAACAUCAAAAUGACUAAAAAUUUUUUUUUUUAGAAAAUGCAGCCUUGGCAGCGAUUUUGGUGAAAAUUCUUUAAAAAAAAAAACAAAAUCGCUGCCUUGGCAGCGUUUUUGGUGGAAAUCUUUUCUUAAUAUUUUUUUUAUAAAUAUCUCUGCCAGAAUUUUCACCAAAUUUUUUUUUUUUGGUCAUUUUGAUGUUCACUAGUUGACAGAAAUUUCAGAAAAAAAGAAUUUCACCAAAAAGCUGCCAAGACAGGGAUUUUUUCUUAUAUAAAAAAAGGAAUAACGCUGCAACAACAGCGAUUUUGAAAAUAAAAAAAAAACAACGAAAAUCGCUGCCAUAUUUCUAUAAAACAAAAAAAAAUUGCAAAAACGCUGCACAGGCAGCGAUUUUUUGGAAAAAAAAAUUUGGACAAAAUUGCUGCCCUAGCAGCGAUUUUGAUCUGUUAACGGCGUCAAAGCAAAAUCGUUGCGUCAGUAGCAAUUUUACCCUUUUGGUUAGAAAAAAAUUUGAUGUGCCCUUUUGAAAAUUUUAUUUUUUUGCCCUUUAGGCUCUGGACUCCAAUAAAUUUCUUCCUUAAAUUCAUGAAUUUAUCGUUGUAGCUUAUAUAUAUAUAUAUAUAUAAUAUAAUAUACCAAUUUUACUUUAUCUUCUCAAAUUAGAGAAAAAAUAAAACCUCUAGUUGUCCAAAAUGAAAAUCAACAGAGACAAUAAGUUAUGGCUAAGACACCUUCAAGGUAAUUGCAAGAGAAUAAGAGAAAAUUUCAAGAUGGAAAGUUAUAUCAAACUCUAAUUACCAACAAGAUGAAAAUUUAUGUAACCAACCAACGGAAGAAUUAAAAUUUUCCCGUACCUUUAAAAGUUGAAACCGUACUGUAUAUAGAUUAAAUAUACACACAGGUUUGUUAAUUGUUACACAUUAGAAUAUUACUCAACCCUUGAUUUGGAAUACCUCUAACAAGUAAUAAUAUACUAACACUCUUUUCUUUUUAGUCUGUUAUAAGAAGAAUGCUAUUUUUAUAUAAUUAGAAAUAAAUUACUUUAACCCUUCAGGAUCGUUUGGUGUGAGGUAUAAGGUAUAAUAAUCACAUGAUAAAAUGUAGGAUUGCUUUAUUCCAUAUUUGGUUGGAGGUAUUAGGUAGUUAUUAUAUCAGAUUAGUUAUCCAACCAUUUUUGUUAUAGUGAUGAGAUAAGUUAUCUCAUACACAUGCAUGGUGGAAUAGCUAAUUAUCCCAGAAUUGUUACCCUGGGACAACUUCUUCCCAACCAAACGCCCCCUUAAUGAAAUGAUUUGCAAUUAUAUAUAAAUAUUUAAGGAUUAUAUUAGAUCACAAGUUCCAAAAGUCUUCCUUUUUUUUAAACACCAUACCAAAUCAAACGAUAUCACAACAUAAAAAUCAUAUUUGUAUGUUAUAGCUAUAGUUUGCAUAAUUGCGCUCCAUAACAAAUUUUAUGUUUGUUAUGGAGCUUUUGAUUUGUAUAAUUCGCUAGAUACAUCCAAUUUUAUACAAAUUGUUCAGUUUUGUAUAAAUUCAUUUAUACAUUGUAAUUUGUAUAAUAAGAUCUGUAUUUGUAUAAUUAUAAGUGUAUAGGACGAAGAUAUAUGUAUUUAUAUUUGUAUAUAUACUUUUUCUCUCGCUUUUAUACAAAACACUAAAACACAUUUUAUACAUUUGUAUACCGAAUGGGUAAUUGUAUACCAAAAAUGGCUAAUUGUAUACCGAACCAGAUGGCAAGAAAAUGGGAUGUUUGCUGCGAAUUACAAAUAAAAUAAACUAUGGCUAUAACAUUUAAUUUGAAUUAAUAGUUUGUUAUUUCAUACAAUUUUCCCUACUUAUUUUAGUAAUAUUGGCCUAAUUGAAAAAAAACAUUUAUUAGUUAAACCAAUCAAAUAUUAACAUGAGGGUGGCUUUUUUGAUAUAUAUUGUAGCUAGUUGUCUAAAAGCAGGAAAUGGUCAAUAUAUAUAGUUGGAAUAUUGUCAUCACAUAAAAUCUUAUCCUUUAAUUAUACAUUUAUUCACAAUAGGAUUACGUAGUUUGCCAUCUAAAAAAUUCUUAGAAUUUUGGCAACUACCUUCCAUAAUAUGACACGUAUCACUCUCGCGAUUAUCGAUAAGACACAUGUCACAUCCUGGUUAAAUUGCCACAUUUUUAACACCUGGCUAUAACAACAAGUAUUAGUUUAAUUAUGAGAAAAAACAUUUUUAUGUUACUGAAAUAAAUUUCACAGAAAAAAACUAAAAACUAAUUGAUAGUACUUUGCUUGUUGUCAAAGAAAAAACUAAUUGAUAUCCCACGUUAUAUAUAGAUUUAUACACCCUUGAUAAACAUCAUUUAAUUAAUUCUUAUCCAAUAAAUAAACUAUUAUCCUUCAAAACAUUGUAUCGUAGCAUCUAGUAUUUGCUUGGAAGUUUUUGUUGAAAGCAAAAGAUUCAUCACAUUUCAUGUGAAUUAAGUUUUUUUUUUUAUGGUUUUAUUCCACGUGUUUCGAUUAAAAUUUUGAGAUAAGACGUAUUAAAAAUUAAUAGUCAAUGAACCUCAUAUUAACUUGUACUCCAUCUAUCUAUUAUUUUUUGUGAUAUAAUUUAAUUGAGCACGAAAUUUUUUAAAAAAAUAUAUCAAAUGAAAUUAAUGAUCAAUUAAUAUAUUAUUAUUGUUUAGUUUAUCUAUCGUCUAUCUAUCUACAAUAAUUAAUUAUCGCUCAUGAUCAUGUUUUAUAUUAUAGGUAAAAACUAAUUAGUUAUCGAGUGUUUAUAGUCUACCAAUAAAAGUAAUAUUUUCAUACACGAGCCUAUUACUUAAUUAUGUUGUUACCUUAUUAUUUUAGUUAGCUGAGGUUAAAAUGAUUAGUUAGAUUGUAAACACUCGAUGGUUUAGAUAAGUGGACAUGCCUAUAUAGUGUUAAAGAGGCUCAUAUAUAGAAUGACGCAAAAUAAUACUUGAGGCAACAAAUUCAAUUAAUCAAAAUUUAAAAGCUGAAAUUUCACUUUUAUCAUCAAUGGGUUUAGCCAAAAUAUUUAUAACACAAUCCAAAUAAGUUUAACUCAUGGUUAUAUAAGCAAUUCUUCUGGUUCCAUUUACAAAGUUUUCUUGUUUUAUCAACAAAUAAUAACCCAUCAAUACAACAGAAACAUUAUUUGAUUUUAAAUUCGGAAUGAUGCCUUAUACUCACUACAUAAAAAAUGAUCAUUAACGGCAAUUAAUUCUUAAUUACCGCUAAAUAUGUAUUAGCACUCUUUGUAUAUGUCCCUAAAGGCUUUAGCGACAUUGAUUCUAAUGGCACUUAACUAAUGUCAGUAAAAACUUUAACACUGUCAAUAUUUAAUGCCGCUAAAAGUUGUUUUUGUUGUAGUGGUACUAUAAAAAAUUUAUAGUUUAUUAAUUUCAAAUAUAAAUUAUUAUUUUUUAUUUCUUGGCAAAACCAUACAAUAGGACCAAAUUAGAUGCUAUUGUAAAGUGUCAACAUGUGCUUGACGGACACUCAUAAUGUGAUGACAAUAUACAAGCCACUAACUUAAUUAUAGCAAGAAUUUUCUCAACUUUUUAUAUUCAUAUUUUUGGAACACUAUUUAUACACAAUUCCAUAAAUUAAUCAUCAACUCUAUGAUCUAGCUAGCUAGAUCCAUCUACAUUUUUAAAAAAUGUCUAACAUGGUUAUAAUGAGAUUAAUUAAGUGAUAAAGUUAAUUAGCUCAAUAAAUCAAAUUAAAGAAAGUUGUCUAGGUUCAAGAAAAUAUGUACCUAGACAAGAACCAACUAAAGAUUCAUGAUAAAACAUUUCAGACAAAGUUUAAUUUAAGAAAAGAAAACAUUAUAUAUAUUGUGCUCCCAUAAUGGAAGACGACAUAGAAAAGCAUGCAUACACCAAGAUAAGAUUGAAAAUGUCUGAUUUGAUCACUAGAGAAAUUUAAAAAGGGACGCAAUUUGAGAUUUAUUUAAAAUAUGAUGAGAUAAAUGAGAUAUCUUAAUUAAUUAAUAAAAAUAAUUUGAGUAUGAGAAUAGGAAGCGUUAUGAAUUAAGCUACGUAAAUUUAUGUUAGUCCAACUAAGUACUAUAAAUAUUGAAUAUAACAUAUGGUUAUAGGAGUAAGAAUUAAUCCAAAAUGUUAUUAGCUUAGGUAAGUUGUUGAGUUUUAAAAGGGAAAAGGAAAAAGGGGAUCAAUCAGAGCUAGAUAUAGAGAAGAUUAUGAUGAAUAAUAGUUUUCUUUAUUAAUUAAAGAUUUUGAGUUGGAAUUUGAUAAUAGAAAAAAAUAGAAAGCAAAAUUAAAUAACUAAAAAAAGGUAGUGCUUUCUUGGACCCACUAGUGUCUGUGUUUCCUAGGAUAAUAGCCUUUAUUACAAGACAGUACUAUUAUAUUCCCUUCAAUUUAUUUUACUUGUCACUUUUUAUUAAAAAUAAAUUAUUCAAAGUAUUUCCUUCCUUUGUUCUUUUUUAAUUUUCUACUUUUAAAAUAUAAUUUUUUAUUAUUGCUUUUAACUUUUAAUAUAUCAAGAAAAGAUAUAAAAAAAUCAUGUUGUAUUCUUGACAUUAUUUACUUAUUCCUUAAAUUAUUUUUCAGACCUAAUACGAAAUAUUAAUUAAUAGAGAUAGUGUGAUAAAAUAGUCAUAUUUGUGAUUUUUUUUCUUAAUGGUAUGUCAAGUUCAAAUUUGAUAAGUAUAAAAAUGAAAGGAGGGAGUACUUGAUCAAUUCACUUUUACUUGUCCACUGUUUCUAAAAUUAUAUUUUCACUUUUACUUAUCAUUUUUAACAUAUCAAGAAAAGACCCAAAAAAAUCUAUUUUACUCUCAACACUAAUUACAAUUUCCUAAAUCAUUUUCCAUGAUUUAAGAUUAUACAUUAAUUAAUAUGAAUAUUAUGGUAUAAUAUUCAUAUUAAUUAUUGUUUCUUAAAGGGCACGUAAAGUCAAAACUAAAUAAGUACUUAAAAGUGAACGAAUAAAUUAAUUACCAAUUUAAAAGUCAAGAUAUAAUUAGUUGUUUGUUUCCACUUUUAUCCUUGAUGCAGAAGAGAGAAGUUUAAAAUUGGAAAAAAAAUAAAAUAAGGAUAGUACUCUAAAUUUUUUUUCAACUUACCUUCUACUUAAUCUUUUUCUUUAAGAAAUGUAUAAAACAAGACACGACACGUAAAAUGAUCUUGAGGAAAUAUGUCACACAUGAGUUUUUUUAAAAUAAAUUGUACUAAUAAACAAAUGUAAAUACAUUUGCUUGACAAAAAAAGUGCUAAAAUUAUUUGAUAUUCACAAUGCUCAUACAUUUUGUAAAGUUGUUCAAAAAAUAAGAGUUAGGUGCCUACGUAGUUUAUUUUCUUCUUAAUUUCUUUUAUUAGAGAAAAAUAAAACAAGUUCCAAACAUUAGGUUUUUUUCCAAACUUUGUUUGGUUGGAAUAUAUAUCAACUCUCUGGCAUAUUUGGCUAUCAUUACUUAAGUUGAAGUAUGCACAAAUUAAUUAGUGGCUUCGUCAAAUAUAUAUGAUUAAGACACUCUAAAAUGACUAAUGGGUCCUAUUAAAUUGCUAAUUAUAUAUGUUCACCCCACGUAGACUUAUUUUCCUUUUUAAUUUCCACUUAUUGCUUUCAAGAAUAAAUCAAAGUGAGAUCAAGCAAAACCAUUAUCUUGAAACUCUAUACUUCCUCUGUUCCAUUUUAUGUGAAGUAAUUUGUAUCACACGGAGUUUAAGAAAGAAAUUAAGACUUUUAAAACUUGUGGUCUAAAAUGAAUUGAUAGAAAUUUGUGUGGCUAUAAAUUUUUUCAUUAAGGAUAAAAUAAAUAUUUUAAAGUUAAAUUGUCAUAUAAUAUAGAAAUGUGUCAUUCUUUUGGGAACUGACUAAAAAGGAAAGUAAGUCAUAUAAAUUGAGACGAAUAAAAUAGUAAAUUUCAAUUGAGACAAAAAACGUCAAAUGAUUUUUUUUUUAUUUUCUUCGUUUGAGCUCAGUUUAAAUUAUUUAAUUAAUGUUAUGCUUAUUUUUUAAUUAAAUGGUGUCGAUAUUUAUAGAAAAAAAAAGAUAAGAAUUCAAUUAUCAUAUUUAUAAGUAAAAUAUAUUCUUAAUCCAUUGAUUUAGUUUGAUUUAUUUUUUUAAAAUAGAAAGGUGUUGGUUUCAAUACUACUUAACCACAAUUUAAAGCAAUAAUAUGUCAAACUUUGCAAAAAUAUGUUUAGGUUAAAGUACAAACCUCCAACCUCAAAGAACAAAACAAUAUUUUUGAUAUAGGAAUACAGAAAAGGAUCAAAAUGUCAUUUCAUUUCAUAAAUAAUCUUAAAAGUAUCCUUCUUUCAUCUAUUAAAAAAAAGUGCCAUCAAUAUUUUUUUAGAUCUAAAAUUAUCCUUUUCUAACCGCAUAAUAAUAUUGCAGUUGAUAUGGCUUUAUCUUUUAACCUAAUCGAUUUAUAGUAAUAAAACGAUAAGCACCAAAUACAAAAGGCAUUACAAAUUAUAGUCGUGUAUAAAAUAAAGGAAAAAAUGACAAAUAUACCAUUGAACUAUCGUAAAUGGUAUGCAGAUACCCUCUGUCAUAUUUUUGGGACAUUGGUGCCCCUGCCGUAAAAAAACUAGAGCAUAUAUGCCCUUCACUCUAACAGAAGACUAAAUAGAGACACGUGACACAAUCUUAUCCGUCGGUCAGAUAUUUAAUAAAUAUCGAGUCGAUGGAUAAGAUUAUGACACGUGUAUAUCCGUUAGUAUAAAGGGUAUAUAUGCUCUAGUUUUUGAACGACAGGGGCACCAAUGUCUCAAAAGUAUGACGGAGAAUAUCUGCAUAUCAUUUACGAUAGUUUGAAGGUUUAUUUGUCCUUUUUCCCUAAAAUAAAAUACUAAUAAUGUUGGUACUCUAUAUAUUUAUUUAUUAUUAUAUGAUAUAAAAUAUAAUAAAACCAUGAUGCCAAAAGCAUAAAGAAAAGGCUAUAAAGACCCAACUUUUUGUAGAGCGGCUUCGUUUUUGUACACUAUUUUGGAAGUUUCUCAACCAUCCCCCCAUUUUCUUCUUGCCACUUACUUUUUCUAUCCACCAUUCUUUUCUUCUAGUUUUUGUCUUUGGAAUUUUUUUAUUAAACCUAUAUAUAUAGAGAGAUGCUCAAUAUUAAUUCAUUCACCACAACUCACAACCCUACAAUAAUCACAUCAAAGUCACAAUCAUAAUCCUACAAAUCUAAUUGGAAAAGGGUCUACCUUGUGGAGCCCCCUCAAUAUUUUAACUAUUUAUGAAGAGAAAUUAUUAAGUGGAUGAUAUAUAACUAAUUUGAAAUGAACUCUAAAUUCUAAAAUAAAUUAAAGUGCAAAUAAUAUUGUCUAAAUGCCUAUCAAUGUCAUAUACUAUCAUAUUUAAAUAUUCUAAUUGCACACGAUAUGUGUCACCUUCCAACCUCUAUUCAUCAAAGUUAAUACAGAUAAAAAGAAUUGCCUAAUAUCUUUUGUUUUCACUGAAUUUUGAAUCAUAUACUAUCAUAUUUUAGUAGACGUUUGGCAUGCAAGUUUAGCUUGUGAUUCGAACUUAUGAAAUAAAAUUUGUGUUUGAAAAUACAUUUGUAUUUUAUGAUUUCAAAUCAUGAGAUGAAAUCUCAAAUUCUCUAAGAAAUCUCAAAUUCUCUAAAAAACUUGGUUUGGAAAUUUCAUAUCACGAUUACACAUUUUUCAAUACAAAAAUUGCACAACUUUAUAUUAUUAUUUUUAAAAAAAUCUUUUAUAUCUACAUAAUUUUAUAUGAGAGAAAUUAAUUAAAGGAGUGAUGAAAUAUUUACGGAAUAUGAAUAUGAUGAUAUAGUUACUAAUGAUACUAACCAUGUUCAAUUUUAUUAAAGAGUAGUAUACUACAACUCAUUUUUAAUUUAAUUUAUUUUUUAUUGAACUAAAAUUCGGUGAAUAAAUGUUGUAUUCUUUUUAGAAUAACUUUGUGAUAGUGUAUUAUAUUUUCGUUAUAAAUUUUUGCUUAUUUGAUAAGAUUGUAUAAAAAAUUGAGACAAUUUUGAUAGUUUUCACUACUUAUGAGUUUUUUUUUAUGUUUAUGAGCAAAAAAUAUAACUUGAAAAUACAAAUUACAUGUCAAAUAAAAUUUUAAUUCCAUCUCAUAUAAUUUUAUAUAGUGAUUUCAUCUCACGUAGCCAAACAAAUCAUUAAUCUACAUAUUCUACAUUUUUUAGUAUAUCUUAAAAAUGUUUAUUUUUUCUUAGUCAGUAAACUUUUCAGCUCCAACGAUCUACAUAUUUUGAUUUCUUAUUUAAUUUUUUUAAAAACGAUACUUAUUUUGAAAUGGAGAAAGUAACCAAUAGUUAAAGAUAUAUAUCAAACCAAACACAAAUUAUCAGACGUUGACGGUCAAUUAACCAAUUAAUAACUAGCAUAAAAAUCAUCAAAGAUCUAAUUUGAUGAAUUGCCAAUUGAGUUUUUUCUAAUCAUAGAUAAAAUUAUAAAUGUGUGAUGAUAACUUUUGAACCUUCAACUCAUUACGUUACUCGUUAUUGCAACUCAACGUUCUUGCUAUUGCAUAUUGCUUGGUCCAUAAGUAGUUCUUAAUAAAAGAUUAAUUAAAUAAAAGAUGAAGUCAAAAUUAUAACAUUGAGUGUUAUGUUGGAUAAAACAACUGUUACAUUUGAUUUCAUUCAUACAUUUAUUUAUUUUCCAGUUAUUUAAGAAAAAUAAUGAAUUUUUUUAAAUUAAGUUUCCUAAGUUUGACCGCAAUAAAACAAUUCAAAACGUUUUUUAAUGUAGUAUAUAGAAUAAUAUGCUACAAAGCUGAAUAAAUACUUUGAUCCAGUAAGUUGCUUUCAAUUUGAAGAAAAGAAAUUGAAGAAGACAGCUCAAUUGGUUAACGGGAGCAGCUUUGUCUGAAUAUUUUAUGUGUUCAUAACCGAUAUACUUUAAUUAUUUGUGAAGAUCUCUUUAAACAAGCAUAAGAUUAUAGCUAAAUCUCGUUUAUUAUGAAAAAUCAUUUGAUCAUGAUAUUAUUUAGAAAAUAUUUUUUAUUUGUAUUUACGCCUCUUUAAAAUUAGUAAUAGUAUAUUAUCUCAUUUACAUCACAUCGAGAUAAUACAAGAUUACUAAUUGUGAAAUUACAUAUUCAUUUUCUCCAGAAAUUUUUUCUUAAAUUAUUUUAAGAAAUUAAAGUUAAUAUUAAAAUUACAAAUAAAAAUGUAUCCAAUCUAAUGUAAUUUGAUUUUGCAUUCACUCUAAAUUUCACUAUUUGAAAUAGAUAUCUUAAAAAUCUAACCCUAUGUGCUUUUUAAUUAUUCAUCCACGUUGAAAGCUUUAAUAUAAUUAAUUUCAAGUCAAUAACAAAUUUAUUUUAUUAAUAUUUAUAGUCUAAAUCUAAUUGAUAAUGAUUGAAAUAUAUUUAAAUUUGAAUUAAUUAUGACUCUUGUAUUCAUUUUGGUUUUUAUUAUUGUAAAAAAAAGAAAGAAAAACUUGUGUUGAUUAUGAUCCCUUCAUAUCCUUACGACACGUGUACUAUUACACAUCUCCCACUCCCAAUUCAUUUCCCUUUACGAUGUUUCACAAAAAUCUACUCAAUUUUCAUUCGACCCCUCAAAUCUUCCUUUUUCGUAAUGUCUAUAUGAUAAAAUAAAUCAAUUUAGUUUGUUUGUUUAAUUUUAAUUUAAUAUUGUAUAAUUUUUUAAAAUAAAUAAAUUUAAAAUACAUUGGUAAUAUCAAAAUGUUUUUAAAUUUUGUGAUGUGAAAAGUUAAAGUAAAAAAAAUAAAAUCAUAAAAAGGGAAUACAUAUUUUUUCUAAAUGGGCUAAAAAACUAAAAUGAAACACAGGAUUAUUAUCUUUUUGGUCAGAGAAAAAUAUAGGUUCUGAAAGUCUCCAAGUGAUUAUAACCUCUUGGAAAUUUUUUUACUCCUAAAUGAGACCACUUUUUUUCAUCAAUCCCAAGAAAAAUACUUUUCAUGUUCCAUAUUGAAUGAAUUUAUUGAGACGAUCUAUAUUUAUUACUCUAAGACAUAAUGCAAAUUAUAUUUUUCACUGUUUUUUUUUUAAAUAAUAAAUAUAAUUUUAUAAGUAAUUUAAUUUACCUCCUAGAAAAUAUGAAAUUUUAUUAAAGAAAAGAAUAAACAUGAAAAUAUUAAAAUAUUUAUCUUGAAUUCUGAAGAAUGAUUUUUUUUUUAAACAUUCAUUUAAUAUGCAAUACCUAAUUACUUGUCCACUUUUGAAUUGACACACCUAUUAAGAAAUUAAUUAUUGACAUAAUGAGUUUAUCAUUUUAUCCCUAUUAAUUAUGAAGUGGAUGGAUUAAAAAUUAGAUUUUUAAGAAAUUGUACAUUUUUCAAAGUAAUUAAUUGAGGGUAUAAUAGGUAAAUUGUUUUUGGCCUUUCUUGAUUUGUCAAAAUGGACAAGUAAUUAGGGACAACUAUAAAAUAAAAAAUAAAUAAAUAAUUAGGGACAAAUGUAAUAUUUUAUUAUAAUUAGAAAUAAUAUAAUUUUAAAAUUAUAAAUGUAAUAAAUUUUCAAUUACACCUCACAAAUUUUAAUAUAUUUUUUCUUAAAUAUCUAUCAAGUCAAAUAAUGUCACAUGAAAUAGCACGGAGGGGUGAUAAACAUUUUCAUUUUGAUUUCCAAGGGUUGAUUAUUUCUAGAAUUUUCUUGGACAGACUUUACUUGUGUGUACAACUUAUGUGAUGACACAUGUUGUUACUUUCCUUCCCCAAUGAAACAAAACUCCCUUUUCCCCUAGAAAUACUGAUCAAUACAUACACUACUAUACAUUCAAGUCUAUCUCUUUUUUUUCCUACUCACCUCUCUGUAUUUUUGUUUGAAACAGCAACAAGAAGAUACCCUUUUUGGGCUUUUCCUUCUUUGUUUUGUGUAUAUAUAGAGGUAGGAGUUUGUGGGGGUGUAAAAAGAUUACAACUUUGAGUAGUGCCAAAUGUUAGGGGUAGAAGAUUUGAGCUUGGACAAGCUGUUUGUGAACAAUAGUAGCAGAGGUGGGGUUUGUAAAAUGGGGGGUGGGGUGAUGAUGAUGGGAGAGUGGAAGGAUAUACCUAUGGAGUUGUUGUUGAGGAUUGCUUCACUUGUGGAUGAUCGGACGGUGAUUGUGGCUUCUGGUGUUUGUAGUGGAUGGAGAGAUGCAAUUUCUUGGGGACUCACUCGUCUUUCCCUUUCUUGGUAUGACUGACUUUUCUUGUUUCUUGAUUUUGAUAAAAUUUUAAGGUUUAUUUUGAUUGUGUGGUUUUGCUUGAUGUGAUUGAUGAAGGGUAGUUCUUGUUCUUCAUUUGUUUGAUUGUAAAUGGUCAGGGGAGUCAAGUCAGCAAAAGACUGAAUUUUUGUGUUCUAGAAUAGUUGAAGGAAAUAGGAAAAAUCUACAAGUUUUUAUGUGUUGGACUAUUUUGGUCCUAUUUACCUUGAUUAAUCUAUUUGAGAUGUCAUGUAUGAUUGAUCAACUGGAGGAACACACAUGAGGUUUUCAUUGUUUACUUUCUUGGAGGAAGGGUUUGUAAAUGUUGUUGAAUAAAGCUUUGAGUUUGGAACUAAGGUUAGAUGUUAAAAGGGGAAUCAUAGUAGCUCAGUGGAUUGACUACCUGAACUUUUUUAUCUCGUUGGUGAGGGUAUGAGUCCCCACCUUGUAACCCCUUCUCCUUUACCCUACCCCGGUUUUGUUCUUUUGGAAAAGGUUAGAUUUUUUAUGUUAAAAGGGGUUGACUGAAGAUUUUUUCCAAUUUGGAUUUGUGAGUGCCAAGACUUGGAUGAGCAAAGCUAAGUUGAAAAGCUUGCCUUGCACUGGCAUCAAGGGAUUUGGGGGAAAUGAGGAGAUUAGAGAGAUUAGGAUAGUGAUUCAACAGCCUUAAUCCCAUAGGUCUUAUCACAUGUGUUUGUAUCUGAGAUGCCCUAAAUAUGAAAUAUGGUCAUAGCAUAAUGGUUAUUGUUCUGCUUUGUGGCUAAAUUUUACCCUUUUUUCUAUGUGCUUCAUCCUGGACAUCUGGAAGUUAAUAUCUAUGUUUUAGUGCUCAGAAGCAUUGGACCUGAGAAGAUAUAACUUGCAUAUGAUUGUGCAUUUGCCUUUAUUUUAUAUUUUUCCUUUACUUUUUGAGGACUUAUUCACAUGUUGGUUCUUGCUUGCAUUUUCUGGAUUUGUAGUGUUGGUUUUUCACCCUCUCCUGCUAUUAGAAUUUGAUUGUAUUUCCCUAUCUUGCUGGUAUUAGUAAUCUGAGAGUUGAUAUUCUAUGGAAUUGAGUACAUAGAUAUUUGUGAGUUAUCUUUCCCUUGUUGAUUUGUGGUGUUAUAUCGGUUUCUAAGCUUUUUUGUCCCCUCAGGUGCAAGAGGAAUAUGAACAAUUUAGUGCUGACACUUGCCCCCAAGUUCACGAAGCUGCAGGUUCUAACUCUUAGACAAGAUUUACCACAACUUGAGGAUGUUGGUGUCGAGACAAUUGCCAAUCACUGUCAUGAAUUGCAAGACCUUGAUCUUAGCAAGAGUUUUAAGCUAACUGAUCGUUCCCUUUAUGCUUUAGCUCACGGCUGUCCAAACCUCACAAAGCUGAAUAUCAGUGGGUGUUCUGCUUUCAGUGAUAGCGCUGUUGCAUACCUAGCUGAGCAUUGCCGAAACCUAAGAGUCUUAAACCUUUGUGGUUGUGUUAAAGCUGCAACUGAUAAGGCAUUGAAGGUAUAUGUCUUGUCCUCUCAAAUGACCUGUAGGAGUACUAAACCGUUGUUUCUUCGAACUUAUAUGACUCAUAUUACUCCUUGCAGGCUAUUGGUUACUACUGUAACCGACUGCAGACUGUAAAUCUUGGUUGGUGUGAUAAAGUUGGUGAUGAAGGUGUAAUGAGUUUGGCUUAUGGGUGUCCUGAUCUCAGAGCCCUCGAUCUGUGUGGCUGUGUCCUUAUAACAGGUAAAACAUGUAUCUGGUUAGGUUUUGUAUUUAAUGUCUUCCCUUAGCAGUGGUAUGUUUACUACCAAAGAGUCUUAAAACUGACUCGGAUUUGCCAUGCUUAUUAGGGCAUAAGUUGUAUUCUAGAAAUUUUAUGCAAAAAAAAUCUUACCAAAGAAGACGAACUUAUUUAUUUCCUAUUAGUAACUAACUAGAAGGAGAUAUUCAUGCAAGAUAUUUUCUUCUAGGAAAUGAAAAGUGGAACAUGAUUUUGAUGUAUACGAGGGAUAUGAAGGACCUUACUUUAGAUUUUAUAUCAAAUAAACUCCUAUGGCUAUUUGUGGUGUCUGAAAUGAAUGAUGAAAUGCAUAUUAGACGGUAGAACUGAGCUUUUUUUCUUUGGGGGAGUGUCCAAAUUUAUGAAGUCUGCCUCAGCCGACUGAUUAUUAGAUGUCUCCUAUAUUUCUCUGUGUGGAUGCUUUUGUUAUGAAAUUUUAUGAUCAUUGCUCUCGACCUGUUAGAGCAAUGGCUACAAGAUAGCAGUGUUCUAAGUAGUUUAGAGGUCUGUGUUUCCUCUCGUUGGCUUGUCGAGUGUACUCACACCUAUGUUCUACUGCCUACUUCUUGAUGGGCUAUUAGUGUUUCCUUUUUCUACUGAAGUUUGAGAUAAAGUUGCUGAUGUCUCCAACUGGAUUCAUUUUUCUUGGUUUAGUCAUCCAUUUAACAUAGCUAUUAUCUAAUGCCUGCAGAUGAGACUGUGAUUGCUUUGGCAAACAAUUGCACUCACUUGAGAUCCCUCGGCCUAUACUUCUGUCAGUACAUCACAGAUAGGGCAAUGUACUCUCUAGCUCAGAGUCGGGUCAAGAACAAGCACGAGAUGUGGGCAUCUAUGAAGAAGCACAGGUACGAGGACGAAGGGCUUAUGAAUCUAAACAUCAGCCAAUGCACUGCUCUCACACCUCCCGCCGUUCAAGCAGUAUGCGAAGCAUUUCCUGCUCUGCACACAUGCCCUGAGCGACAUUCCCUCAUCAUUAGCGGAUGCCUGAACUUAACAUCAGUGCACUGCGCCUGCUCUGUCCAAGCUCACCGUGCGCGUGUUCUCCAUCCAGCUCACUGAGUGUUCUAUGGAGGAGAAGUUGCCAAGUUUUUUUUUUUUGAGAAUGGUAAAGAGAAAAGUUGCCAAGUUUCGAAGCCGUCAUAGAGGGAGAGAAGAAAAAUAGGGUGAGAAGGUUGAAACGCCCUUGUACAUAUUUGUUUGUGAAAAAACUAUGCUGGACAAUCUAGGCUGUUUAAGCCAAACAGGUUCUGUUUGUUUAAUCUGUUGGACUGAGAACUUGUUGGUUUAUGUCAAAACUCUUAAAGACUCCUUUCAUGUGUUUUGACUAUUUGGUGAAAGACAUUUAAUUUCCUGUUUCAUAUUUCACUCCUAAAAUAUGGAGAAAUAACUUUUUAAGUGGAGAAAUUCUAUAAAAGCUUUUCACUGCUUCUCUAGGUUAAUCUAUAUGUUGGAAAAACUUGUUUGCUUUCUUAAAAAAAUUAAUACAGGGGAUGCAAAAUCAACCUAUAAAAUUAAGUUUGGGUAGGUUAAUUUGUUUAUUUUAUUAAUUUAGUUCAUUUCAGUAUGUUUGAUUUUGUCAGUUUAAAAAUUGAGUUAUUAUGCAUUCCAAAUUAAUUAAAGUGUUUUUUUUAUUAGGUAUUUAAAUAAAUUAUAAGAAAAUAAAUGAAACAAAUUGAAAUUUUAACAAGAACUGAACGAAAAGAAUGAAAAGAAAAAUAUUACCAGCUUCUAGUUUUUUGACAUAAAGGAAAUACCAAGAAUCAACAAAAGGGGUCAAGUUAUUAUGUUAAAGUUUUAUUUCAUUCAAGUUUAAGUAACUUUUUAUUUAUUUAUUUAUUUCUGUCUAUUCUUUGAUCAAUUAAGAUUUAGUUCACUCGGUUCAUUGUAUUAGGUUUCCCGAUUGACGUAAGGUUUUUUUCCAAGCAUUAUUAAUACAGUUGGAGUUUAAGUUGUAUGUACUGAUUGACCUAAGGUUUUUUCCCAACACGUUAUUAAUAUAGUUUAACUUGUGAUUCUACUUCUAUUUUUAUCAGGUUACAAUUAGCUAAUUAGUGAUAUUUGUGUAAAUAUUUUUCGGUAGUGACGUAAGUGGGAAAAAGGAUAUUAUUUGCAGAAAUUACAGUAAUCAGAUAGGUGAUGAAAUAAAAAAGAAAAAAGAAAAAAAAAGAUAGGUGAUGAAAUAGACAUGUGAACAUAAAGUUCUUAAAUUGGUAGUAUUACUUUUUAGCAAAUGAAAGUAAUCUAAAAUUAGUAAAUAAUAGCUAUUGCUUAGUAGAACUUUGUCUCUAAUUUUAGUGACAUUUUCCUUCUUAUGGCAGUUUUACUAAAAUUAUGGAAUUAUUGUUUUUGCGUAAUCUAAUAAACACAAUCAGAAAUAAGAUAAUCCAACAAACUUCUAUAAUUGUAGAAAUAAUGAUAGAUAUGAUCUACUUGACUGAAAAAACAAAGAACCAAAAAAAAAAAAAACUUUUGGAGGGAAUUAAAAAUAUAUUUUUCAUACUUUUUACGUAUUAUUUUAAGAUUUAUUAUGUGUAAAAUAAAGAUUCCUAGUGAAAAGGACAUGAAAUUAAAAAUAAAUUUGUAUAAUCAUUUAAAACAAACAUAGUAUUUCAUUACAUGUUUUUCCAAUUACAAAACAAGCUGCACAAAUAUUAAUUGGCUUACGCCUUUUUGAGUUUUCUUUUCAAUUAUCCGUAUUGCAUAAACAUUCAUAAGUGGGAUUGAUUAAUUCGAAGCUAGCUUACGGAAUCGAAGCGAAGGAAUUAGUUCAUCCAUAUUAUUUGCCUUUGUAUACAAUCUCUUCAUCAUCCACAUCGAAUGCUGGAUUACACAAACAUCUAAAGAGUCUACCAAUUCCCUACAAUAUCACAAACCAAAAAAAUAAUUAGUAUUUAUGUAUUAAAAUCUCAUCGUCAACUUUUAGUGUAGUGUCUGAGAUUUGAAUUUGAAACAUUAAGAUGAAUUUUGAAUUCCCUAGAUUGCUGAGUCAACCUCUAAUCUUGUAUUCAGGGGAAUAAAAACAUUAUCUUAACUUUAUGUCUCGAAAUAUCAUUGGUUUCAAUAGAUAGUAUAUAGUAAGUAAAAGAGUAAAUGGAAGCAAAAAGAGAACCUGUGUGAGUAGAGGAGUUCUAUAAUUUAGUGUUCUUAAUGAGUCUUCAUCAUCAUCACUGCUAUCUGAACUAGAUUCAUCAGCAUUAAUAUCGCCUAUUGUCUUCUUUUUCGACGUUCCAACACACUUCUCCCUCUAUAGAAUAAAAAGGAAAAAAAUGCAAAUGUUACAAUGAAUUAGUAUAGUAGCUCAAUAACCAACAAGACAGACUUGUGUUUAGAAGGGAUAUGAUAAGUACAUAUCACAAGUUAUGCUUAAACCUUACCUCAAAUACUUUUCCCAAAAUCUUUAAAGCCAUCGCACGUUUCUUGAGUUCUUCCUUCUUCACAUUGCCUUCUUGUAGUACCUGAAAGAUUACUCAGAAGUAACUUAAAGGUCUCUUUCAAGAAUAAAGCCCGUUUCAACGUAGCAACAUUUGAUCCAAGGCUUACCAAUUGGCAAACAUGUAAAAGAGUCACUUCAAUGUCUACGACAUUUAGUUUCCACAAUGAAUUCAUUAAUGUUUCUCUGUUUAAUCUUAGAUGUGAUUCAACAUCGUUUUCAGGGCCACUACCAUCCAUUUUAAACUGGCGACGAACAUCUUCUUGAAGUUGUAGCAGUUGAAAAGCACCUAUAAAACAUUAUAGUCCACUGCAUCAAAGAUACAGACAGAUAUAUGACAAGCAGGGGAGUAUUGUAUCUUGAGUGAGAUAAUGUAAGUUUACCUUUUGCUGCUGUUAGCUGUGACUUCCAGAAAUGACCUUUGUUGCGAACCCACUCGGCCAUGAAUGGAACUCCCAAGUAAAUUGCUUUCUUUCCAAGCUCUUGUGCUGCCUGUCUUGUGUAUAUGUAUCCAAUAGUUUGAAGAAUCUCAGCUCCAAAUGCUGUUAACAGAAAUGUCAGGUUCUAAUUAAGAUUUUUUUCUUGAUUUAGCUCUCUUCUAAGGUCACAAUAGAUUUCACUGUGCUUAUUCAAUGCUGUCAUUUUAACACUUGUCAUGGUAAAUUCUGUAAAACUUACAGCAAUCACUAGAUGAAGCACAAGAGUAGUGAGCUGACCUGCUUGUGAAAGAUGUUCUGCUUCAGAUUCUACACGACGUAUAAAUCCCAUUCUGUCACCACGAACGUAUUGUUGAAGAAAAUCUUUGAGUAUUCUAGCAAGCUUUUCUUCCCUUUCCUUUUGGACACCCUUCAUAACAUAGUUCUAUUAUAACAAAGCUAUGUUCUUUUUUCUCUUGUAACAAACAGCCAAAAAAGUGGAGACACAUAUAAUUUGAAUGUUAAUGAACUUCAUGACAUACUUGCCUUGAGUCUAUCAUGGAGCUUUUCAGGGUUGUCGUUUUCGCUAACUAAUUCAGAGGAAGCCAUUGAUGCAACAGAUAGAUGCCCGAUGUAGUCUUCAAAAAGUUCGCUCCCAAAGAGGAGUGCAAACACAGCAGUUGGAUCAAGCAUAGUUUCCCUACAAAGAGAACAUCAAAAUUAGUAUUGAUGGUAAUAGAAAAAACAUCUUUUUACAUAGAAAUUUGUGAAUUAGCAAACUACUUGCAUUUAUCAUCUUAAGGGGUCGUUUGGUUGCUGGCUAGGAAGAGAGUUAUUCAUGUUUUAAAACUAACAAAAUUAAUACCAUGUAUUUGGCACUCUGCACACCAAAUAUGGUGUUUGAUUAUCGUUUUACAAUCCCACAUAAAUAAAGCAUGUAUACAUUUUGAGUCAAUUUAUGUACUAUUAUAUGCAGAGUAGAAGAUGGAAUAACUAAACCUAGCAUAACUAAUCUUUGCAUUAUUAAUACCUGCAUAACUCUAACCAACAACCAAACGACCCCAUAAAAUUCAGAAGAAGCAAUUCUAGAAAGAUUACCUGGAGACACAUGACUUUCCAUUUUGAUCAUAUACAUUUCUCUGUACUGGAUCACUCAAAACCUGAUAUGCCUCUCCUAAUUCCUGUUUUUAACAAUUUAAAAACAUUAAAAAAAAAAACAGAUAAUUUUUUGCCUAAAUUUUACAGAAAAGUGAACAUAAAAUAAGCAACAAGCAAUGUGCUUGCCUGAAAUUUUUGUGCAGCAAGAGGAUCAUCUGGAUUUUUAUCAGGGUGAACUUGCCUGGCCUGCACCACAAGAUGAAAAAACAGAUUUCCAACAUCAUUUAACAAAUCAGAAAGGAUAAGACAUUUUCCAUUACCAUUUGUACUUCAAAUCAAAAUGAAAGUUGAUGAAACAAAUCUUCAUUUCCAAAACAAACAUCCCAAGAAUCAUACUACUUGGAUCCAUUUAUCAAAUUCUAUAAGUUUAAACAAAUGAAACUUAAACAAUACUACUCUCCCUAUCUUAAUUUAUGUAGUAAAGUUAAAGUUUCGAGAGUCAGCCAAAUUUUCUUUUUGACUAGAAUUUCUUGUUACCUAUCAUGAUUUACCGUGCUUUUUACAGUGUUUUCAAAUAUAUACAUUUUAUAUCAAAAAACAUAAAAUUUUUGUGUCCAGAUUCACACCAUCAAAUUUUAGAAGUUUGAAUCUAGAAAUUCCAACUAAUGCCAGGUAAAUUAGAUCAAUUCCAACACUCUAAAAAACUACACAAAAUUCAAACAUAGAAAGUAAAAAAACAAAACAAAAGAAAGAAAUUCAAAAACCUUGAGAUAAUAGGCCUUGCGAAUUUCCUCUUCAGAUGCUAAAGGACUUAAACCAAGAACAUCAUAAUACUCUGUCUCUUUCACCAUUUUCUUUUCUUUUUCCAAAAUCCCAAUUAACAAAAAAACUACUCUUUUACCUCCUCCAAUACUCUAAUCACCUUUUUUACGCGGUUCUAAAAUUUUGAUGCAAGAGCGGAAAACCACUUGACAGUAAGUAAAGGAAACAAACCAAAUGAAAAAAAAAAAACUCUGAAAAUUGUAUGAUCAAGAAAACUUGCAAGGACAAAGAAGAAAGAGGAGGGGGUGGGUGGGGUGUUUUAGAGGGGGUGUGGGGUAUGAUGAAAAGAAUGUCACAGAAUAAGAGAGUGCCCCCACGAGACAAAGCUGCCUUUCCAGUUCUGAUCAACGAAUUAAUUAAGGCUUUUCGCGGGAGAAAAACACUAUUUUAACUGUCACUUUGUGCCUUUCAUCAUUUUAUCAACUACUCUUUUCAAACUUCUACUUUUUUGCUUCAUGGGCUCUGGGCUUUUUUCUCUUCUUUAAUGGGCUUUAUUUUUUUUCUGGGGGCCCAUUUUCUUGGUGGUGUCUUGGACCUACCUUAUCCAAUUGUGUAGUCACUCACUUGAAACAAUAAUUGUGGACCAAAAUAUAGAUAUAGAUGCAGAGCACUUAAAAUCUGUUGCUUGUCGAUACUCUAAAAAUAGUGUAUUUUUGGAGAAUCUGACAUGAGUGAAUGCACAACUUAGCUUAAAAUGUCUUAGUCCAAAAGGAAUGUCCCUUGAUACCAUAAACAAAAAAUACCAUGUCUGCUUUUUAUUCAAUAAUAAUAAUACAAAGAUGACUGAUCCAAACAAUUUUAAGCUCAAACACAAUGUUAUAAGGUAAGAUAAGAACUAAUGUCACAAUAUUACAGGUAAAUCGUUUUUUUUCUUCCUGUUUUUCAAUUUUUAUCACUAUAAUAUUUUCUAUUCCAAAUCUUUAAGAUCCUCAUCCAUUGGUAUGGUAUAGAAGAAGUGUUCAAUUUGCUCGACUGCAUUAUCCUCGCCCUGUGUCUUGUUUCCUCUCUUUAUUGGAGCUAGGCUCUCCUUGUAAUUGAAAACCCAACAGCCAGCAAUGUUAAGGUCCAGCUGAAAUCCAAGAUCUGUAACUUGUCUUGUUGUAGGGUCAUAUAGCACCAGCUGUGAAGUUUCUGUGAUCUCAAAAACCAUGUUAUCGUUAUCCCAGAUGUUGCGAGGCCAAUGAGCAUCUAUAUGAGGUUGUACAGUUAGAACUUUGGACCAAAUUCCCUCUUGUUCAUACCCACACAUCAUAUAUGGAUGUCAUAGGUUUGCCAGGGUCACCGGUUAAUAAAGCAAGUGAGUUGCCACGCAAUGUAAGCGUCCCCCAAUGUUCACUUGGAAUAUCUGGGACUUGCAUCUCCCUAAACUGUUCGCUGCCCAUGUCAAAAGAGCGAAUCGUGUAGAUCUCAUCAAGGCCCCUAGAAAGCCAAUAAUAAACCCCGUUGAGAUAAGUGGCAUCAAGGGGUGCAGAUAAGGUAGAACUGGAAGGGAAUUCAGGAGUUAGGUGUUUCCAUGAGUUGUUGCAUGAGGAAUAAACACAGGCAUAGACACGAGGACAAACACCUUGUCCCGGUUCAUCCCAGAAUACUCGAAUCCAUACAACCUUAUAAUCUUGAGUCAACAGGUCAAAUCCCAAUCCGAACUGAUGAUCAUGGUCCGAGAAAAAGUACUCAAUCUCAAAAGGCGCAGGCGGCAGAGACCUGAACUCUCUGGUGGCAGGAUUCCACAAACCCAAGCAGACAUUGUCUCCAUAAAACUUCUUCUGCACUAAGAAUAAGCCAUCAACUGGACCAGCAACACACGUGAAAUCAGCGACCCUCGGAAGCUGAAGGAGAGUUUUUUGUUCAGGGGUCACACCUGGAACAAUUUCUUCAGGGAGCAAGGAGAAUACAACAGACCUUACGAUGGCGUCUACUUCACGUGCUACUUUCAAGUUGCAAACAAGGAGACGGGCACGAUUGUUCUUGUGAUGAAAAUGUUUUUCUAUGAAACUCGGACUUUUGAUGAGAGCAUACCAGUGCUUGCACACACAUUUGAAAAGCAAGAGUGAUUCCACUGGCAAUCUCAAUAGAAUAUCAACUACUAGAUCUUCUGGUAAAGGACAGCGACCAUCCAUACUGGUGGAAAUAUAAGUAGAAUGAGGCAACUUACAAACAUAUUGAAAGAGAGCAGAUCUAGAAAACAUGCAUUAAUAGAACACACAGUGCAACAAAAAAGAUCAAGUAGUAGCAUUACCAUGUGAAGCAAAAAAGGGGAAGUUACAAAUUUGACCACUCAGCCACAAAUAUUUACAUCCGCAAGCCAUUACACAUAUAUUAUGGGUAUACAUAUUUUUAAAAAUAUUUUGACAAAUCUUCUUGUAGAUCAAUUUUGGAGAAAAGAUCCAAAAUAGUUCCUUAUGUUUGGCUUCAGACUCAAGGUCAUCCCUUCCCUUUCUUUUAUAUGGUGCACUAAUAGUCCUUUAAGUUUCAAGUAUUAGUGCACUUUUAAUCUCUUCAUUAACAUCCAUUUACUCAUUAACGUUUUGAUCCUUUACACAUCCAUUUAUGGCCUCCGCUGUAUACGUUCUGGUAUAACACAAAUUAAUUCUUAGAUUUAUCUUAGCAGUUGCAGAUGAGUCUUCAUUUGUACUUGUUUUAUUUUUUGGCUCUGCAUCUUUCAUUGUUUGGUGUGCACCAUUCAAGAUUUGCUAAUUCUUUAACUUUCUCCUCUAUUUUCCAUACGCAAUUAAUAAGCUGACUAUAAGUCUUUGGGUUUUCCUGAAUAAAAGCUGACUAUAUAUCUGAAACAUAACCAAAGAAUAAAAUAAAAACAAGAAAAAAGGAAAAAUAUAAUACAUACUUAGUCUUCGUGUAUCAAUAUCUCAAAUUAGCAUCGGAUAAAAGUGCACUAAUACUUAAAACUUUGGAGGACUAUUAGUGCACCAAUUGAUGAUUUCGAAUCUAAAGCCAAAAAUAAAGGACUAUCUUGUAUUUUUUCUUUCGAUUUGGGCUGAUAUGGUUUGGACGGAUCAAUAAUCAGCCAAAUAGAGUCAAUAAGAGGAGACUAGUAAAGAAGUAGUCAUGCGGUUUUCUAGUCUUUUCAUUAACUAGUCAAUAAUUAUUUUUAAAGCUACAUAUCAAGUUAGCAUAUAGAGCAAUUUUGCAGGUAAUUUAAGGAUUAAGGAGCAUGAAACAGUAAUUACCCUUUUCUACUAAUAUCAAUCUACAAAUCCUUGGAAAUGGAACAAUUUUAACUUGCCCAAUAUUGAAAUGUAAAAGAUGGAAAGAAAUAAAAAGAAUUAGCAUAAACAGAAACAAUGACAGCAAAACCCUAUAUCCAUCCCCAAAUAGCACAAAUUCAGAUUCAGAUUCAGAUUCAAAUUCAAAAAAAUAAUCAGAAAUCUAACCUUAUAAGCUGAUGAAGAAGAAGUGCCGCAAUUACGACAAGGUAAAAAUGGAAAAAGAGAUUGGAUUGAUUGAGUGGUGUUGUAGAAAUACCUCCAACAGUUGACUACUUCCUCACUUUCCUACACUUCUUUUGUCAUUUUAGUUUAUAUAACUCCCCUUAAUUCCUUUUAUCCAAGUUUUUAAUACCAAGGGAUAUGAUGGAGUAAUAAGUACUUAUUCAUUGUUAAUUAGAGGUCUUGGAUUUGAAUCUUUUGGCUAUGAAGUCAUCCGUGUUAGGGAGCACUUUACCCAUAAUGUGAGAUUUUUCGACUGGGCUCUAAUAUGGAUACCGAACAUUGAGCGAUUUUUCUUUUUUUACCUUAGUGGUCAUUUGGUAGGUGGAUAAAGCUACAUCUAAUACAUGAAUCACUACAAGAAAAGUGCUGAUUACCUGGGAAUUAUUGUAGAGAAUAUAUGAUAACCCUAAUGGGUGGAGGGAGGACCAAUUUAUAGAGGUUAUGAUUUAAUCUGGUAUAUCCAUCAAGUAACCAAUGUACGGACGAGAUCUAUUCCUUAUUAAAUAUUAUUUAUGGUAUUACUUGCGUUACUAGUAAACUUGAGCCAUAAGUAAGAAAUAAUUAAUAAUAAUUAAUAAUAAUUCUUACACUUCGGGGUGCCUUCGCCAUAGUUCAAGUCUGGAGUCGGCCAUUUCAGUUCUUGAAAGCUUUUAAUCUAGCUAGUGUUAUUCAUAGUACUUCCGUGUACUUAUCGACCUUAUGUGAGUCCAAACUCGUUUGAGUUAUACAUUUACUUUCUAAUUGUGCACGAGUAUACAUACUUUCUAGGCUUAUAGAGGUCCAGUUAGGUUAUAGAUUAUUGCUUUACUUUACUACUUCGUUCUUUUCAGACUCGUGAGCUAUAUAGUUAGACUUUCCGUUAUUGCUUUGUUCAUUUGACCUCUAAUUACUGUUACUUUCAUAUUCUUCAUAUUGUUUUUACUUUCCAAGUUCAGUUGACCUAUGAUGCCUACUGGACACCUGUUGUUCUGAUAUUCAUGCUACACUCCACAUCUGUUUUCUUGAUGUGGAUUUGAGCGCCAGCCGACAACGGUGAUUGGAGCCUAAGUAAUGCGGAGAUCUUCUGAGAUGAAUGGUGAGCUAAUGGCGUCCUAGUUCGACUUAUCUCCAUAUGUAUAUAAUUUUUUACAUGUCUUUUGUAUUCGAGACAAAUUUAUUAAGUUAGUCAAUAGCAUAGGCUCGAAACUAUGACUAGAACAUUGAGUGCAUGACAUGCACAUCUUACUCCUUACUUUCCUUAUUCGUGCCUGUUUUUUUCAUACUUUCUAACUUUCACUAGUACAUUAUCCCUUGUUAAGGAAAAUUAUGUAAACAAAAUAGUAAAUGGCCUGAUCCACUUAAGAGUGAGGGCUAGUUCAUUGAUUGAUACAGCUAAAUCACAUUAAAUAAUAAAUACGGAGGAGGGCCUAAAAUACCCUUCAAGUAUAGGUAAUGGAACAAAAAUACCCUCUUCCACCUUUAGGCUCCAAAAUACCCUUCCAUCCAUCUAUAUGGACCUAUAUUACCCUUUCACUUAACAGAUUCUUUAAGACUAAUAAUUAAUCUUUUCAUUAAUGAUGUGACAGUCUUUAAUUGGUUGAAAUUGGAAUUAACCAAAAUAAGAAUUUCUCUUAAUUAAACCCAGAUCCAACUAAAUUCCACCCGACUCACUUAAAAUUCUAUUGACCCAUAUCUUAAAUAAUCAAACUUCAAUCAACAACUUGCUCCAGUUAUUUUUAAUCCCAGUCAAAAAAGAGGUACAUUAGACCAUAAACAACAUGAAACUUCCGAAAAUUCCCUGGAAACAUUCCAAGAAGGAAGAAGUGAAAUACAAGAUCAAGUGCCACUAUAAUCAUAUACCAAUAUACACCAUAUUUUGAAACACUAUGAAAAGUCCAGCAAAUCUCCAAUCUCUGGGAAACAUAAACUCAAAGCGGUAAAAUUUCUCAAAAUCCGAAACCCUAGAGUUCAAAAAUUAUUUCACUUCUUUCUUUUUUGCGAUUCAUAUAAAGCACCGCACGCAAAAAGCAAAACCAACAUAAUUUUGGGAAAUUCUCAAAGCAGAAUCAUGGAAUAGAAUAUAAAAAAAAAAUAAAAAAUUUAGCCAUAGCAAGAGAUUAUAUACUUGAUGAAGAAAAGCGAUAGAUAUCGCUUUUCUUCAUCUGCAAAUUUUACGAGAAAAUUAUAUGGAGAGAAAUUCAGUGUACAGAGAAAAAAAAGGAAACUCACCGCUACACACUCGAUUCUUCUUGUUUUUUUUUAAAGAUAUGGGUCAGUAAAAUUUUACGUGGGUUGGGUAGAGUUUAGUUGGAUCCGGGUUUGAUUUGGAGAAAUUAUUGUUUUUGCUUAAUCUAAAUUCCAGCCAAUUAAAGAUUGUCACAUCAUUAAUGAAAAGAUUAAUUAUUACUCAUAAAAAAUCUGUUAAGUGAAAGGGUAAUAUAGGUCCAUAUAGAUGGAUGAAAGGGUAUUUUUGAGCCCAAAGGUGGAUGGAGGGUAUUUUUGUUCCAUUCCCUAUACUUGAAGGGUAUGUUAGGCCCUUCUCCGUAAUAUAUAUUACAUUUUUGAACUGUUAAACUAGAAACAAGAUUUAGGAUUUUUCAAGUGGACCAAAAUACAGAUAUUGAUGCCGAGUACUUAAAGUCUGUUGCUUGCCGAUACUCUAAAAGUAGUAGUGUAUUUUUGGAGAAUCUAACAUGAGUGGAGAGUACACGCGCAACUUAGCUUAAAUUGUGUUGGUCCAAAAGGAAUGCCCCUUGAUACCAUAAACAAAAAAUACCAUGUCAGCUUUUUAUUCAAUAAUAGUACAAAGAUGACUGAUCCAAACAAUUUUAAGCUCAAACACAAUGUUAUAAGAAGACAAGAUACGAACUAAUGUCACAAUAUUACAGGUAAAUCGUUUUUUUUUCUUCCUGUUUUUCAAUUAUUAUCAUUAUAGUAUUUUGUAUUCCAAAUCUUAACGAUACUCAUCCAUUGGUAUGGUAUAGAAGAAGUGUUCAAUUUGCUCGACCUCGCCCUGUGUCUCGUUUCCUCUCUUUAUUGGAGCUAGGCUCUCCUUGUAAUUGAAAACCCAACAGCCAGCAAUGUUAAGGUCCAGGUGAAAUCCAAGAUCUGUAACUUGUCUUGUUUUAGGGUCAUAUCGCACCAGCUGUGAAGUUUCUGUGAUCUCGAAAACCAUCUUAUCAUUAUCCAAGAUGUUGCGAGGCCAAUGAGCAUCUAUAUGAGGUUGUACAGUUAGAACUUUGGACCAAUUUCUGUCUUGUUUCAUUACCCACACAUCGUAUAUGGAUGUCAUUGGUUUACCAGGGUCUCCGGUUAACAUAGCAAGUGAGCCGCCAUGCAAUGUAAGUGUCCCCCAAUGUUCACUUGGAAUAUCUGGGACUUGCAUCUCCCCAAACUGUUCGCUGCCCAUGUCAAAAGAGCGAAUCGUGUAGAUCUCAUCAAGGCCCCUACAAAGCCAAUAAUAAACCCCGUUGAGAUAAGUGGCGUCAAGGGGUGCAGAUAAGGUAGAACUGGGAGGGAAUUCAGGAGUAAGGUAUUUCCAUGAAUUGUUGCAUGAGGAAUAGACACAGGCAUAGACACGAUUAUUAGCACCUUGUCCCAGUUCAUCCCAGAACACUCGAAUCCAUACAACCUUAUAAUCUAGAGUCAACAGGUCAAAUCCCAAUCCGAACUGAUGAUCAUGGUCCGAGAAAAAGUACUCAAUCACAAAAGGCGCAGGAGGCAGAGACCUGAACUCUCUGGUGGCAGGAUUCCACAAACCCAAGCAGACAUUGUAUCCAUAAAACUUCUUCUGCACUAAGAAUAAGCCAUUAACUGGACCAGCAACACACGUGAAAUCAGUGAUCCGAAGCUGAAGGAGAGUUUUUUGUUCAGGGGUCACACCUGGAACAAUUUCUUCAGGGAGCAAGGAGAAUACAACAGACCUUACGAUGGGGUGUACACGUGCUACUUUCAAGAUGCAAACAAGGAGGCGGGCACAAUUAUUCUUGUGAUGAAAAUGUUUUUCUAUGAAACUCGGACUUUUGAUGAGAGCAUACCAGUGCUUGCACACACAUUUGAAACGCAAGAGUGAUUCCACUGGCAAUCUCAAUAGAAUAUCAACUACUAGAUCUUCUGGUAAAGGACGGCGACCAUCCAUACUGGUGGAAAUAUAAGUAGAAUGAGGCAACUUACAAACAUAUUGAAAUAGAAUAGAUCUAGAAAACAUGCAUUAAUAGAACACACAGUGCAACGAAGAAGAUCAAGCAGCAGCAUUACCAAUGUGAAGCAAAAAAGGGGAAGUUACACAUUUGACCACUCGGCCACAAAUAUUUAUAUCCGCAAGCCAAUACACAUAUUAUGGGUAAACAUAUUUUUAAAAAUAUUUUGACAAAAUUUCUUGUAGAUCAAUUUGGGAGAAAAGAUCCAAAAUAGUUCUUUAUGUUUGGCUUCAGACUCAAAGUCAUCCCUUCCCUUUCUUUUAUAUGGUGCACUAAUAGUCCUUUAAGUUUCAAGUGUUAGUGCACUUCUAGUCUCUUGAUUAACAUCCAUUUACUCAUUAACGUUUUGAUCCUUUACACAUCCAUUUAUGGCCUCCGCUGUAUACAUUCUGGUACAAAACAAAUUAAUUCUUAGAUUUAUCUUAGCAAUUGCAGAUGAGUCUUCAUUUGUACUUCGUUUUAUAUUUUGGCUCUGCAUCUUUCAUUGUUUGGUGUGCAGUAUUCAAGAUUUGCUAAUUCUUUAACUUUCUCCUUUAUUUUCGAUACACAAUUAAUAAGCUGACUAAGUCUUUGGGUUUUUCCUGAAUAAAAGUUUCUUGCGCUUUGCCUAUAUAUCUGGAGCAUAACCAAAGAAUAAAUAAAAACAAGAAAAAAGGAAAAAUAUAAUACAUACUUAGUCUUCGUGUAUCAAUAUCUCAAAUUAGCAUCGGAUAAAGGGUGUGUUCCGUAGAAAAUAGUUUCUAAUCAAAAUUUUUGGAAAAGAUUUUCUUAGGAAAACAAGUUCCAUACGUGACACUUCAAAAUUCAAAUGAAGAAAAUGACUUUCUAAAGGAAGUAGGGAAAACAAGUUUCAUAUGUGACAUUUCAAUUGAGUAUGUCCUCCCACUCUCUAAGACACCACAUAUUCACCUCACUCCCGUAGCUUCCAUACCCACUACCCUACACAUCUACCCCACCUCCGUCCCUCAUAGUAUUGUCUAGAUAAUACAUAAAUGCUUUUAGAAUAAUAUUAAAUUUUUUUUGCUUAUAUACCAAACACAAAAUAUACAUAAGAAUCUCACUUAUUUUCCUAGAAAAUAUUUUUCAAAAAAUAUUUUCCUUGGUACCGUACACACCCAAAGUUCCAAUGUCCUCGGAUAAUAUCAGCCAAAUAGAGUCAAUAAGAGGAGACUAGUAAAGAAGUAGUCAUGUGGUUUUCUAGUCUUUUCAUUAACUAGUCAAUAAUUAUUUUUGAGCUACAAAUCAAAUUAGCAUAUAGAGCAAUUUUGCAGGUAAUUUAAGGAGCAUGAAACAGUAAAUACCCUUUUCUGCUAAUAUCAAUCUACAAAUCCUUGGAAAUGGAACAAUUUUAACUUACCCAAUAUUGAAAUGUAAAAGAUGGAAAGAAGUAAAAAGAAUUAGCAUAAACAGAAACAAUGGCAGCAAAACCCUAUAUCCAUCCCCAAACAGCACAAAUUCAGAUUCAGAUUCAAAUUCAAAAUAAUAAUCAGAAAUCUAACCUUAUAAGCUGAUGAAGAAGAAGUGGCGGACAAGGAAAAAAUGGAAAAAGAGAUAUCGGAUCGAUUGAUUGGUGUUGUAGAAAUACCUCAACAGUUGACUACUUCCUCACACUUCUUUCGUCAUUUUAUUUUACUACUUCUUGGGAACGCGUUUGUUCCUCUCCUUUUUUUUUCUCGCGUGUGUUCCUUAUUAUUAUUAAAUUUUUAUAUACUAAAAAGUUGAGUUAUAAAAUAGAAAAUGCUGAAAUUAACAAUAGUAGUUUUAUCAUUUAUAUUUUAUUUACUAAAUAAUAAAAAAUAUAUACUGGAGCAUUUUUUGUUAACCUUCAUUUGUUGUUUCUCACUCUCUUUUCUUCUCAUGUUGAAAUUUGAUUGUGCAAUUACCUUCCUAUGAUAACAUCAAUCUUUGUGAAAUUGGUUCUUAAAAAGCAAAUUCAAAUUUUAAUUUUGGAAGUGUUUUUACAUAAUAGUGGAGAAUGAUUCUUCAUAUUCAACUUUUAAUUUUGAAUUGUAAUGAACAAUUACUAUUCAAAUACAAAUCUAGUUUAUUUUUAACCUUACAUUUAUUGAAUCUUUAAUGUGUACGUUAAUGAUAUAUAAUAAUUUAUUAAUUAGGUAUUUGAUUUAGUGUAGGGGCAAAAUGGUAAUUCAACUAUACACUUUCGAGUUUUCACUUUUAAUAAGUAAUUAUAAUAUAUACAAAAGAUUAAACCAUUUGAUAUUAAAAAAAUAUAUGUAUGAGUAAUAAUUAACAUUCAAUGGCAAAAGAAUGUAUCACAUUCUCAUAAACAAUAUCUCUAAGGCAAAAGUAGACAUUCUAAUUUGGACAAUUACUACUUAACUACUUAUGGGUUCAGCCAAUAAUCUGGAGAUAGGAGUUUGACAAUUUUUCAGCCAUAGUUAAAAUUCUACAUCAAUAAUAAAUAGCUUCUUAUCACAGUAAAUAGACAUUUGAAUAAUUAAUAUAAAUUGAGCAACACAAACUUUUCAAAAUGACUUAUUCUAGAUAUAUAAUAGGGAAAAGGGUCAAAAUUACCCCUCAGUUUUGUUUUAUUGGUUAACUUUAUCCUUACCAUUAAAAACAAGUUAUUUUUACCCCUGUCGUCAAUAAACUUAACAAAUAUACCCCUCCUUGAACGGAAACCCCCAAAUCAAUUGAAAUUACCCGAUUUUAAUUGAAAUUAUCCAAUUUCUUUUUUAACCCGAACUAGAACCCAACCCACUAAACUAAACAAAUUAACCCAUUUCCAAUCUUCUUCAUCUCAGUGUUCUUGGCUAAGUACCCUAAGAACACUCACAAUCUUUAUCAUAGCUAACACAUAAAUCCUACAUUGUCUGACAAAAUCAAUUGAAAAGGUUCGUUGGUUGAAUGUAUAACAAGUAAAUUAUUUUUGCUGAACAACAUCCCGCCUCUCUCUGUUGUGGGGUUCAGCGAAGAACAAGCCACAGAGCAAGUAAAUGGAAAAGUUUCAAUUUACACAUCAUCAUUCAAUCCAAUGAAGAAAACCAUUUCUAGGUACCAACCAAAUUACUUUUUGAUUUGUUGUCAGUAGGCUGCCCCUAAAUGUGUACCCAAUAGUACAUCUAAUUCUUCUUUACCUGGCUCGUAAAUCAAUUCAGUGGCCCUCCAUGAUUCUUGUAUGUGCACGUAAAAUUAAGCUACAAUGGAGGGGAGGUUUUUCUUUUCUCUAUCUUUUUAUUUGUUCAAAAUGUUUCCAAUAUAUCAUCAUAUUUGAUGAGUACUGGAUAUUUGAUGAUUACUGAUUUCUUGUAUGUAGCAAAUCAUGUGAUUGAACGACUGCAGUGUUUAGCCUAGGCAACCUUCAACAAACAAUUUGGAGAUAAAUAUCAGGUCUUUUCGAUUGAUUUUGUUAGACAAUGUAGAAUUUGUGUUAGCUAUGAUAAAGAUUGUGAGUGUUCUUAGGGUACUUAGCCAUGAACACUGAGAUGAAGAAGAUUGGAAAUGGGUUUAUUUGUUUAGUUUAGUGGGUUGGGUUCUGGUUCAGGUUAAAAAAGAAAUUGGAUAAUUUCAAUUAAAAUUGAAUAAUUUCAAUUGAUUUGGGGAUUUCCGUCCAAGGAGGGAUAUAUUUGUUAAGUUUAUUGACGGCAGGGGUAAAAAUAACUUGCUUUUAACGGUAAGAGUAAAAUCAACCAAUAAAAUAAAGUUGAUGGGUAAUUUUGACCCUUUUCUCUAUAUAACAUAUAUGGACAAUUUGAGGAAUGAAUGUUUCAACACAUGAAUAAUAGACUAAUAAGGUCAAUAGAUUAUACAUAUAAAUGAAAAGUUAAAUAAAAAUACAGCCUCAAAAUCACAUACUAUGAUCCAUCAUUUAUCUCCAAUUCGGUGGCCCAGUUUAUUUUAGGGUAUGGAUUCUUUUAUUUUUAAAAAAAAAACAUAUUUGAUUUUUCUCAUUUAGUUAUUCCUCUCCCUACUCAUAAAUAAUAAUCUCGAAAAAAUAUUUUUACUAAAGUAGAACACUCUAUCAAGAGCCAAAUAAACAUAUCAAAUUAACUAAUUAAUCUUUCAUCAAUUAUUGAUAGAACAUGAAUUGUAUAUCACUACUUUCUUCAUGUAGGAUACAAGAUAUUUCAAUAGAAAAACAAAAUCAUAAGAAAGCAUAUCAAAAUAUAAAAAAAGGACAUAUAAAAUACUUUGGCUGGACAAGGAGGAGCGGAUAAAAACAAAAGGAAAUUACUGCACAUACAAAAUGAUGAGCAAGAUUAGUUUUUUGCAGGAUAGUCUCUCAUCCUCCUCUUAUCAUUUACAUGAAAACCAUGCUAGGCAUUUUAUAGCAAUAGCUAGGAUGACCUUUGAGUAGAUAAUUAAUUUGCAUUAAUUUAGUUUAAUGAUUUUAGUCCAUAUCAAAUUUAUUUAAUGGAAAACUCUUCAAAUACUCUUGAUUUUACAGAAAAAGAGAAAUUGACUAUUAAUGUGAAUUUGAUUCAUGUACCAAUUUAAAUGAGUUUAAUCUAAGGAAGUGAAAAAAUCAUUAACAUUUUUAUUAAAACGAUACAAUUUAAUAUUUAAAUUAAAUAGUUAAAUAUUUUAUAACAUUUUAAUUUAUAAUAGGGGUAAAACGGUAAUUCAACUUUUAACUUUUUUUAUUCCCGCUUAUAGUAAUAUAUGAUACAACUCCUCUUAAUUCCUUUUAUCUAAGUUUUUAAUUAUGUGGUGGAGUAAUAAGUACUUAUUCAUUCUUAAUUAGAGGUUCCAGUUUGAGUCUUUUUGGCUAUAAAAUCAUCUCUGUUAGAGCGCUUUACCCAUAAUCUAAGAUUUUUCGACACAAAUUCAAAUUUAGUGAGGCUCUAAUAUGGAUAUCGAACACUGAGGGGAAAAUAAAAAUAAAAAUUACCUUAGGGGUUAUUUGGUAGGUGGAUAAAGCUACAUCUAAUACAUGAAUAACAAAGUUAUUUAUGUAUUUAAUUUAUAUAAUGUUUGUAUAAAAGUUAUUCAUAUAUUAACAAAGAUGUUUCUCUCUACGAUAUGUUCCCACAGGAGAAAGAGUUUGUUACUUGAAGAGGGGGGGGGGGGAUGUUGNNNNNNNNNNNNNNNNNNNNNNNNNNNNNNNNNNNNNNNNNNNNNNNNNNNNNNNNNNNNNNNNNNNNNNNNNNNNNNNNNNNNNNNNNNGAAGGGGGGGGGGGGGUAUUUGGAGUCUUUUAGCCACAGUUCGAAGCCCUGACAUAUCGAUCUCUUUUAGCCACGGUUCAAGGUCCCAACGUAUUUUGUUUUGCCACGGUUCAAGGUCCCGACGUAUUUUAUUUUGCCACGGUUCGAGGCCCCAUCAUAUCUCUAUUCGCCUUGGUUCGAAUCCUAACAUGUGGUUCAUUUGGGUUCUUCGGGGUGCCUUCACCAAAGUUCAAGUCUAGAGUCAGCCAUUUUAAGUUCUUGAAAGCUUUUAAUAUAACUAGUGUUAUUCAUAGUACUUCUGUGUACUUAUCAGGCUUAUGUGAGUCCAAACUCGUUUGAGUUAUUUACUUUCCAAUUGCGCACAGGUAUACAUACUUUCUGGGCUUAUAGGGGUCCAGUUAGGUUAUAGAUAAUUGUUUUACUUUACUACUUUGUUCUUUCCAGACUCGUGAGCUAUAUAGUUAGACUUUCCGUUAUUACUUUGUUCAUUUGACCUCUAAUUACCGUUACAUUCAUAUUUUUCAUAUUGUUUUUACUUUCCAUGCCCAGUCGACCUAUGAUGCUACUGGGCACCUGUUGUUUUGAUAUUAUGCUACACUCCACAUCUGUUUUCUUGAUGUAGAUUUGAGCGCCAGCUGAUAAUGGUGAUUCGAGCCUAAGAAAUGCGGAGAUCUUCUGAGAUGAAGGGUGAGCUGAUGGCAUCCUAGUUCGACUUAUCUCCAUAUGUAUAUAGUUUUUUAAUGUCUUUUGUAUUCGAGACAAGUCUAUUAAGUUAGUGAAUAGCAUAGGCUCGAAACUAUGACUAGAACAUUGAGUGCAUGACAUGCACAUCUUACUCCUUAUUUUCCCUAUUCGUACCUGUUUUUUUCAUACUUUCUAACUUCACUGGUACAUUAUUCCUUGUUAAGGAAAAUUAUGUAAACAACUAGUUCUUUGAUUGAUACAACUAAUUCACAUUAAAUAAUAACUAGAAUCUUAUUACAUUUUUGAACUGUUAAACUAGAAACAAGAUUUAGGAUAAGGGAACUAUUUAUUAACUUCACUUCUCCUUAUUAGUGUCAAAAGUUUCUCGUUUAGGAAAUAUGAAGUUUUGAAGGACUAAUAGUAUAUUAUCCUUUUUUAAAAUUGAACUCUAUCCAAUGGUUGAUUCUAUUUAUGAAUCAAUUCCUUAGGUGCAUUAUUUCCAUAGGUUUCAACAUUGGUAACAAAAUCUAGCUUUCUCGCUUAAAUUGACAUAUUUCUAUACUUCCCUCAUCUUAUCUAUCACUGAGGCCGCUCCCAUCUUAUCCCUUAUAUCCUUAUUUAUAAUUUUUAUCGCUCCGAGUAUGAACGUGCAUCCACCUCAAUAUAUAUUCACAUCUCUGCAACAUGCAUCUUCUAGACAUGGGACUUGACUGGCCAACUCUCAUUUCCAUACAACAAUUACAUACACACUCUAUAUAAAUACACACAUACAUAUAUUGAUGGAAAAAUCAUCAACAGAUGAAACUUAAGCAAUACUCCCUCCAUCUCAAUUAAUGUGACAGUCGGAAUUUUGUCUUUUAAAUUGUUAAUUAUUGUGAUUUACCAUUUUUCACAUAAUUUUCAAAUACAUAAAUUUUAUAUCAAAAAAACUUAAAGUUUCUGUAUCCGAAUUUACUAUUAAAUUAUAGAAGUUUGAAUCUCAAAAUUUCAACUAAUGCCACAUAAAUUAAAUCAACUCCAACACUCAGAAAAGCUACAAAAGUUCAAACAUAGAAAGUAAAAAAAAAUUUAAAAAAGAAAUAGAAAAAACCUUGAGAUAAUAUGUCUUGCUAAUUUCCUCUUCAGAUGCUAAUUAAAGGACUUACACCAAGAACAUCAUAAUACUCUGUGUCUUUCACCAUUUUCUUUUCUUUUUCCAAAAUCCCUAUUAACAAAAAAUUUACUCUUUUACCUCCUCCAAUACUCUAAUUACCUUUUUUUUCGCGCUUCUAAAAUCUUAAUACAAGAGCGAAAAACCACUUGAGUGUAAGGAAAGGAAACAAGCCAAACGAAAAAAAAAAAAAAAACUCUCAAAAUUAUAUGAUCAAGAAAACUUGCAAGUACAAAAGGAGAAAGAGGAGGGGGUGGGUGGGGUAUGAUGAAAAGAAUGUCUCAGAAUAAGAGAGUGCCCCAACGAGACAAAGCUGCCUUUCCAGUUCUGAUCAACAAAUUAAUUACGGAAAAUCUGUUGCUUGUCGAUACUCUAAAAGCAGUGUAUUUUUGGAAUUAAGAGGAGUUGUAUAAACUAAAAUGACAAAAGAAGUGUAGGAAAGUGAGGAAGUAGUCAACUGUUGAGGUAUUUCAACAACACCACUCAAUCAAUCCAAUAUCUCUUUUUCCAUUUUUACCUUGUCGUAAUUGCGGCACUUCUUCUUCAUCAGCUUAUAAGGUUAGAUUUCUGAUUAUUUUUUUGAAUCUGAAUCUGAAUCUGAAUUUGUGCUAUUUGGGGAUGGAUAUAGGGUUUUGCUGCCAUUGUUUCUGUUUAUGCUAAUUUUUUUUAUUUCUUUCCAUCUUUUACAUUUCAAUAUUGGGUAAGUUAAAAUUGUUUCUUUUCCAAGGAUUUGUAUAUUGAUAUUAGUAGAAAAGGGUAAUUACUGUUUCAUGCUCCUUAAAUUACCUGCAAAAUUGUUCUAUAUGCUAACUUGAUAUGUAGCUCAAAAAUACCUAUUGACUAGUUAAUGAAAAGUCUAGAAAACCACAUGACUACUUCUUUACUAGUCUCCUCUUAUUGACUCUAUUUGGCUGAUUAUUGAUCCGUCCAACCCAUUUCAACCCAAAUCGAAAGAAAAAAUCCAAGAUAGUCCUUUAUUUUUGGCUUUAGAUUCGAAAUCAUCAAUUGAUGCACUAAUAGUCCUCCAAAGUUUUAAGUAUUAGUGCACUUUUAUCUGAUGCUAAUUUGAGAUAUUGAUACACGAAGACUAAGUAUGUAUUAUAUUUUUCCUUUUUUCUUGUUUUUAUUUUAUUCUUUGGUUAUGCUCCAGAUAUAUAGGCAAAGCACAAGAAACUUUUAUUCCGGAAAAACCCAAAGACUUAUAGUCAGCUUAUUAAUUGCUUAUGGAAAAUAGAAGAGAAAGUUAAAGAAUUAGCAAAUUUUGAAUGGUGCACACCAAACAUUGAAGAUGCAGAGCCAAAAAAUAAAACAAGUACAAAUGAAGACUCAUCUGCAAUUGCUAAGAUAAAUCUAACAAUUAAUAUGUUUUGUACCAGAACGUAGACAGUGGAGGUUAUAAAUGGGUGUGUAAAGGAUCAAAACGUUAAUGAGUAAAUGGAUGUUAAUGAAGAGACUAAAAAUGCACUGACACUUGAAACUUAAAGAACUAUUAGUGCACUAUAUAAAAGAAAGGGAAGGGAUGACUUUGAGUCUGAAGCCAAACAUAAGGAACUAUUUUGAAUCUUUUCCAAACAAUGUUAAGCUCAAACACAAUGUUAUAAAAAGGUAAGAUAAGAACUAAUGUCACAAUAUUACAGGUAAAUCGUUUUUUUUUCCUGUUUUUCAAUUUUUAUCACUAUAAUAUUCUGUAUGUCAAACUCUAAGAUCCUCAUCCAUUGGUAUGGUAUAGAAGUAGUGUUCAAUUUGCUCGACUGCAUUAUCCUCACCCUGAGUCUCGUUUCCUCUCUUUAUUGGAACUAGGCUCUCCUUGUAAUUGAAAACCCAACAGCCAGAAAAGAUAAGGUCCAGCUGAAAUCCAAGAUCUGUAACUUGUCUUGUUUCAGGGUUAUAUAGCACUAGCUGUGAAGUUUCUGUGAUCUCGAAAACCAUCUUAUCGUUAUCCCAGAUGUUGUAAGGCCAAUGAGCAUCUAUAUGAGGUUGAAGAGUAAGAACUUUGGACCAAUUUCCCCCUUGUUUCAUUACCCACACAUCGUAUAUGGAUGUCAUUGGUUUGCCAGGGUCACCGGUUAAUAUAGCAAGUGAGCCGCCAUGCAAUGUAAGCUUCCCCCAAUGUUCACUUGGAAUAUCUGGGACUUGCAUCUCCCCAAACUGUUCGCUGCCCAUGUCAAAAGAGUGAAUCGUGUAGAUGUCAUCAAGGCCCAUAGAAAGCCCAUAAUAAACCCCGUUGAGAUAAGUGGCGUCAAGGGGUGCAGAUAAGGUAGAACUGGGAGGGAAUUCAGGAGUAAGGUGUUUCCAUGAAUUGUUGCAUGAGGAAUAGACAUAGGCAUAGACACGAUUAUUAGCACCUUGUCCCGGUUCAUCCCAGAACACUCGAAUCCAUACAACCUUAAAAUCUUGAGUCAACAGGUCAAAUCCCAAUCCGAACUGAUGAUCAUGGUUCGGGAAAAAGGCCUCAAUCUCAAUAGGCGCAGGAGGCAGAGACCUGAACUCUCUAGUGGCAGGAUUCCACAAACCCAAGCAGAUAUCGUCUCCAAACUUCUUCUGCACUAAGAAUAAGCGAUCAACUGGACCAGCAAGACACGUGAAAUCAGUGAUCCUCGGAAGCUGAAGGAGAGUUUUUUGUUCAGGGGUCACACCUGGAACAAUUUCUUCAGGGAGCAAGGAGAAUACAACAGACCUUACGAUGGGGAGUACUUCACAUGCUACUUUCAAGUUGCAAACAAGGAGACGGGCACAAUUGUUCUUGUGAUGAAAAUGUUUUUCUAUGAAACUCGAACUUUUGAUGAGAGCAUACUAGUGCUUGCACACACAUUUGAAACACAAGAGUGAUUCCACUGGCAAUCUCAAUAGAAUAUCAACUACUAGAUCUUUUGGUAAAGGACGGCGACCAUCCAUACUAGUGGAAAUAUAAGUAAAAUGAGACAACUUACAAACAUAUUGAAAGAGAACAGAUCUAGAAACAUGCUUUAAUAGAACACGCAGUGCAACGAAGAAGAUCAAGCAGCAUCAUUACCAUGUGAAACAAAAAAGGGGAAGUUGCACAUUUGAUCACUCAGCCACAAAUAUUUACAUCAGCAAGCCAAUACACAUAUAUUAUGGGUAUACAUAUUUUUAAAAAUAUUUUGACAAUUUCUUGUAGAUCAAUUUGGGAGAAAAGAUCCAAAAUAGUUCCUCAUGUUUGGCUUCAGACUCAAAGGAUGGAGUAAUAAGUACUUAUUCAUUGUUAAUUAGAGUUCUCGGGUUUGAGUCUUUUUGGCUAUGAAGUCAUCUGUGUUAGGGAGCGCUUUACCCACAAUGUGAGAUUAUUCAGCACAAAUUCAAAUUUAGUGGGGGAUCUAAUAUGGAUACCAAACACCGAGUGGAAAACCAAAAAUAAAAAUAAAAAUGACCUUAGGGGUCAUUUGAUAGGUGGAUAAAGCUACAUUUAAUACAUGAAUAACAAAGUUAUUUAUGUAUUUAAUUUAUAUAAUAUUUUGUUUGUAAAAUGUUGUAUAAAAGUUAUUCGUGUAUUAACAAAGAUGUUUAUCUCUACGAUAUGUUCCCGCAGGAGAAAGAGUUUGUUAUUUGAAGAGGGGGGGGGGGUAUUUGGAGUCUUUUAGCCACAGUUCGAAGCCCUGGCGUAUCUCUUUUAGCCACGGUUCAAGGCCCCAACAUAUUUUUUUGGCACGGUUCGAGGCCCCAACAUAUCUCUAUUCGCCUUGGUUUGAAUCCUAACAUGUGGUUCAUUUGGGUUCUUCGGGUGCCUUCGCCAUAAUUCAAGUCUGGAGUCGGCCAUUUCAGUUCUUGAAAGCUUUUAAUCUAGCUAAUGUUAUUCAUAGUACUUCCGUGUACUUAUCGGACUUAUGUGAGUCCAAACUUGUUUGAGUUAUAUAUUUACUUUCUAAUUGUGCACGAGUAUACAUACUUUCUGGGCUUAUAGAGGUCCAAUUAGGUUAUAGAUUAUUGCUUUACUUUACUACUUUGUUCUUUUUAGACUCGUGAGCUAUAUAGUUAGACUUUCCGUUAUUGCUUUGUUCAUUUGACCUCUAAUUAUUGUUACUUUCAUAUUCUUCAUAUUGUUUUUACUUUCCAAGCUCAGUCGACCUAUGAUGCCUACUGGGCACCUGUUGUUCUGAUAUUCAUGCUACACUCCACAUCUGCUUUCUUGAUGUAGAUUUGAGCGCCUGCCGACAACAGUGAUUCGAGCCUAAGUAAUGCGGAGAUCUUCUGAGAUGAAGGGUGACCUAAUGGCGUCCUAGUUCGACUUAUCUCCAUAUGUAUAUAAUUUUUUCCUAUCUUUUGUAUUCGAGACAAGUUUAUUAAGUUAGUCAAUAGCAUAGGCUCGAAACUAUGACUAGAACAUUGAGUGCAUGACAUGCACAUCUUACUCCUUAUUUUCCUUAUUCGUACCUAUUUUUGUUCAUACUUUCUAAAUUUCACUAGUACAUUAUCCCUUGUUAAGGAAAAUUAUGUAUCCAGAAUAGUAAAUGGUCUGAUCCACUUAAGAGUGAAGGCUAGUUCAUUGAUUGAUACAUCUAAAUCACAUUAAAUAAUAUAUAUUACAUUUUUGAACUGUUAAACUAGAAACAAGAUUUAGGAUUUUUCAAGUGGACCAAAAUACAGAUAUUGAUGCAGAGUACUUAAAGUCUGUUGCUUGCCGAUACUCUAAAAGUAGUGUAUUUUUGGAGAAUCUAACAUGAGUGGAGAGUACAUGCGCAACUUAGCUUAAAAUGUGUUGGUCCAAAAGGAAUGCCCCUUGAUACCAUAAACAAAAAAUACCAUGUUUGCUUUUUAUUCAAUAAUAGUACAAAGAUGACUGAUCCAAACAAUUUUAAGCUCAAACACAAUGUUAUAAGGUAAGAAAAGAACUAAUGUCACAAUAUUACAGGUAAAUCGUUUUUUUUCUUCUUCCUGUUUUUCAAUUUUUAUCAGUAUAAUAUUAUGUAUUACAAAUCUUUAAGAUCCUCAUCCAUUGGUAUGGUAUAGAAGAAGUGUUCAAUUUGCUCGACUGCAUUAUCCUCACCCUGAGUCUCGUUUCCUCUCUUUAUUGGAGCUAGGCUCUCCUUGUAAUUGAAAACCCAACAGCCAGCCAUGUUAAGGUCCAGCUGAAAUCCAAGAUCUGUAACUUGUCUUGUUUUAGGGUCAUAUAGCACCAGCUGUGAAGUUUCUGUGAUCUCGAAAACCAUCUUAUCGUUAUCCCAGAUGUUGCGAGGCCAAUGAGCAUCUAUAUGAGGUUGUACAGUUAGAACUUUGGACCAAAUUCCCUCUUGUUUCAAUACCCACACAUCAUAUAUGGAUGUCAUAGGUUUGCCUGGGUCACCGGUUAAUAAAGCAAGUGAGUUGCCACGCAGUGUAAGCGUCCCCCAAUGUUCACUUGGAAUAGCUGGGACUUGCGUCUCCCCAAACUGCUCGCUGUCCAUGUCAAAAGUGCGAAUCGUGUAGAUCUCAUCAAGGCCCGUACAAAGCCAAUAAUAAACACCGUUGAGAUAAGUGGCGUCAAGGGGUGCAGAUAAGGUAGAACUGGAAGGGAAUUCAGGAGUAAGGUGUUUCCAUGAAUUGUUGCAUGAGGAAUAGACACAGGCAUAGACACGAUUAUUAGCACCUUGUCCCAGUUCAUCCCAGAACACUCGAAUCCAUACGACCUUAUAAUCUAGAGUCAACAGGUCAAAUCCCAAUCCCAACUGAUGAUCAUGGUGCGAGAAAAAGGCCUCAAUCUCAAAAGGCGCAGGAGGCAGAGACCUGAACUCUCUGGUGGCAGGAUUCUACAAACCCAAGCAGACAUCGUCUUCAUAAAACUUCUUCUGCACUAAGAAUAAGCCAUCAACUGGACCAGCAACACACGUGAAAUCAGUGAUCCUCUGAAGCUGAAGGAGAGUUUUUUGUUCAGGGGUCACACCUGGAACAAUUUCUUCAGGGAGCAAGGAGAAUACAACAGACUUUACGAUGGGGUGUACUUCACGUGCUACUUUCAAGUUGCAAACAAGGAGACGGGCACAAUUGUUCUUGUGAUGAAAAUGUUUUUCUAUGAAACUUGGACUUUUGAUGAGAGCAUACCAGUGCUUGCACACACAUUUGUAACGCAAGAGUGAUUCCACUGACAAUCUCAAUAGAAUAUCAACUACUAGAUCUUCUGGUAAAGGGCGGUGACCAUCCAUACUGGUGGAAAUAUAAGUAAAGUGAGAAAACUUACAAACAUAUUGAAAGAGAACAGAUCUAUAAACAUGCUUUAAUAGAACACACAAUGCAACGAAGAAGAUCAAGCAGCAACAUUACCAUGUGAAACAAAAAAUUGUAAGUUACACAUUUGACCACUCGGCCACAAAUAUUUACAUCAGCAAGCCAAUACACAUAUAUUAUGGGUAUACAUAUUUUUAAAAAUAUUUUGACAAAAUUUCUUGUAGAUCAAUUUGGGAGAAAAGAUCCAAAAUAGUUCUUCAUGUUUGGCUUCAGACUCAAAGUCAUCCCUUCCCUUUCUUUUAUAUGGUGCACUAAAUAGUUUCAUUUUCUGGCAUUCGAAAUCCUUUUUAUUACAGUUCUAUAUUUGAUUCUGUAUCAUAUAUAUAUAUAUAUAUAUUUAUCCCUGUCGUCGCCUUAGAUUCAUUGGCCUGAAUUUGAACAUUUAUGUAGCUCGGAACACUCAAAUAUCCGCCGCACUAUACCUUGAUUGCUUUUGACUACAUCUAUGACCAGUAAGUACAAGAUUGAUUGGGUAUUUGGUUUGAUUUUUGAGUUUGUCAUAUAUAUACAUAUGAAGCACUUUGUUAUUACACGAUAUAUCUUAUGAAUAAUAUAGGCAAUGUUUAUGAAGAAUUAGUUUUUAAAAGUUUUAGUUCAAUAACUUUGAUUAAUAUAUAUACUUGUAUGUGUUUGUAUAUACAUUUAUUUCUGGUAUCUCAGCACAUGUAUCAUACCCCAAAUCCUAAAAUUCAUGUGAUGAAGAAUUUGACUUUUAGAUCCGCAACCGUUUUGGGUCCAAGCAAUUUUCUUGUGUUAGAAUCUAAAAGCUGAUUUUCAUUUCUAAAAUCGUAAGUUAAGAAACGAAAGAAAAAAAAAA